GUUCUUGAGCUCCUUCACUUUCAGCUCAGCAAAUGCCUCUGGGUCAUCAGCCAGACCCAAUGGGUCGAAGCUACCACCAGGGUAAAGUGGGUCAACUACCUCACCAAGAGGUCCACCAGCAAUUCUGUAACCUUCAACUGCACCCAUCAAGAUCACUUGGGUAGCCCAGAUGGCUAAAAUGCUUUGUGCAUGGAUCAAACUUGGGUUCCCCAAGUAGUCAAGACCACCCUCACUAAAGAUCUGGGAUCCAGCCUUGAACCAGACAGCCUCACCAAACUUGACACCAUUACGCGCCAAGAGUUCGGGGAAGACGCACCCAAGAGCUCCGAGCAUGGCCCAUCUGCUGUGGAUGACCUCAAGCUCACGGUUCUUGGCGAAUGUUUCAGGAUCAGCAGAGAGCCCAGCAGUGUCCCAACCGUAGUCACCGGGGAACUCACCGGUCAGGUAAGAUGGGGCUUCGCCGGAGAAUGGGCCAAGGUACUUAACACGGUCGGGGCCGUACCAUGGACUUCCUGAUGGUGCGACUUUCUUGACUGCUGUCUUCCUCAUGGAAACCCUUCCAUUUCCGGUAAUUUCAGAACCAGAUGGUGCUACUUUCACCGCCUGUCCGACGAAAGAAGAGGAUAGUGCCAUGGUGGAAGCUGCCAUUUUUGUGAGAUUUGUUUUGAAGAUGUUUUGAUGAUAUGAUAGUAUUAUGAGUGAUGAAGAUGUGUGGAUCUGGAACGUAGAUUUAUAGGGUGGUUUUUGGGCCAGGUAGUUGAUCAAUGCUUAUCUUGAUACACUCUUUAACUUCAUUUUGAUUGGCUACCAAGAUUUUAGUUCUAUCAGAGGGUAUAUAAUUUGUGUGGUUCAAGUUCUCUGGUCCACGGGAGAUAUUUGAAGGGGCAGCGAUAUUCAUGGCUCUGGCUUAUUGAGCGAAUAUAAUGGCUCGCAUUCUCAGCCACUAGCUAGUCUUGGUGGGGUUUUAGCCAGUCUUUGUGCGGUUUUUCAUGUUUAACCAUUACCAUAGUAUCGACUAAGUUUAGUCCAAACAUGCAUUGAAGUUCAGUAGAUUUGUAUUAUCAUUUUGUUUUUUAUACAAAUUUAUCAUUUUCGUACAUAAUAUAAACUCUAGGAAAAUUAAAUAGAAUAUAUUUUGAGAUAUUGACAACAUUGACCAAAUAAUAAAAAAACGUAACACACCAUUCUAAAAAAUAACAUAUAACCAUGAUGUCCGAAAAAAAUAUAACAUAUAACCAUGAUUUUCGAAAAACAAAAUUCUUGAAGAUGUACAAUUUUCGAAGGUACUAUUUGGUGACUAAUUUUAAAAGAAGCCAUUUUCAAAAUGUAAUAUUCUCGAAGUGAUUAUUUCAGCUACUUAAGGUGAUGUUGAUUUCAAAUCUCUAACAUGACAAAAAGCUUCCCCAACAAAUCUGAAGCAUGGACAUUUCAACCUAAAGAUGGGUGAGGGAAGUUCUUUUAUUGAUCAUCUUUUGUUUUCUAACAGCUUGUAGAACAUCUAGAAAUAUUGGAUGCCACAUAUGAAAAAGAAGACUUGCCGUUGUUCCUAUUGUCAUCUUUAACAAAUUCAUAUGAUGACUUUUGUGAUAAUAUUAUCUAUAGCUGAGACACCAUUGUCUUGGAUGAGAUCAUGACCACUUUAGACUUGAACGAAAGGAUGAAACUUAUCAUUAGUGAUAGUAAUGGUGAUAUAAAGGACGAAGGUCUCCAAGUAAGAGGAAGAUAUAUGUAGGGAAGUAACGAUUCCAAAUCCCUUAACAAGUCAAGAUCCAAGUCCAAAGAGAAACGUAUAUAGUGCAAAUAUUGUGUGUCUGUUGAAGCUGAUGUGGCCGAGAUCGUCUUUGAUGGCGAGCUUCUAGAAUUAUUUCUGACGAUGGUUAUUUGAUUACCACGAACGGUGGGUUCUUGAAUUUGUGCGUGCUUUUCACAUGAGUCCAAACAAAUACUAUUGUCACACCACAUUGAAAAGGAUAGUUGAUGCCAAGUUUUAAUAGGCAACGUCGACACUUCCUCCCUUAUUUUAGGACAAGCCACAAUUAGAUUUUGAAUGUUCGAUGGUGUAGUAAGUGUUGGGUUUCUAUAACAUCAAGUACACACAAACAAGGUAGUGGAAACAAUGAAAUGAUAUACCUAAGUGCAUAUGCUCUUUAGAUCUAGGUUUUACUAGUUUUAGCAAAAUACUUAAAAAUCAACAUAAAAUAAAGAUAAAACACUUACUUUUUGUUCAUUUGUAACGUCAUAAUAAAUACUCUCUCCGUCCCAAAAUUAUUGUUCACAGACAAAAAAAAAACACACAGAUUAAGAAAACAUUAAUUACUACUAACUUUAUUCAAUAAAAUGACAGUUAUGUCCUUAUUUUGCAUUUAAUGUUCGAUUAAAUGCUUAGUUGGUUAAGUAAUAAUAAUAAAGUGUAUUUUGGUAAAAAAGUUAUUUAUUUUUAUAAGUGGACUAUAAUUUUAGGACAAACCAAAAAGGAAAGAUGGACUAUAAUUUUGGGACGGAGAGAGUAAUAAUUACUAAAAUAAAAUCCUAAAAUAGGAUAAUCUAUAGCCGUGCGCGCUGCGGACUAUAUAAUACAAGUUUCUUAUUAAGGAAAAAUAGGAAAAAUCACCCGAGUCGUCCGUAAGUCAUAAAAAUAAGUGUGCCAAAAUGUAUAUAUUAUUAUAUAUUCAAAAAGUACAUGUCGUCCUGAUCCCGAAAAUAUAAAUUUCGUAGAAAUCUUAGUUCAUAUGAAGACGAUAUGAAUUUUAUAAGACAUAAAAAUCAACAGCCUAACUAAAAAUUAUUAACGUCAAAAUGUACAAAGAGAAUGGUUGACCUUUGGGUAAAGUCACCAAAAUGAAAAUCAUAAUGCUCUUUAAUGUAAGAAUUUUGGUAAAAGAAACACAAAAACUCGGAGUCCGUAUGGGAAAGUUAUGAUUUUUGCAAAAUCAUUAAAUCAUAUAAAAAUAAGGGCUAAAAACAAAUUCAGAAUUAGCCGAUGGAGCCUAAAGGAAAGUUGUAGUAUUGUCGAGAGCUACAUGUGGAAAAAAAGAACGUCAAAAGCAGAGUCCGUAUGAAGAAGGUGAAAAUGCGACCCAAUGAGAGCUUGACACGUGACACAAUGUGGCUAGGGAGAAGUCACCUUAAAAUGCACGACGUACACCCCCAUUGCACACUGUGCACCCAAAAUCGGCUAUAAAUAGGAGGUCAAGCCUCAUUCACUCCUCAACACCGCUUCUAUCAUUCUCUUUCGAUUUCCUUUGGUUCUGGCCCAUUUUAUCUUAGUUUUAGCAUUCGGCGAAGCCCUGCGAUCCCUAAAGUAGUAGUAGUUAGCGAGUAGAAGCUUUGCCAAUGCAAUUUCCUAACUUUGUUAGGAAGAACCUUUGUAAGUUAAGCUAUACUCUAGUCUUUUCAAUGUAAGUUAUAUUUAUAGUCAUAAGUCAUUAUUAUGAACCUAUAAAUAAGAUUUAUCAAUAAUUCUAUGUCGUUAUACUGAUUGAUCUACUUACGGGAGAUGUGCCUAGAAUGGUCACGUUGGCUUGGUUGUUGGAUUUCAAAAAAGAUAAUGAUUCUGCCUCCCAACUGUCCUGCUUGGAUGAUCCUUAAUUGAUAGAUCUUGAUUUAGACAUCAAAAUUAAUGAGGAAUCUAGUCAUCAGGACCAUUAGACUAGAACUUUAUAUAAAUUAUACUUAGGUAUCGGAAAUAUCUGAGGUGUUAGGCAAAGCUCUGCCCAGAUCACCAGCCACCCACCUAAGUCAAGUGAGUACAUAGUCCCCUUCAUGAACACGAUUUAAUACAAGUAUUAAUUGAAAUAUUAAAAAUCUGCUGGAAGUCGUAUGUGAAUUAUAUACUUAUUGCCUGGAUUGUAUGUUAGGAUAUAUGGUGCUAUGUGCGAACUAGAUAUGGUUCUAUUUUAUGUUAAGAUAAAUAGAUAAUAUUACAUAAUAAUAUUCAAAGCAAAAUUGUUGAGAAGAUAAAUGAUUAAUAACACCUAAUACUCUUAUGGAAUAUAUAUAUAUAUAUAUACUAAGAUAGGUUAGUGUCGCCCAAGAAUAGAGUUGGUAUUAAAAAUUUAGUUUCAGGCACGGUAUUCUAUUCUAGGAAUAAACUUAGACUUAUGGAAGAUACCUAGUUCAAUUAAGUUGAUAUUAGAUAGUCUCAUUAGGAGAAUGUGCGUAACCUAGGAAUGGAGAGUAAAGUUUUGUUCCAUGACACUAUUAGGUGUCGAUUUGUUAUAGCUUCGUACUAGAUGACCAGAAAUGGUGGGUCCUGAUCAGGCAACUGUUAGCAGUAUGUCUAGUCACGCCACAUAGUAUUUUUGGAUUAGAUGUCCAAACCCAUAACUAUAAUUGGUAUAUACUUGACCCGAGAGUAGCAUGGUCCAUUUCAGGUUGCCUUCAUCAAAGCAAUUUGACAAGAUAGAUAUUUGAGAAAGAGGUUAUUUGUGAUUUACUAAUAUUAUAAGAAUAAUAUAUUAAUUAAGAAAUCAUAUUAUUUAAGUAGUAUUGUUCAAAAAUUAAUUUGGAAUUAAUUUAGUAAUCAAAAGAGACUAAUUAAAUUUGCAGGGACUGAUUAGGUAAAUCAGUGAUAUUUAUAGUUUGGGGCCUUUGGGCUAAUGAUCAAUGUUGAUUAGGAUUGGACUAAUUCUUUGUGAGAGUCCAUGAAGAGUUAGUCCAAAACGCUAAUGAGUUAUUGGAUUAAAAGCCCAAGUGAGUUAGGGUUUACAAGUUGAAUCCCUAGGAAUUCAUAACAUUAUUGAAGCAACAUACUAUUGAAUAAAAAAACUUCUAAACCCUAAUGGAAAUCACAAUUUUCAGAAGAAUUACAUACCUCUAAUUUGUUAUUGUAAGCAAACCUUUGAAUCCAACAAGAUCAAUCCAAAAGUCUCUUUGAAAACAAACUUCAAUUGUGAGCGAGCCUCUAAUGGUUCGCACUCACAAGACAAGAACCCUAGAAAGAUUAGGAGAGAGGUUCAAAUUUUUGGAUCUACUAUCUCAAUAGAAGUGGCCAAAAAUUUCAAGGUACAAGACCCUAUUUAUAGCUUAUUAGGAAACAUCUAGAAACCCUAAUUUGAACAUAAAAUAAAAUUAUCUCAAAUAAGUCAAUUAUUUAGUUUCUUGAUUAUCUGCAUGGAGGCUUCCUGAAACCUUAGUGGGUCUAAAAAAAAGGUCCACUGGAGGAAGGUUCUGGAAUCUCUCCUCUGCUCAACUCUUAAAACAAGUUUCGCUUUAGUCCUUCAACCUUUAAUUAAUUUUAAUUAACCAUAAAUUAAUUCCAAACCAAUUCUAAAUUAAUCAUAACUAUUUAUAAUUAAUAUAUUAAUCAUAUAAUAUAUUAAUAAAUCAUUUCUCUCUCUUCUAAAAUCAAUCUAAGCAAUUUCUUGGUUAUGAGGGCAACCCAAAAAGGACUUUGCUUUUAUUUAUCAACAUUAUAUCAAUUUAGUUUGGAUCUUAGACACCUUAAUCCAACAUAAGGUUCGUAAUACAUAUACAUGUUGUGUAUGUCCAUUAGCAAAACAAAAAUGAUUACCAUUUGUUUCUGCAAACAAUGUAUCUCAUACACCUUUUCAAUUGAUUCAUUGUGACAUUUGGGGUCCUUAUCAAAUCAAUUCACAUCGGGGUUAUAGGUUUAUCAUUACUAUUGUGGAUGAUUACACUAGAUUCACUAGGAACUAUUUGAUAAGACACAAAUCUGAGGCACAAUUUGUUAUUCCCCAUUUUUUUUUUUUAAAAAUGGUGCUCAAAUAAUAUCAUACUCAUAUAAAUAUUUUCAGAUCGGAUAAUGCAAAAGAACUUCAACUCAACGUGUUUUUUAAACUAAAUGGAGUAUUACAUCAGUUCUCGUGUGUUGAUAGACCACAACAAAACUUUGUUGUUGAGAGAAAACUUCAACAUCUCUUAAAUGUGGCAAUGACAUUGUUCUAUCAAGCUCACAUUCCUUUUAUAUGUUGGCUUGAAUGUGUUUCAACAAGUGCCUACAUGAUAAAUAGAACUCCCUCAAAAGUUCUUGGAAAUAUUUCUGCUUAUAAAAAUCUCUAUAAAGAAUAGCCUCAUUACUCAUAGCUUUGAAAUUUUGGUUGUUUACCUUUUGCAUCCACACUUCAUUCUCAAAGACAUAAGUUUGAUCAUUGAGCAAGAGCAUGUGUUUUCAUUAGAUAACCACAAGGAAUGAAAGCAUAUAGAUUUCUUGAUAUAGAAACAAAUCAAAGUUUUGUUUCUAGAGAUGUCAUAUUUCAUGAGGGGAUAUUUCCUUUUAAAUAAUGCUCGCCAUCUUCUCAUACAAAUCCAUUUAUCUUUCAUGUUUUGCCUAUACUUUUACCUAGAAUCACUCAUUCUUUUACUCCUUCAGAAAAUCUCAAUCAAUUUGAUUCCCAAAUUGAUACCUUACAAAUGAAAUUCCAAAUUCACAACCAAUAUUUCUAGACCACGAAGACAAAGAGCUCCUCCUUCAUAUCUUCAGGAUUUUCAGUAAUUUGAUAAAUCCAAUUCCAGAAGAAACAUCUAUCAAAUACCCAUUAUUUGUUGUAUUAUCUUAUUUACAUCUUUCUCCUUCUUACCAAGCAUAUACUUAUGCCUUAUCUACUCAAACUAAACCCACUUCUUUUAAAGAAGCCAUUCAACAACCUAAAUGAAAGCAAGCAAUUGAUGAAGAACGUCAUGCUUUAGAGUUAAAUAAUAGUUGAACCAUUGUAACCCUAUCUCUUGAUAGAAAACCUUUGGGCUGAAAACGGGAUUUUAAACUUAAAAAGAAGGUUGAUGGAUCCAUUGAAAUCCAUAAGGAUAUAAUGGUAGCAAUGGGCUAUAGUCAAUAAGGAGUGGAUUUUUUUGGAUACUUUCUCACUUGUGUAAAAUUUAGUCAUAGUCAAACAUUUGCUGCUAACAAAGCUUGGCCACUAAUCCAAUUAGAUGUUAAUAAGCUUUCCCAAAUGGGGAUUUAAAUGAAGAGGUUUAUAUGCACUUACCACAAGGAUAUACUCCAUCUUUGUUUCUAAUUCCAGUGGAAAAUUAGUCUGCAAUUUUGAAAAAUAUUUAUAUGGUUUACAACAAGCUUCAAGGCAAUGGUAUGAUAAAUUUUCAAAAUUUUCUUAUUUCUAAAUAUUUCAAGCAAUAUCAAUAAAAAAAUUCCUUAUUUUUCAAAGGAAAAGAUGAUAAUUUUAUGGCCUUAUUAGUAUAUGUAGACGAUAUUGUCCUUACGGCUUAUUCUCUCACAACCAUUAAUAACAUCAAACAACGUUCAAGUGAUGCCUUUUAUCUCAAAGAUUUGGGUAAACUCAAACAUUUUUUGGGUUUGGAAAUUGGAAGAUCCCCAAAUGGAAUUGUCAUUUCUCAAAGGAAAUGUGUUAGAUCUAUUUGAAGAUGUUAGCAUGUUGGUAUCCAAACCAACCUCUCAAUUAAUGGAUCCUUGUCAUAAAAAAUUAAUUUUUUAUGGAUAACCUGUAUAAGAUCCAUCUCAUUAUCGCCAUUUAGUUGGUCGUCUUCUUUAUCUCACAAUCACACCUCCCGAAAUAGCUUAUGUAGUACACAGAUUAAGCCAAUAUAUUUCUGAUCUAAAAAUACCACAUCUUCAGGUAGCUCAUCAUGUGUUAUGAUUUUUAAAGGAUAACCCUAGACAAGGUUUGUUUAUUUCAUCCAAACCAUCUUUGCAAGUCAAAGCAUUCAAUGAUUCUGAUUGGGUUGGAUGUAUUAACACUAGAAGAUCUUUUACAGGUUUUUGUGUUUUUCUUGGAGAUUUCUUAAUCUUGUGGAAAUCCAAGAAAAAAACCACUUUUCCAAGAAGAUCAAUAGAAGUAGAGUACAGGGCACUGGAUCUGUCAUAAAUGAUGUGAUCUGGUUAAGAUAACUUAUGCGUGAUUUUUUUUAUUAAUUUGGAUCCACCAACAUUUGUUUUUUGUGAUAAUAAUUUUGCAAUGCAAUUAGCUGUCAAUCCUAUAUUUCACUAGAGGACUAAGCAUAUCUAAAUCGAUUUCCAUUUCAUAAGGGAAAUGAUUGUGGAUCACACCAUCAAACUCAUGCCCAUUCAUACUUCAAAUUAACUAGCGGAUAUAUUUACAAAACCCCUUGCUUAUUCUAGAAUUGCUUUGAUUUUAUCCAAGAUGGCACUUAAAAGUAUUUUUUAGUGUACAUCUUGAGGGAGGUAUUAGAGCAUAUUGACCGCUUAGUUGAUUAAAUAUCUAUUACGAUGCCGUUUUAUAUUUGUCAUUAGAAAUAAAGGUAGUGAAACUAUGUCAUUUACUUGUGUAAAUAAGUUGUUAAGUUAGUUAGGUGCAUGUUAGCUAAUGUUGUGCAAGAUAAUAGUUAUAUAUAAUCUCAUUUUAUAUUUAUUGAUGAAUAAGAGAAGAUUAUAUUCCCUUUUCAAUUCUUUUUCUUCUUGAUUGUAAAUCUUUCCUCUACCCAUACCUUUCAUAACCCCCUAAAACUAUUUAAUCAAAUCGGUCACUGAAUUCUUGUUUCCAAUUUUGAUUCGAACGACGGUACCUCAAGCCAUUGUUUCAGAUCUUGAGGUAAAUACAAUUGCUCUAUUUCCCUUAAUUAUAAAUUGCAUUCAUGAUUUAUUGUUGAUUGAUGGUGCUAAAUGUUCAGAUGUAAAUCAUACACAUUGUGAACUUAUAGAAACAAUAUGUUGUUCCUAAAAUUGGUAAAAUCCAAAAUCCAAGAUGAUGCAAAUAUCGAUGCUCUACUAAAACUCAUAUAUGUCAAUGGCGCUACAUGAUGGAAAAAGAGCCACUUUUAGUUUGUUGUCAAAAGGCAAAGUGAAGUUAAGACAGUCUUCUCUCAAAUACGACCUCUAGCCUUAGGCUUCAAGUUGUUUCUCGUGUGAGUUUGGGUCUUUCAAAAUUCAACAAAUUUGCUACAAUGGAUACAAAUGUUCUUUAUGGAUACAUCACUAGACUGUAAAAUGAGAUUGAUAACAUUCACGAUGUUGUUAGAUUGCUUACAUUCAUGAUGUUGUUACAUUGGUAAAAGUCCGAGAUGACAUCAUGGUGGACGUUGGUAGAACGAGACAUGACAUUGUGUUCCUGCUCAGUACUACGCUUCCACCAUACUUAGUGUCACUUAUAUGUAGAAAGGUGUUAUCUAUAUCAAUUUUAUAUAUUAUGUAUAGUGUAGGGAGACAAUUUUAACAAUGUAUUGUAUAAAUAUAUUCUGCAAUAUACGCCUCCAAAUGAUGAGGUUUUUCCCACUUUAAUAUGGUAUCAAGCUACGGUUUCUACCCUCUUUAAUCAUACGUAUGGAUCAAACCUUUUACCGCCUCACAUUUUUUUUUCUGGCCAUUAAUCACGUUGUCGCUGCUCUUAUAUGCCACUAUAAUUGUCGACUGCUUCUCAAUUUUUCUCGACGUGCUCUCCUCCGUGCAUUAGGGUCUUCCUAAAAUAUGGUUGUGGUUGAUUCUUUUAUGUUUCCAACAAUAUUUUACAAUCUCCUGCUGUGAUCACAUAAUUUUGCCCUCAUCAUUAUUGUGUGCGUUUCUUGCUCCUUAAGGUAUUGCCUCCAUGACCACUCCUGGUUCAUCCUCUACCACCACUCCCAUGAAGUUAAGUCUCGUUUGUACUCUCACCAACGUUUACAAUCAUUUUAGUUUCAAAUUAAAUGUUGAUGAGCCAAACUGUAAACUAUGGAAUCAGAUUUUUUCAAACAUGUGUCGAGGCACAUUGUCCUAUGGUAAUAUUUCAUAGAAAUCGGUUCCAACCAGAGAUGAUGAGGAAUGAUAUUCGGUUGAUGCAAGGCAUCAAUUCUUAUUUUUAUAGUAUUGUGAUCCCGAGUUUCUUCAAUUCAUCUUGAGCGAUGAUUACACCACCACAAAUCUUUCGAAAAAAUUAGAUGAAUUUUUCGGAACAACAAAAUAUCUCGAAUGUUGCAAUUACAGGAUUAAUUUCGCAAUACGAAGAAGGGUUCAAGCUCCAUUACCGAAUUUUAUCACAUUCUCAAGAACCGUGCCAAUGAUCUCAAAGAUGUUGGUUCCACCAUCAUCGAAAUUGAGCUAGUAAUGCCAAUCUUGAGACAAUUACCAUCUCAUACCAUAGUAUUACGGAUGUCAUCACCAACAUCAAGCCUUUUCACUCUUUCCUUGAGGCCAAGAAUAUGCUUUUACUUCAUGAGUCUCGAGAAACGGCUUAAGAUUCCUUCACAAAUUCAUCCAUGUCUCAUAGUGUGGCUCUAUUUUCCUCAUCCAACAAUUUGGGAAAUCCAAAUACCGAUGGUCGAAAAACUGGAACAAUUCCCGAAAAAUUGAAAAACAAUGCACAUGGAAAUCAUUUUGAUUCGCAACCGCAAUUUAUUAGAAUUCUUGGAAAUGCUCUGUUGCCACCUCCGCGUGCUGCCUCUGGUUACGUUGCUGCUAUCCCAGCUGCUUCGCACUUAAUCCUACUGUCUUACAGCUCCUAUCUGUAGGUUCCAUUCUCGCCGAAUCAGCAGCCCACGUGACAACUGUCAGUGCCUCCGCAACCCUCUUCUCAACAUUUCACUUUUCAUCAGCAUCUGACUCAUGUUGUUGGGUCUUCAUCAUCAGCUACACCCCUCAGACUUGUUUCUCAACAACCAAGUCAGGUGCCUCACGGUCACUUUUCUCAACAUCAAUUUUUUGGUGGAUCUACUUUUGGUUGUCACGUUCAGACUACUCCUUAACAAUUCAUCGAUAUCGCCUCUGCCUUUCAAUCCAUGUCUCUUCAGCCGCCUCUCGACAACAACGUUUACGUGGACUCCGGUGCUAGCUAUCACAUGUCCUUCAAAUCAGUUAACAUGCCUUGCCUAUCACUACGUAAUUCUAGAUCUCUAAUAGUUGCUAAAGGUGCUAUACUUCAUAUUACUCAGACUGGUCAAAUUUUUUUUCCACAUUCACACAACUGUUUAGCUCUAAAUAGCAUACUUGUCUCAAAUAAAAUUGUUAAAAAUCUCAUUAAUGUAUGUCAGUUCACUGUUGAUAACUUUGUCUCUGUAACUUUUGACCCUUUUGGUUUCACUGUGAAGGAUUUUAAAACAUGUGCGUUUAUUUAAAGAUGUGAUAAUGGCAGUGAUCAUUGUCCCGUUAUCCCCAUGCCAACUCCUUCUUUUUCUAACACUAGUUGUGUUGUUGUUUCUCUCCCAACUUGGCAUAUGCGUCUUGGUUACCUUGGCUCAUCUAUUUUGAAUUUUUUACAUUCUUGCAAGUUUAUUUCCCAUACUACUACUAAACUACCCAUCUAUCAUGCUUAUUAGCUUGGGAUGCAUUGUCGUUUACCCUUCUCUUCGUCUAUAAUUAAAACUACUAGUAUGUUUGAAUUGGUGCAUUUAGAUUUAUGGAUAUCUCUUAUUGCUAGUCUAAGUUGUUUUAAAUAUUAUAUUUUUUGGAUGAUUUUACUCAUUUCUUAUGGGUUUUCCAUCUUCGUGAAAAAUCUGAUAUUUUUGAUGUUUUAUCUAACUUCCAUGGAUGUGUCCAAACUCAAUUUAAACCUGACAUCAAAUUUUUUCAAUGUGAUAAUGGUUGUGAAUUCAAUAACAAAUCUGUUCUCACUUUCUGUGCCCAUAAGGAAAUCAAAAUUGGCUUCUCUUGUCCGUAUACGUCCCAACAGAACGAUAAGGUUGAAAGAGUCAUACGAACCAUUAAUAACAUCCUUCGAACUUACCUGUUUCAAGCCUCCCUGCCUCCAACAUUUUGGGUUGAAGCUCUCCUCAUUACUGUUCAUACCCUUAAUCUCCUUCCCACCUCCACUCUUGCGUUUCAAACACCCUUUGAGCUUCUCUUUGGUGUUUUUUCCCUCCUAUGAUCACCUUUGAGUAUUUGGGUGCCUUUGCUACCCAAAUCUCUCAUCCACGACUCCCCAUAAGAUCUCUUAUAGGUCUUCUUCAUGUGUAGACCUCAAUCCCUCCUCUAAUCAUUGUGGCUUUUGUUGCCUUAAUCUCAUCUCCCAACGAGUAAUUAUCUCUCGUCAUGUCAUCUUUGACGAUCACUUCCAUUUCUCUACCUUUCAUGAUAAACCCUCAACCAAUUACUAUGAUCCUUUCCUUUCCGAGGAUAUACCUCCCCUCCUUACAGUAUGCACUACUCUUCGCAUCACUGAGCCCUCUCCUAGUGAAUCUUCUCCCGCUCUUUCUGAUAGUAGUUCCCCUCAACCCACUGCCUCCUCCUCCUUUCCUAAUACUAUUCCUACCCCCUCCUCCUACCCAUCCCAUGGUCACUUGCUCUCGCACUGGCUUUCUCAGGCCUAAGUAGAUUUUUAAUCUAUUUGCCACUUCUGAUGUCUCCCCUAUCCCUCGCUCUAUAUCUCAAGCUCUAUGUGAUCCUAACUGGAUUUUUCCAUGGACUCUGAAAUGCAGGCUCUUCACUCCAAUCACAAAUGGGAACUUGUUCCCCUUUCUCCAUGCCAAAAUUGUUGGUUGUCGCUGGCUUUAUUGUCAUAAGUUUGACAGAAAAGGUAACCUAGAUCGCUAUAAAGGUUGCCUUGUUGCUUAGGGAUUCUCUCAGCUUCCUGGUCUUGACUUUGAUGAUACCUUCAGUUCUGUUGUCAAACCUGAUACGAUUUGUACUGUUCUAAUUAUUGCGAUGUCCAAGCAUUAGCCAAUUCAUCAACUAGAUAUCAAAAAUGGUUUCCUACAUGGUUACCUAUCUGAGGAAGUUUACAUGAAACAACCUCAUGGGUAUGUCCAUCCCUCCCUUCCUAAUCAUGUAUGCCGACUUCUCAAAGCUCUUUAUGGUCUCAAAUAGACUCCCAAGCCAGGUACCAACGCUUUGCUGUUUUCAUCACCUCUCUCGGUUUUACUAGAAGUCGGUCUGAUUGUUCCUUAUUUACUUAUCACUCUGGUUUCGACCAUAUCUUCUUUCAUUUUUAUGUUGAUGAUAUCAUCCUCACCUCCUCCUCUUUCUCCACUCUCAUCACUCACAUUAUCUCAUGUCUCUCGUCUGAGUUUUCCAUGUCCAAAUUGGGUCCUAUUUCCUUAUUCAUUGGCAUCGAUGCUUUUCGAUCUGAGGAGAGUCUAAUUUUAUCUCAGGCUUCCUUUAAUGACAUCUUAGCUCGUGCUGACAUGUCUUCUUGCAAUCCGUGCAGUACCCUAUCUGACACUAAAUCUAAACUUUCUCCUCACGGCUCUCCUGUCUCUGAUCCCACUCUCUACAGGAGUCUUGUUGGUGCCUUACAAUAUCUUACUUUCACUCGUCCUGACAUUGCAUAUGUUGUACAGAUCUCUCUUCAUGUUUGCGUGAACCUCAUCUUCUUGCUCUUAAACGUAUCCUUCACUAUCUUCAGGGUACUAUUUCUCAUGAUAUGUUUAUUCGACCUUCCUCCAUUGAUCACUUGGUCUCCUAUUAUGAUGCAAACUGGACCGAGUGUCCUCAUACUCGUUGGUCUACUUCUGGGUUUUGUGUUUAUCUUGGCAAUAAUCUCGUCUUUUGGUCCUCUAAACAUCAACAUGUUGUUUCUCACUCCUCAGCUGAGGAUGAGUAUUGUGGGAUGGCUAAUAUGGUUGCUAAAGCUGCUUGGCUUUGUAAUCUCCUUCUUGAGUAAUCUUGUACGUUAUCUAAAGCAACAUUUAUGUUUUACUAAAUGUGAGUGCCAUGUAUUUAUCUUCUGAACCAUUAAAACACGAACGUAUUGCUCGUGCCGUCGAUUCACUAAUUUGCAGAUAUAUUUACAAAGGGUCUUCACCGGUUUAAAUAUUUGUAAAUCUCAUGCUCUAACUAGAGGGUGCCUUAGUUUAUAUUAGUUUAUAUAUAUUAUGUAUAGUGUAGGGACCAAUUGUAACUUUAUAUUGUAUAAAUAUAUUCUGCAGUAUAUGUCUCAAAUUGAUGAGGCUUUUCCCACAUUUAACAAAAGGAAAACUAAAUUAACACCAAAUUGCCCAAAAUUAAACCAUAUAUUAUACUAAAUUAAUUCACAACAGUUCGACAUCAAUCAAAUAUUAUCUCGCACUCGAAUUCACAAAACUCACUUUCCGGGUACAAAGUUUGUAGCAUAUGACCAUGCAUUGUUUGCAACAGGGUCAGCAAGGUGGUCAGCGAGGUUCUCCAAUGGUCCCUUUCCGGUAACAAUGGCUUGAACAAAGAAUCCAAACAUAGAGAACAUGGCUAGUCUACCGUUCUUGAGCUCCUUCACUUUCAGCUCAGCAAAUGCCUCUGGGUCAUCAGCCAGACCCAAUGGGUCGAAGCUACCACCAGGGUAAAGUGGGUCAACUACCUCACCAAGAGGUCCACCAGCAAUUCUGUAACCUUCAACUGCACCCAUCAAGAUCACUUGGGUAGCCCAGAUGGCUAAAAUGCUUUGUGCAUGGAUCAAACUUGGGUUCCCCAAGUAGUCAAGACCACCCUCACUAAAGAUCUGGGAUCCAGCCUUGAACCAUACAGCCUCACCAAACUUGACACCAUUACGCGCCAAGAGUUCGGGGAAGACGCACCCAAGAGCUCCGAGCAUGGCCCAUCUGCUGUGGAUGACCUCAAGCUCACGGUUCUUGGCGAAUGUUUCAGGAUCAGCAGAGAGCCCAGCAGUGUCCCAACCGUAGUCACCGGGGAACUCACCGGUCAGGUAAGAUGGGGCUUCGCCGGAGAAUGGGCCAAGGUACUUAACACGGUCGGGGCCGUACCAUGGACUUCCUGAUGGUGCGACUUUCUUGACUGCUGUCUUCCUCAUGGAAACCCUUCCAUUUCCGGUGAUUUCUGAACCAGAUGGUGCUACUUUCACCGCCUGUCCGACGAAAGAAGAGGAUAGUGCCAUGGUGGAAGCUGCCAUUUUUGUGAGAUUUGUUUUGAAGAUGUUUUGAUGAUAUGAUAGUAUUAUGAGUGAUGAAGAUGUGUGGAUCUGGAACAUAGAUUUAUAGGGUGGUUUUUGGGCCAAGUAGUUGAUAAAUGUUUAUCUUGAUGCAAUUUUUAACUUCAUUUUGAUUGGCUACCAAGAUUUUAGUUCUAUCAGUGGGUCCAUAAUCUGCGUGGUUCCACUAUUCGAGUUCUCUGGCCCACAUGAGAUAUUUGAAGGGGCAGCGAUAUUCAUGGCUCUGUCUUAUUAAGCGAAUAUAAUGGCUAGAAAUCUCAGCCACUAGCUACCAUGCACAAACCGGUUUUUUUUUUGAACCGGACCGCUUCAAAAAUCCGGUUCGGUUCUAGUCAAUUUAGUCAAAACCAGUUUGGUUCCAAACCGGUCCAGCUUCAAAAUAAUUCAAACGUAUGUAAACUCGUUAAAGAAAAAACCGGUUCAAAAAGGGUUCAAAACCAGUUUGACGGAAAAAAGGUUUUUUUCAAUUUUUAUUUUGUUUUUAGGCUAAUAACUGAAAAAUAGGAAUUUUUUUUUAUAAUAUUGCUUUUAUUGUGUUUAAAAAAAAAGUUUCACACUAGGUUUUUUGAAAAUGGAAGUGGAAUGAAUUGGGAAUUCAUAAGCCUUUUUUUUGGUAAUACACACGUACACACGUCCAUAUGCCAAAAGGUUUUUAUUAUUAUUUUUUUUAUUUCUUGUUUAAUCUUUUGAUGUAUUAAAUUUUUUUUUUGUUUCAGAUUUGAUGUUUUAUCUUUUUUUUUUUCAUUUUUUUUGUUUUUUAUAUUGGAAAUACAUAAUACAACUUCAAACAUAAAAACACAAAACAUCCAAAUUGUCAAACUAAUACAUCUUCAAAUAUAAAACAUUGAUGUCGUCGUAGUCUUCAUUCCAAGUCCGUAGUCAUUGUAUUUAUUCGUCAUCCGCCAUGUCGUUGCGUAAUUCUCUCUCAUACUCGAUCUCUUCUAGGGUGAGUGACACCGACAUUCCCAUCGCUACUUCUUCCUCAUGUACUCGUGCUUCGACAUGCAACGAUGUGCCUUCUAGUGCUUCGAUGUCUUGUAUCCUUUCCACGCCAUCAAGGUAGUAUUUCAAGCAAAUGCACACUUCCACCGACAAAUGGGUUAGUUUUGUUCUUCUUGGUGAUAUUACCCUGCCACUAACAGAAAAACCGAUUCCGANUUACCCUGCCACUAACAGAAAAAGCCGAUUCCGAAGCUACCAUAGAAGCUUGGGAGCUUAGUAGAUCACGGGCCAUAGCGGCUAGAAUUGGAAAUUAGGUUUCCUUUCCUUUCCACCAAACCAAAAUAUCAAAAUUUUCAAACUCUUGAAUACUCAUUUCACUACUAGAAAAAUAGCCUUUUACGACGCGCGAACAACGACACGCGCUGUUUUAUGAUACACAAUAGUGUGUGCCCUAAAAAUAAUGUCGGCUCUCCAAAAAUUAGAAGGAUUUAGGGUACGCAUUUUUGCGCGCCCUAAAAUAAGUGUUACAUUAAAAAAAAACACGGAGGGCACAUAACAUAAAACGCGCGUCCACUAAGUAUGUCGCUUUAUAUUUUUUAAAUGAAAUGCGGGUCACAUUUUUUAGGGAAAACGAAAUUCCAAAAAGUUUGAAAGGCCCGCCAUGUUCCUACCUUCUUUCCACCGUUCUUCUCUCCCUUACUCAAAAUACCCAAAAAAAACCCUAAUAUACUCAUCGCUCCUCUUUUCUCCCAUAACAAACUCGCACCAUCACCAAAUCUCUGAUCUCCCACCAGCAAAAGGUCUCCUACCGAUGUCUCCACCUACUCUCUGCCCUCUCACUAUUUCUCUCAAUUAAAAACGCUAGAUCUCUCAAUCAGAGAACCAUGGCUACUUCUCCUUUCUCCCACACCAGUUGGCAAAAAGUGAGGAGUCUCGAGCCUAGCAGUUGAUAUUCACAUGCCCUCUUAAAUUGAAGGAAUCAGAACAUUGUCGACAUCAAUUCGUUAAUCAUCACUAGAGAAAUCAGAUACGCCAUCUGGUUGAUGAGUCAAGAGAAAUCACAUAUGUCAUCGCUUCAGCAAUCAUCCCUCCUUUUAACCGUAAGUUUUCAAUCUUACACUUUACAAAUAUCAUAUAAACAUCUCUCUCUCUCUCUCUCUCUCUCUUUCUCUCUCCUGCUAUACCUUGAUGAAUUAUCGCAUACAUAUGGAGGAACUGCUUUCUAAAAGCCAGCUAUCGGGAGAGUCAACAGGGUCAAUUGGGUGUUCAAAAGGUGCUUCGAUAUCAUCUUCCCGCCAGCAAAUCUCUGUUAAAGUUGUCACAGAGUAAUCCAUUUGAGUUUGGGCAUAUAUUUUUUGUUAUUAAUUUAGGGGGAGACUGUGUUCCAUGAUUUUGGUCAUGCAUUUCUUCAGCACACGCUAACAAGACAAGAUGAAGGGCUUGUUGUUGGUAUUCGUGGCAUAGAGUGGAUGCUGUUGAGUUACCUUUCCAGUUCAUGGAAAAUUGGUGCUACCGUAGGUAGGUAUAUAUAUCUCCAAUUUCAAGAUGUUGUUCAACUGCUGCAGGAACGAGGUGAGGGUGGCUGAUGAGAAUUUGUGACAGGAACUAUCCGAUUGGGGAUUCCAGCUCAAGUGGGGCAGUUGGCGCAUCAGAUCCAGCAGAAUCAGAAGAUAAUGAGGCCUUUAUUGCAAUUCUCUUCUUUUGAAUAUGAAAAGAUGCACUUUUCAGUCCUAAUCUGGGAUGUGAAAAUGAAAGGAACCCCUGUUUAGCCAACAAAACAAAGUAAAAUUCAGUUACAACACUUACCCAAAUAUAGCAUUCUACCUUUAAUUUUUCUCAUCAAGACAAAAUUGAAUCAGUUAUGAAACCGACCACAUAAAAGGCUGUUUUUCUAGAGUUGCAAUGUUAGGAAUAAAAGUCACAAUGGUAUGUGGUCGGUUUCAUAACUGAUUCAAUUUUGAUGAGUAAACAGGUUAGAUUUCAUAUGGUUGUUUGUUCAGAUUGGUAUUCAUCCUGAUUUUCCUUCAAUUAUGCAACAACUAUGCUGGAAUUUGCUAUGUUCCAUACUCGGAUUUUGAAUUUAUCGGAAAAUUGAAUAAUUAAUCUGGAAAAAUACCAUCUUUGAAUGAUUUUUUUGUCAUCUGUAGAUAAGGAAUACCAUCUUUGGGUAAUUAGUUUAUCUAGUCUACAUGAUUAAAUUAAUGGACAUAUAAUUCUCUAUUGAUAGAACAAAAAACAUUGCUUUGUAGUGAAGAUAAGGAAUACCAUAUUUGGGUAAUUAGUUUAUCCAUACUCGGAUUAUGAAUUUAGCCCACCAUCAGCAGGGGAUUGCUGAGUUUUAUGUGACCAUAAUGCCCUUUCGGUUUGUAGUGAAGAUCCAAGCAUGUAAUUAAUAACACCUCUAAUUAAUUAAUUAAUUAAUCCCCUAAAACUAACUAUGGUUAAAUUAAACUGGUGGUAGGUGCCAGUGUACAUAGGGGCACAUAUGGUCAAAUAUGUUUUAAUUAUUAGUCUAAUAUCUUUUGAUACUUAUCAAUAACAACAAAAUAAUGUAAAAUCGUGUGAAUACAAUUCAAGGGUAUAAUGGUCUAGACAGAGAUUAUUUUUAUUAAAGAUAUUUAUUUAUUAAUCAUCAGAGAAGAAGGAAUUAAUAUGAAAGAAUCACUUACUGCAAAAUAAUCUUCAAAUGUAAAAUCAACAUAGCCUAAGCCCUGAUUUUUAUUUCACCACAGGUUGGCGAGCUGGCGGGAAUAGCUUUGGGAGCAACUGUCAUGCUUAAUAUUCUUAUAGUUGUGUACGUUAUGGUCAAAAUAGUUCAGCAAGAACCUCUGUUGAAAUGAUAUAGGCCACUAAUUAUUUAAAACUAUCACUGGCUCCUCAUUAUGGUCAAAAUAGUUGGUCUGUUAAAAAUUGUGACUAUGAGCAAUUUGCCACUUCUAAAUGGGUUCUUUGUAGUUUUCCUUUCUAUAAUUCAGGAAAUAGGAUCAUAUUUUACUCUUGCAGAAAUAGUUAUGGUCUGUGAGCAUUCUUCCAGAUUGUAAGAACGUAAUUUUCAACACAACAAAGGUGAAAUUAUAUCUAUGUUUUCUUGUGUAUUUAACUUCACAGGAGCUGAAACAUGAUCUAAUUUUUUUUAUCUAUUGGUUAUGUUGAAUAUGGAUAAAAGGUUGUGGCUCAGAAAAGUGUUGGUGAUGCUUCUACAUUUGUUGAGAGUGAAUUUUCACUGUCAAAUUCAAGUUGGAUUUGGUAUGUAGAAAAAGUGUGUGUUUAGAGUAAGGACUUUUUCCUUGUUGGACUGUAAUAGUAGACCAAUAUGAUUCGUUUUAUAAAACCCUUAGACAGAUCACAGUUGGUUCUGCAAUUGCAUGGUCAGGUAAACAUUCUAAACACAUUUUCAAUUUAUUUUGUGAUAUUUAAUUUCUCCCAUAUUCUUUUAAAUUAUAUUAUAAUAUGCUUAUAAACACUACUUUCCUUUCAUGUAGCCAAAAAAUUGUCCCAAAGUUGACUGAGGUACUUUGGACAAAAAUACAAUGUUAGCUUACAUCUUUAUUAGUUAAUAUAAUCAAAUUUCUAAUUUUAGGUGCUAACUGAUACGCGUCCGCAAGUUCAGUCUGCAUGGCAGACAACACUCCAGCAGGUUUGACUAUAUUCUUAUGGGUUGUGGCAUUCACAUUCCCAUAGUGAUCUUGAUAAAGUUGCUUCUAUUUCCAUGCUAAGUUGGCUUUUAUUUGUAAUAUAGGAGGUCCAAAAUCUUGCAAAGAAGGCUGCAGAAACUGUGGUGUUGGUAAUUGAUGAUGAAGGGACUGAGUAUUUGAUAUCAGAACUUCUCAAGUUGCUUCUAUUUCCAUGCUAAGUUGGAUUUUAUUUAUCUUACUGUUUAUUAUCAUUUUUUAUAUAAAAUUUCAUCAUUUAUAUUAUAUAUAUAGUACAUUAUAGACUUUGCAUCAUAAUUUGUUGAAUGUUACAAGAUAUAAUUCAAAAUUCAAUUUCCUCAUGUUGUUGCUGAAAUGACAGCAAUUGGUUUUGGCCUACCAAAGAAUGCAUUCACCGCUUUAAUGAAGAAUGUAAGUGUUUAUUUUUCUUUUCUGUUUGGUGAAAAUCAUCAAAUGACAAUCUCAUUAUAUAUCUUAGGAUCUUAUCAGUUAAUAAACUUGAUCGUGGGUAUGAUCAAGCAUAGGUUUACAUUUAUACCCCUGCUUUUAUCUUUUAUCUUUUAUGUUAUAUAAUUAUAUUCCCCCUUUUUUUAUCAGGUUAAUUUGGUGGUUAAUUAUGAUCUUCCUAUAAGACAUGAUCAUCAAUCUCACUACAAGAAAAAUACCCUUUUACGACGCGCAAAACACGACGCUCUUUGAUUUAUGUUACGCAUUAGAGAGCGACAUUAAAAAAGUGUCAUCUCUUAAAAAAUUUUAAGGAUUUAGGUCGCGCAUUACUGAGUGCCCUUAAAUUAGUGUCUCAUGUAAAAAUAUUAAAAACACGGAAGGCACUUGUGCGUCGUCUGUGAAUGUCGUUUUAUAUUUUUUUUUAAGAAACACGCGUCUCGGAGGGAAAAUGAAAUCCCCAAAUUUUUUAAACCCCCACCUUUUUCUCCCUCGUCUCCACCCCUCAUCCACAUCCACUACCUCCGAUCCUCAUUUCCUCUUCUAGCCUCAAACUACGGCGAUGCACCUUCCUUCUCGAAGAAUGCUUCAUUUACCACCAUCGUCCGAUUAUGUGAGCCCAAGGAAUUGACCAAGACGAAGAAGAUAAUGGAUCAAUUGCUUCACAUCAUGUUUAAGGUUAAGGGUUUGAGUUAGUCCGCAACAGGUAAUCGAAUUUUGCCUAAUAUAUAUUUCUACUCUCAAACUGUUUAUUCGUCCGAUUGGAUGCAUAUUUACUAUUAAAUUUGGGGAUUUUCUUUUAAAACCCCCGCGCCUCUUCUUGUUUGUAGCUAAACAACCGUGAAUUUGUUAGAGUGAUUGGAAGAGGAAAAAUAGAAGAUAGAAGAAAAAGAAGAAGAAGAAAAGCGAACAAACGGGAUUUCUUGACCUGAUGUGUUAAUCCGUGAUCAGGUCUUCUGAGCGAAGAGAAGAUCUGAGGCUCAAUUGAAGAAAUAUGAGCGCUUCUAGAUUUAUAAAGUGCAUCACAGUCGGUGAUGGCGCUGUCGGGAAGACUUGUCUCUUGAUUUCCUACACCCGUAACACCUUCCCCACGGUAAUCAUCUCUUCAUCAACCGCCUUCAGUUUCUGCCCAACUAAAGCACGGUUACACACUUAUUUCUCUUCGGACGUUUCUGUGGCUUCCAUGGGAACGGAGGAGGAUGAUAUAAAUGAGGCAACAACUUCAUUCGCUACAUGUUUGAACCUUAAAUUGAAGGGAUUAUAUAUUGAAAUUUGAAUCUACAACUUCGAAUUUCAGUCAUCUCUCUUCUCUUCUACAUCUCACCUGAUUCUCUAUUGAAAUUUCUAGGGUUUUUAAUUGAACCUACAUCUUCAUCUUAAUCUUCUUUUCUGAAGUUAGGGCUUUUUUCUUAAGAACAACUAAUUUUUUGCAGUAAGUAAACCUCUAAUUUUUUCAUUUCUCAUUUCCUUAGACCUCUCCCCUUUCCAUCUCAUAUCGAGGCAAAAUCAAUUUCACUUUGGUGGCUUCGAUUUCCUAGCACAUAUUAUGUUAUUAUAUGGAUUUGUAGGAAAUUAGAAAUCAUGUUAGAAUGUUUGAUGUUCUGUAUGUUCAUAAAAGUACAUCUAAAACAAAAAUCUUAGAUUAAACAAAACUGAAGCAUUUAAUGAGAUGUAAUUACUAACUUUUGUUGGAGAUGCAAAUGCUAAAUAAAGAAAACUGAAGCAUUAAAUGAGAACCUUUAUAAUUCGAUUUCAUUCAGAUCUUCGGUGGAUAUUUAGGGCUAACAAAGAAAACUGAAGCAUUUAAUGAGAUGUAAUUACUAACUUUCGUUCAAGGUAACCCCUGUUAUGAAUACAUGUAAGAAUUUAUUUAUCUUUUUCUCUCACCACUUGCUAUCCAUGUGCUGCUCUCUCAUAGUUGAUAUCUAACAACAAAGACCUGAUCAGUCUAGUUUGCUUGUUUUUUUUCUUUUUCUUAUAAUUCUUGAAUACGUGCAGAUUUUUUAAGACUUCUAGUUUUGUUUUUUGUUCAGUGAUAUUGAUGAUGAGGCAAGUUUAUCAACACUAUGGGAGAGAUAUCAAAGUGUCUCUGAAAAGGUAUUGCGAUAUCAAAGCAUAAAUUAUUUAUGGAUUAAAAUGGGAAAAUGACUUAUAUGGGUAAGAAAGUUUUAAAAACUUUUAAAAAUGACUAUCAAAGUAUUGUUUGUAUAAAAAACACCAACCAAGUUUACCAUUUUGUCAAAUCUAACAGGUUGGUAACCUGCAUCUGCCGGUCAAAAAAAAUUACCUGAUCAUUUUAAAAACUGAAAUUAUAAAUGACAUGGCAUCCUUUUUUAGUCUUACGUGGAUUAAUUGCAAGGGAAGAUCCAUUUUCUCAGCGUUCUUUCUCAAAAUCAGGAGGGAGUCAACACAGAACCCUCUCUAGGGUUAGUUUCUGCCCCUGUAUACAGUUAUUUUUGUUUAAAUUGACUGAUUUUAACAGUUGACGAAUAUGCUCCUGCUUUGGGCUAAUCACACAUAUGUCUUUUUUAUGACCAAAUUGCCCCUGUAUAUAGUUUUUUUUUGUUACAAUUGACUGAUUUUACCAGUCAAUUAAGGUGUUGUUUAGAAACUGUUAGUAUCCAAGACCAUUUACAUGCUCGUGCACAAAGACGAAUUUGCCCUUGAUUGUGACCAAACUGCCCCUGUAUACAUAUUUUUUAUUACUAAAAACACCCCCUGUCCUAGAAAAAUAUGACACUUCUAUACAAAAGCUAAUACCAAUUUCUCACUACAAAUCAACUAAUAAGAAAAGAAGUGGGCAACUCUCUAAAAUGACCAAAAUUUGAAUUGCAGUGUCACAAAUUGACAAUUUUUUAAAGCUAUAAUGAAAUAAUGCUUUGUUUUGUAAAAUAUACAAAAUCCGUUUGUUGUUGUGUGCAACUAAUCCACAAACAUUUACAUAAUUCUCGUUAGUGUACUUUGCAAAGUGGUGCUGAAGUAAUUUGGGCAACAAAAGUACAUAUAACUAUAUUAAUAUUCUCUAAAUAAUCAUAUAUAAUGAAAUAAUGGUUUGUUUUGUAAAAUAUACAACCCAUACUGUAUUUUUGAUAAAAAAAAAUAAUGAUUUUAAGAGAUUUUGUCCGAAAUACCCUUAUAUACUCUUUUUUUUGGUAAAAAAUUAAUGAUGUAAUAGUUUUUGACUAAAAUGCCCGUAUAUACUAUUUAACAGGUUUGACCCCAUCUGAAUUAUGAUUCAGCUUAAAAUUGAAUGCCAUUUUGACAAUUUUAUUGCUUUUAAGACUAUUUACUGCUGAAAAUAUGUCAAAUUUGUUACAUUUUGCUGCUAUAAAUAGUCAAAAAAUAACUAAAAGUCUACAAAGAUUCAAGGUAACAGUAAAUAAUACUGGCAUUUCCAGCAGCAAAUCUUCAAUUGCAGGGACUAAACUUUGUCAUUUUUAGCAGAAAACUUUAUCAACCAACAAAAAGAGGUUAAUAAAGAAUCUAAAUGGCAUUCCAUUGUAACAGCAUCAAAACACGACCUGCACUCAAAACCCUCCAAAAUAGCCCCUACACUCAAUUGUAACAGCCCCUCUGUUGUGAUUCCUUUAACUGUGACCAAAUUGCCCCUCUAUUGUGAUUCCUUUAGAUUCAAGGUAACAUUGUUUUAAGUGAAAAGAUCAUUUCAUAACUUGUUUACAUAAAUUCUUUCUUAGCUUGUUUACAUAAAUUCUUUUUCUGUCAAUUCCUUUCAAGACAAAAAGAAAGAAAGCAGGAACUUAUAGCCAUGCAAGUAAUUUCAUUAUUUUUCUCAUUAACGAUUGUACUUCCUUUGCUCUUUCUUGCAUAAUAAUAAACAGAUUUAAAGAGGAGUGGAGCCAUAUGACCACCUGAUGCCCCCAAAUCAAUUUAUUUGAGCUAGAUUUGAACGAUUUACAAGGAGAAGAAGAAAAUCAAUUGUCAAGAGGAGAGGAGAUGUAUGACCACCCACCUGAUGCCCUAAAUCGAUUUAUAAUAUGUAUUUUUCAUUUAAUGCUGAGUAGAUGUGCAACACACUACCUAAAUAUGCCAACUAAUCAUUACUUUUGCCAACUCAGCCGUUCACCUGGAGAUCCGGUUACCACCGGGUCAUAUUUGAACAAAAGAUAAACUUCGUUGGUAUUUUUUGUACGACGCCUAUAGUUAAAUGGUAUUUUUGAACAACUAAAACUUCAAUGGUUUUUUUUGAAUGUUUUUGAAACUUUCUUACCCUUAUAAGUCAUUUUCUCGAUUAAAAUUGAACUUUUUUCAUACAUUACCUAACAUUGACUUGUCUUAAUUUGCAGGCAGAAAUACAAAAGGCUUUUCAUAUAUUUCUUAAACAAUUUUUUGUAAUAUACAAGAAUUGGGAGCCAUUAGAUUUAGAUAAUUCCAUAGAACCUUUCAUUGAUUCAAGGGAUCCUCUUUCUGAAAAAAAGAUUGCAGUGGCAUCAGAAGGCAGUCAUAUCAGUGAUGGAAGCUGGUGGUCUUAAUUGGUUAGUAGGUAAGGUAUGCAUCUUCAGAUUUAAUUUCUAUUGAGAACUAAACACAUUUGAAUAUCUGAGAACUAAACACACUUGAAUAUUUAUAAAUGAUGCACACAUCCAAAGGGAUAAUAGCAAUGUUUCUAAUGGCGUCAAAUAGACCUGAUUGUGACCACUAAUGGUUCAUCAGGUUUGUUGAUUUUUAUUUUAUUUUAUUUGAAGUGCAUUAUCUGGUUUAAUAUGAAAUGAUUCAUGUUGAAAUUGGUUUCUUUUGUUACUCCAUAAUACUUGAUAUCUUAUUUUUUGCAUGCAGGUGCUAACAAAUAUGGUGUCAUUAUCAUUGUUGUUGUUGUUGUUGGAUACGGAUAUGUUUGGUGGAAGGUAAAUAUAAGCUCAUAUAUUAAUAUUAUUACUUUUUACAGUUAACUUGUACAUAGUUUUUCUUCAACUAACAGAAAUGGUAUCAUUAACAGGGUUGGAAACUUCCUGAUAUGAUGUUUGCUACAAAAUGAAGUUUAUCUGAUGCCACAUAUGCUUUAGCUAAAUAGAUUGACACUGUUUACUCAUCACUUGCAGUAAGUUAUUUAAAAACUUUGUUAUUUUUUUGUUAUUAAUUUGGGUUGUUUAUUAUGUUGUUUAGGCUACCAAGAGACAUUUAUCUACAAGGAUUGACCGUGUUGAUAGUAGUUUAGAUGAGGUUGCAGAAAUUACUGCUGCUAAAAAAGAGGAGGUAUGACAAGAUAAAGGUUGUUCUAGAUGUUUAAUCUAUACAUAAUGCGGUUUACACCCUGGUGUGGUUCUUUUCCAUUUUGUCUUGUGACUUUGAUAUUGUUUUCUGAGUUGGAUAUGUGGUAUGAUAAAUUAUUUUUACAUGAGAGUAGGCUGAGUAGGGUUGAAUUGAAAUAGGUACUGAAUAUUACCGUUUGACAUGCGAUUUUUUCUAGCUUAAUGAGAUAUUUAUAACAAAUAAUUUUGAAUUUUUGUUGUCUUUUGUAGGGAAAUCCAUCAAGUUCAUCAAGGCCAGCUCUUGAAUUACCAUAGAGAGUAAACUUCUAAUCUUAUACAAAUACAAUGAUUUGCUAAAUUCAAGAAAUAACAAUGCACUUUUAUUUAUUACUUUUAUUAAAACAUCCUAGUUUAAUUUCUAGCUUAAUGAGACAUUUAUUACUUUUAGCAGAGAUCGAUAUAUAUAUGAGCUUUUUGCUUUCAAACAUUGUUGGGGAAGAAUGUUGAAACUUGCUCUUUGUGAAGGUAAUUUUUUUUCUUAAUGCAUUAUCCUCUAUAUUCUUGAUAUUUUUCCCACUUUUUAAAUCUUUUAUCAAAUUCUCACUUUUGGAUACAGUGCUUGAUGAGAGAAUGUGUGACCUAAAUCUUUUAUCAAAUUCUCACUUUUGGAGUUGGCCAUAAGAAAAUGUAGGCAAAGGGUAAUUUGUUAUAGUUCAGGUUGACAAGGUGCUGUAUUUUUCACAUAAUUGACAAGGAGCUGUUGUAUCUAUUCAGACUAGACUUAGAGCAAUGGUUGCAAGAGAUGAGUUCAGCAGAAAAAGAAACAAGGCUGCAACUAUAGUUAAGGUACUAUGGAUGAAUUAUGUUUGUAAAGUAUUUAAGAAAAUGAUUAUAAACAAGGGUGAAUUUGUACAAAUUAGUUAGCUACUUGCANUGAGUAUUUGAUAUCAAAACUUCUCAAGUUGCUUCUAUUUCCAUGCUAAGUUGGCUUUUAUUUAUCUUACUGUUUAUUAUCAUUUUUUAUAUAAAACUUCAUCAUUUAUAUUAUAUAUAAUACAUUAUAGACUUUGCAUCAUAAUUUGUUCAAUGUUACAGGAUACAAUUCAAAAUUCAAUUUCCUCAUGUUGUUGCUGAAAUGACAGCAAUUGGUUUUGGCCUACCAAAGAAUGCAUUCACCGCUCUAAUGAAGAAUGUAAGUGUUUAUUUUUCUUUUCUGUUUGGUGAAAAUCAUCAAAUGAAAAUCUCAUUAUAUAUCUUAGGAUCUUAUCAGUUAAUGAACUUGAUCGUGGGUAUGAUCAAGCAUAGAUUUACAUUUCUACCCCUGUUUUUAUCUUUUAUCUUUUGUGUCAUAUAAUUAUAUUUCCCUUUUUUUAUCAGGUUAAUUUGGUGGUUAAUUAUGAUCUUCCUAUAAGACAUGAUCAUCAAUCUCAACCUGACCAUGAAGUGUAGUUGCACUGAAUCGGAAGAGCAGGGUGAUUAUGGGAGAUGUUAAGUAGUUAUAGGGCUUUAGAUGCUUUCCCUUUGGGUAGGAAAUGUUUUUAAGACAUGAUCAUCAUUCUCUACCCCUGCUUUCCCUCUGGUGUUUAUCUCCCAUAAAACCCUAAAAUGUGGAUGUGCUAAAACUGAAGAAAUUAGAAGACACAUACUGGAUUUUAGCAAGUCGGGUAAGUUUAAAAAUAUCUUAAUACGAUAUUGAUUAGAUUACACAACAUGUAAUGUAGAAAAUAUCAUGAAUAUUUAUGAUCAAUAUUCAACUUUUGAAAAUGUAUCCAGUUUGAUGUUUAUCUAUUUGACAUUUUUUUGAUAGAAAAUGAGAAUACCGGAGAAGAUGAACCACAAAUUUACAUUGAAAUGAUCAAUGGAAUUAUCAAAUCCCUUCAGGUAUCAUCUCAUAUCACUUGCUUAUGAAAUUUAUUCAUCUAUACUUGAAAAGAUAUAUUUAUUUUUGUGUUGUUUCCAGGCUAUCCUUGAUGCAGUUCUCAGCACAACAAUUAUGAUUUUAUGAUGUUAGGCUAAACUAUAAAGCAAUCAUUCUUUGUUUUAGGAAACGUUUCAGAGCUUCUUUAGGCAGCUUAAUGAUGAGUUAUUGAAACAAAAUGGUGCCCCUUUAUAGCAAUGUAGUAUUAGGUUAUAUAGAUAGGAAAAACCUCUUAAUAACAACGUACAAUUAGAUCCCCUUAAUAUCAAUGUAUUACAAUUUUAUGACAUGAUGUUAUUGAAUGAAAUUGAUUGUGUAAUGGAUUGUAUUUUUUGUAUAUGGUAUUUUAUUUUCUAUUAUGAGACAUGAAAUGCAAAUUUAAUUUGAAAAUUAGUAAAUCUAUAAAUAAUUUUUAAAAAAAAUAAAAUAAAAAUUAUGAUACGCAAAAAUGUGUGUCAUCUUCAUUUAUGACAUGGCCUUUCUUGACAGUGGCUUUAAUGAUACGCAUUGCGUGUCAUAAAUACGUGUCGUCUAUAGACGACGCGCAAAAGCGCGUCGUCUCUCGUUAUGACAGGGCCUUCCUUGACGCGCAUGCGCGUCGUCUGACCGUUUUACGACUCGCAAUGAGCGUCGUAAAAGGCAUUUUUUCUAGUAGUGUUUGAGACAAGAAAUCAGAACCAAUGUACCUUCCGAGCUCGCUACUUGGCGCGUUAGACCGAGCUCGUUUGGAAUUUUCAUUCCUCAAAGUAUUAUAAAGCCUAAUUGUUUCGUUAUUUUAGUGAAAAGUGGAUCCGGGUGCCCCCAUAUUUUGCAUCACGUCAUGAAUGUUUGUUGAACCAUAUUUUGUUAAAUAAACUUCAAAUAAAUUUUGAAAAACUUUGUUAAAUUUUGAAACUUCCUUUGAUGCAUAAUCAAUGUCAUCAUCCAAUAAACCCAAAUCGUAACAAAUAUUUUCAAUUAAAGUCUCAACCCCCCCAACAUUUAGAGUUGGAUUCAAAGUGGCGGAACAAGUAAUAAUGGGAGCCAUUUCUUGAAAAUAUUUUUUUAACUUUGCUUUCAUCGGUUUCAUCAUAUUAGCAAACAUUGUGCUCCUCAUUUCAAACUCAUUUAUUUUCGCACACAUUAAAAAAAUUUGGUUUAAAACUAAACAACUUGUAGGAUAAUAAACCCCCGAUAAAAAAGUGGUUGUUUUUUUUUUAAAAAAACAUCAAGCAUGUCUGUAACAAGUUUGAUAGUAUCCCAACUUGAUUCCGGAUAAGCCGUAACCUUAUUACGGUCCGAAGGUUGUCAUGUAACAUUUUUAAAGUAUGUUUUUGACGUAAGGCACAUUCAAAAAUUUUGCAAGUGGAGUCCCAUCGGGUAUUAUUUUCCCAAUUCAGACCUAAAAAGAGGGCAUUCGCAUCGACACAAAAUUGCAUAUAAUUAUGAUAUCGAGCGUUACUAGAACUAAAAAUAUCUUUUAGCAUGUCUUUGAAACCAUCUUUUAUAGUUUCAAUGUGAGUUAGUCCAUCUUGCACAACCAAAUUAAUCAUAUGUGCAACACAUCGACUAUGAAAAAUAAACACCAUCACAAAUUGGUUUAUAUUUUAGUUUUAGUUGUCCAACCGCGACGGUGUUGUUUGAAGCAUUAUCAAAAGAUAUAGAAAAAAUCUUUCCUUCAAGUUUAUAAGUUUUGAUCACACAAUCUAAAAUUUUAAAUAAAUUUCUAUCGGUGUGCGGGUACUCAAACAAUUCAAACGUAAUCGUAUGCUUUAUCAUUACCCAAUUAGUUGGAUUAAUCCAAUGAGCGGUAACACAAAGGUACGCAUCCGGUGAACCGUCAGGAGCCGUCCAAACAUCACAAGUUAAAUUCACACCGGUUUCUAAAGAUUGAAAUCCUAAAAUCAAUUCAUUUUUUGCAAGUUUCCACAUUUCAAUACAAUCGCGUCUAAUAGAAGUACGACUCACAUGGCAAUAUCGUGGUUGGAGAGUAUCUUGGAUGAGUGAAGUCAAUCGUUUGUUGUCGAAGUGGUCAAAAGGCAAGCAUUCUUGAAUCACGAACUUCGUCAUCCUAUCCCGAACUUUAGCCAUAUCGUAACUCCACAAUGUUGCAUCAUUCGUCAUUCUUGUUUGAAUAUGUCCCGACCCAAAUUUCACCGUGGGGCAUCUUUUGGUCAUAUGAUUUUUCAAUGUCGAAUUCUCAUCUUCAUUAAAAAAAGCACCACAUUUCUUGCAUUGCGCUUUUUUAUACCGUUCGACAUUACACACAAAUCGUAGUUGCACAAAAUAGCCGGAUUUCUAUUUGUUUCUUUGAUGCUAACAACGGUAAGAGUGUUUGAUGAAUCUCGAACACCAACGGAAGCCGAAUCCAUUGUUUGAAUUAAGAGUGGUUUUUGAACUAAGAGAGGUUUGCGGUUUUUGAACUAAGAGAGGUUUUUUGAGGUUUGGUUAAGGUAAAGUUGAGACCUAAAAAUGUAAUACAUAUAUAUAUACUAUAAGGAAUAGUUAAUAUGGUAAAAAAGAAGCAAAAAUCGAGUCUUGAACAGCCUCAAACGACUAUAUAGCCGUUAGGAAAAGACAAAAAAACGGUAACAUUACAAAAACCGGUUCACCAACGGCACUUUCGAAAUCUGGUUCAAAACUGGUUCAUCACACCUGUUCAGAAUAAACCAGUUCCAAACCGGUCUCCAGGGUAAAACAUGCGAACUGGUAACAUCCGAUGGUUCGGUUCACUAUGGGUUCGGUUCUUAUGUGAACCGGUUCAAGGCUAAACCGGUUUCCGGUUCACCAACCGGUUCGGUUCCUAAACCAGUUUUUUUGCCCACGCCUACCACUAGCUAGUCUAGGUGGGCUUUUAGUACGGGGGUUUUCAUGAGGAAUAGGUUGAAAGGAGUGUUGGCAUCUCACUGCCGUCAUCUGUUACCAUUUCAUAAGGAGUGGUAGCAUUCCUAGCACAUUAGAUUUUUUUUUUUUGAUUUUUUUUUUUGAACUUAAAUAAAUUAUAUUUUUAUAAAACACAAACAAUUCAAUAUUAAUCAAGAAACUAACUACAUUUUAUAGAUAAAUUUACCUUAUUUAAACAAGGAUUAAUAGAAAGGUCAAAUAAAAUUUAAAUGGUUAACGACAUGCUUAAAAUUUUACAAAUAUAUUGAUUUUGUAACGACACAAUUUUCUACUCUAUCAAGGUAAAGAAACAUUUAUGUUAAUAAUAAAGUGACACUUUAAUAUAUAUCUUCAAAUAAUUAUUAAAAAUAAAUAAUACUAUAAAAAAUUACCAAUACUAUCUAGAAACAAAAACCACUCACAGCACGGAAUUUACAAAACAACCAUCCAACUUCCUUAUUUUUUUGAAAGAGCUUUUACGAUCUCCAUUUCCAUUUCCUUUUUUUCUUAAAAUUACAUCUUACAUCUUCCAAUUUGCUAUUAUCAUUUCUUAAGUUUGUGAAAGUAGACUAUUCCACAAAACUACUCCUCCAAUUGUGUGAAACACGAAGCAAAAGCGAGACCUUUGAGCUUUUUCUUAAAAAAUAAUCCUUGUUUGAGAUGGAGACCACACCAUUGAUGGGAGAAAUGAAGGUUCUAGAGAACGAUUGUAAGAGGAAGAUUAUUGUAUCCACAGGCCAAUAUCCAACAAAUCUCUUUCUCUUUCUUCUCGCUAUGGUGUUGACGAGCCAUGGCUGGCGACUUCCUUGGCGCAAGCCAGGGGGCGGCCUUCAGCGCCCUUGGCGACCGGUGGCGACCUCCAUAGCGAGGCCCACUCCCUAAAGCCUUAUAACACACCAUUUAUUGACCAAGUUUACCCAACAAUGCAUCCCAAUUCAUUAGAUUUGUCUUAUCAUUAUACUUUUUAUACAAUUUCAUCAUUUUUCUAUAAUAUAUUAAAACUCUAUGAAAAUUCAAAAGAAUAUACUUUUGAAUUUUCAUAGAAUUUUAUUAUAUUAUAGAAAUAUGGUGAGAAUCCUAGAUGCUUUUAUCUCUCUUUCAGACUUAAAAGCCAGUAUGCGUUCAAUAAGUACGUGGCCAACUCCGGACCUAGCUUUUGCGAACGUGGGACGUUCACUUCGGAUAGCCUCGAAAUGAGUACCUCUUACUUUAAAAAUUUAUAACUUUGGCAUACGAGCUCCGUUUUCGACAUUCACUUUCAUUUAGACUCUGUUUGCUAAUUUUGAUUUUUAUUUUUAAAUUUAUAUUUUUUAACAGGCCGGGACUGGAAAAGCCCGUUAAAAAUUCAUAACUUCUUCAUCCGACGUUCGUUUUCGUAUGACUUUUUACCAUUAAACUACUAUCGACGAGAUUUUUGAUUCUCAUUUACAUUGUGUUGGAUAAAAAUCGCUCGAUCUAUACUUCGAACUACGGGCUGCACAAUGUUAUGCCAAAUCUUAGAAAAUUCAUAACUUCCUCAUACGAAGCUAGAUUUGGAUUUCUUUUUUAUGCACGCUCUUGGUUUAACGUAUACUACGAUUUUCAUUUAGAUUGCUAAGGCUAAAAAACACUUUAUCGUAAACUCACUUUUCACGUCACACAAUGUCAUGUCAGUUUUGUCGCGAAACUUCGAUAUGUCAUAAAUUCUUCGUGAUCAGGGCCGAUCUUGAAAAAUGAAAUAUUCUUGGAGCCCCAGGACGAGCAAGAAAAAAAUGGCCCUUAUCUUUAUUAUAAUUUUGUAAUUUUAAAUAAAAAUAUAUAAUGAAAAAAAUUAGGCCAUGUGCAGCUGCCCACUUUGCCUCCUUCUAAGCCCCCAUUGUUCAUGAUAACUCGGAUUUCAGCGUUCUUUAUAUUUCUGGAGUCCUUGUCACGACCACUACAACUUUCUUCAUAGAUAUCGGGUUUAUAUAACAUUUUAUUUUUGACGCUUAUUUUUAUUCUUAAUUAAUUAUAUCAUUAUAAACAAGUAUAUAAUCACAUAAAAUCACGUAAUUCACAUAAUACUCAAGUAAUUCAUCUUUAUUACAUUAAAAUAGGUUACAAUGGUUGACCUUGACUAUUACAUCAUCAUACUAAUGUGAAACAACCUAAAAUACGACCCAAUUUUUUUUUUGUUAAAAUAAUACUAAAGAUAUCAACCAUCAUAAUAUAUCAUGAAAUCGUACGUCAUAAAUCCCCAAAAAGUUAUAAUAGAUAUGUCAUGACAAAAGAGUUGUAUCAACAUACCAUAGUAUCUAAAAUAAACUCCCAGGACAAAAGUUGAAACUGUGGUGUGUGCAAUGUCAUCAUCCUGAGCUCUUUCCUUUGCUUGCGGAAAUACCUGAAACCAAAACUGAAACUGUAAGCACAAAGCUUAAUGAGCUCCCCCAAACUACCACAUACCAUACAAUAGCAUAUACAACACAUACUAGGCCUUGCCCACUGCAUCGGACCGAAGUCCGGAAAUUGCAUCGGACCGAAGUCCAGAACUAACCAAGGCCUUGCCCUCUGCAUCGGACCGAAGUCCGGAACUACAUCAGACCGAAGUCCGGAAACUAACCAGGGCCUUGCCCUCUGCAUCGGACCGAAGUCCGGAACUAACUGCAUCGGACUGAAGUCCGGAACUGACUGCAUCGGACCGAAGUCCGAAAUUGUCUGAACAUAACAUAUCAUAAACAUCUCAACCAGUAUGAACACAUAAACUGCAUAUCGCAUCAGACCGAAGUACGAAACACAUAACACAAAUACAUGCUUGAAUCACAAAGACAUCAAGCAUUCUAAGUACUGCAACGGACGGAGGUCCGAAACUUCUGCUAACUAAACCGACCGGCAUUGUAGCCGUAGACCCGUUCCUACUGGAAGGAAAACUCACCUCGUAAUGCUGGCUGCUGAGAUGCUAACUCUAAAAGUGACUGACCGCUGCUUCGGAACUGUCCGACUACAAAUCCCAGAAACACUAGAUUAGUUACUUGCAUAUACCCUCAGGGUAAGAUGACUAUUUUGCCCCUGGUCAAAGUCAACUUCUAGUUGACCGGACUCGCCGACUAUGGGCGCAGAACCGCCGAGUCCCUCCUUUACUAACUCUGACUUUAACUCACCGAGUCCCUUUCCCACUCACUGACUCUCUCUGAACUCGUAGGUCGAAGAAAAAAGGGGACUCACGACUCGACUCGUCGAGUCUGAAGAACAACUCGCCGAGUCCUGCCGUGCAUAUUCCAAACAAACGAAUUCAAAACUAUUCCAGAGCAUCUGACUUGAAGAUCUGAGCCCUUGGAACUAUCUAAACACGUGAAGUUUCUAACUUUACGUGCAACUAAGAAGGAAUGAAGCUAUUUCACUCAAACACUACUUUUCUUGGGAAAACUCAUCCGACUCGCCGAGUUGUAUGAACAACUCGUCGAGUCUAAGGUGAUCUUCAUCGGACUCGCAGAGUUGCUCAUCAAACUCGUCGAGUCUACGACUAUCUUCAUAUGACUCGCCAAGUCACACAUGCGACUCGCCAAGUCCAUUCAGUCCCUUUUUCCAUACAGACCUGAUUUGGGCCAUGCAGUGGCUCCAAAUCACAGAUCCAAGAUUCUAGGGCAUGCUUAUCACGUAAAUUUGCAAACUUUACGUGCAUGCAUGGCUUUAAAGGCUUCAAAUGCCAACCCUAAGCUCUUAAUGGGGUUCCAAGCUCAAGAGGGACCUCAAUCACGACCAUAACCGAAACUUUACUCUUCUAGAAUGCAAUGAGAGUCUAGAUCUGAUGUUUCCAUAAAAGGGGAAGUCCAUCUCUCAAGUUUGAACCAUAAGAGGCUCCAAAGAGGGCAUAACAAGCAUAUAUGAGGUUAUAAUGGGGGAAUGCACAAGGUCAUAACUUCAUUACCUGAAUGAAAAACAGAUGUAAGCUAACUCCUAGAUUUUCCUUCCCUUCUAUGGACCUUCCUUCCUUCCCAAAGCUUCCAAGCUAUCACAAAUACCCUCAAACUCAACAAUGGGGCUAGGGUUUACAAGGGAAAUGUUAUGAGAGUGAUAGAGGCGAGGUUGGGGGCGCAUAAGUGUGUUUAAAUAGGGUGAAAACCCUUAAAAUUAGGGCUUCAUCCAGACAGGCGGACUCGCCGAGUCCAACGUAUGGACUAGUCGAGUAGCCAUCUCAAAACGCGUGAUCGUCCCGUCUCUACUUGACGAGUCAGGCUACAGACUCGUCGAGUACCCCUUCAGAAAUGAAAAUACUUUAUUUGAAUUACAUACCAGAAAUGGGGCGUUACAACUCUCCCCCACUUAUCUUAGACUUUGUCCUCGUAGUCUGCUGCUGCUGCUGAAAAUAACUCUGGGUAAUGCUCCCUCAUCUCCUACUCGGACUCCCACGUCCACUCUGAACCCUUUCGGUGCUGCCACAACACCUUCACUAGCUGAACCACCUUGUUCCUCAAGGUCUUCGUCUUCCAAUCUAUGAUCGCAACUGGUCUCUCGAUAUAAUUCAGGCUGCUAUCAACCUGAAUAUCCUCCAAGGGUACAACUGCUGACUUGUCCACCAAACACUUUCGCAACUGGGAAACAUAGAAAGUGUUGUGGAUCUGGCUAAGCUCUACCGGAAGAUCCAACCGAUAAGCAACCCGACCCACCCGGACCAAAACCCUAAAAGGGCCAAUGAACCUGGGACCCAGCUUGCCUCUCUUCCGAAACUUGAUAACACCCUUCCAAGGUGAUACCUUCAGGAGGACCAUAUCGCCCACCUGAAACUCCAAGUCCGAACGCCUCUUGUCGGUGUAACUCUUCUGCCUACUCUGUGCAGUCUGCAGUCUACUACGAACCUGCUGGAUCAACUCUGUGGUCUUGAGCACCAUUUCAGUGCUCCCAAUGACUCACUGACCAACCUCGCCCCAACAAAUCGGAGUCCUGCACUUCCUUCCGUAUAGCAUCUCGAAAGGAGGACGUUUAAUACUAGUGUGGUAACUAUUGUUAUACGGAAAUUCCGCUAGUGGGAGAUACGUAUCCCAACUACCACCGAAGUCUAGAACACAUGCCCGGAGUAUGUCCUCGAGAGUCUGAAUUGUCCUCUCACUCUGCCCGUCCGUCUGGGGGUGGAAGGCGGUGCUAAAAUGAAGACGAGUCCCCAUCUCGUCAUGAAACUGCUUCCAAAAUCUGGAAGUAAAACGGACGUCUCGGUCUGACACUACCGAAACAGGCACUCCGUGCUGUGCUACUACCUCGCGUACAUAGAUGUGGGCUAGCUUCUUAGCCGAUAUGCUCUCCUAGAUCGGUAUAAAAUGUGCGCUCUUGGUCAGCCGAUCCAUUAUGACCCAAAUCGAAUCCACUCCCCGUGCGGUCCUGGGAAGCUUGGUGACAAAAUCCAUGGUAAUGUCCUCCCAUUUCCAUAUGGGAAUAUCUAACGGCAGCAUCUUGCCGUGGGGUCUCUGGUGCUCUGCCUUGACCUUCCUGCAGGUCAGGCAUCUCCCCACAUUCCAGGCGACAUCCUGCUUCAUGCAGGGCCACCAAUAGUCGGGUCGAAGAUCUCUGUAGAUCUUCGUUGCCCCUGGGUGGAUGGAAAAUCAAGAAUUAUGAGCCUCGUCCAUCAAUACCUGCCAUACUCCGCCCCAGUACAGUACCCAAACCCUCCCAUGGAGGGUCAACAAUCGUUAACUGUCAUAAUCAAAGGAAGCUACUCGGUCCACGAUUCUCUCACACUUCUGCCUCUCCUCCUUGAGGCCCUCGACGUGUGCCUCCCUGAUCUGCUCCAACAAGGGAGUAAUCACUGUCAUCCUCAAGCAUACAUCCCUGAUCGGGGCCGCUGCCGUCUUGUGGCUCAGGGCGUCGGCCACUACGUUGGCCUUCCCCGGGUGAUAAAGGAUCUCACAGUCGUAAUCCUUCACCACAUCUAACCACCGACGCUGCCGCAUGUUAAGAUUCGGCUGGUCCAUGAGGUACUUCAGACUCUUGUGAUCCGUGUAGAUGGUGCAACGGACCCCAUAGAGGUAGUGUCUCCAAAUCUUGAGGGCGAACACCACUGCCCCCAACUCCAAAUCAUGCAUCGGAUAGUUAGCCUCGUGAGACUUCAACUGUCUGGAGGCAUAAGCUAUCACAUGCCCCCGUUGCAUCAACACUGCCCCCAUAUCUGCGAUCGAGGCAUCACAGUAGACUACAAAAUCAUCCACUCUCUCCGGCAAGGUCAGAAUCGGUGCCUCGCACAAUCGCUGUCUGAGAGUCUCGAAAGUCGCCUGCUGCUCAGGCCCCUAACGAAACACCACCGACUUCUUGGUUAGUCGGGUGAGUGGAACUGCUAUCUUGGAGAAAUACUGAAUGAAUCUCCUGUAGUACCCUGCCAAACCUAGGAAGCUCUGAAUCUAUGAUGGAGACUUUGGGACCUCCCACUGCAUCAUGGCCUCUAUCUUGGCCGGAUCUACCAGUAUACCCUUCUGGUUGAUGAGGUGCCUAAGGAAUUGCACCUCGCGCAACUAGAACUCGCACUUGGAGAACUUUGCUAAAAGUUUCUCCCUCCUCAAGACCUCUAGCACCUCCCUUAGGUGCUCCUCGUGCUGCUCCUGAGUCUUGGAAUAAACCAAGAUGUCAUCGAUGAAUACAAUCACAGACCGGUCCAACAUCGGCAUGCACACGCGGUUCAUGAGUUCCAUGAACGCGGAUGGAGCGUUGGUGAGCCCAAACGACAUCACCACAAACUCAUAAUGACCAUAACGGGUCCUAAAAGUUGUCUUCUGAACAUCCUCACCCCUGACCCGCAUCUGAUGAUAACCGGAGCGCAAAUCAAUCUUGGAAAACCAAGACGCUCCUUGAAGCUAAUCGAACAAGGCAUCUAUCCUCGGAAGUGGGUAACGGUUAUUCACCGUUACCUUGUUCAACUCCCAGUAGUCUAUGCACAUACGGUGCGACCCAUCCUUCUUCUUCACAAACAAGAUUGGGGCUCCCCAUGGAGAACUAAUUAGUCUAAUGAAACCCUUGUCUAGCAGCUCCUGCAGCUGCGUAUACAACUCCUGCAUUUCUGGAGGAGCCAACCGAUACGGCGCCUUGGCUAUCGGAGCCGCACCAGGAACCAAGUCAAUCUUGAACUCAACCUGUCUCUCUGAAGGUAUCCCAGGUAAUUCCUCUGGGAAUGAGUCCGGGUACUCUCGCACCACUGCUACAUCAUCUACUGUCAUCGUACUCUUAUCCCGGGUAUCCAUCACAUAUGUGACAUAACCUGCUUAACCCUGUUGGAAGUAGCGCCUCACUCUCACUGCUGAACAAAGAAUCGGUCCGCGUUGUGGGCUCUCGCCCUGAAUCACUAACUCUCCCCCGUUGGGAGUGCGAACCCUCACUAGCUGCAAUUCGCAAUCAAUCAUCGCCCCAUUGGGGCUCAACCAAUCCAUGCUUACUAUGGCCUUGUUCCCUCGCAAAGGAAUAGGGACCAUGUCCACCGAAAACUGCUCAUCGAAUAACUGCAGUGAGCAUGCCUUAUGCACCCUCGUGACCCUGACGGUCCUAUCAUCGGCUAUCUCCACCUCGAGUGGACAAUCCAGCUCCCUAGGAUCUCUGCUAAACCUCUUGCUAAGUGCAAGAGAGACAAACGAUCGGGUAGCCCCUGAAUCAAAUGACACUGUAGCUGAAAUGUCGUUCACUAAGAACGACCCUAUACAUAAACAUAUAACAUUAGAAACAAUCAAUAAUCAAUGCAUAGAUAAAAGGAAAAUACAUACCCGUCACCACGUCAGGAGUCGCUCGCGCCUCCUCUGCUGUUAUCUGAAAAGCUCUACUCUUCGCCACUGGCACCUCGGCCCGCCCCUGACGACCGUUCGUAAUCCUCAAUGUAGCAGGGGCAGGUGCCGACACCUUCCCUGCUGCUGCUAAGCUUGGGCACUGGGACUUUUUAUGUCCCCUCUGAUUGCAAUGGAAGCAAAUCAGAUCUGAUGCUGCGGUAGCUGUGGUAGAAACUGUACAAUCUCUGCUCAUAUGCCUAGUCCAACCGUACUUGUAGCAGCCGGAACUCCCUGCCUUGCACGCCCCAUCGUGUAAUCUCCCACACUUGCCACACCGACUGUGGCUCUGCUGACCUCUGGACCUAUGAUCCGAAACCUUGGGCUUCUUGCCCAAACUCCCUGUACCCGAAGCCGCCUCCGCCUUCCUCUUAUUCUCCAUCUCAAGAUCAAUCUCUCUCUCUCUCUCUCUCUCUCUCGCCCUUGCAAUCAUAUCAUCCAGCAUCUUACAGCUGGAUCGGCUCACAAACUGGCGGAUAUCACUCCGCAGCGUCUCAUGAUAACGGGCCUUCUUCAUUUCCUCGUCAGCUGCGUACUGAGGAACAAGAAGAGCCCUCUCCCUGAACUUGGCGGUAAUCUCCGCCACUGUCUCUAUAGUCUGAGUAAGGUCUUGAAACUCUCUAGCUAACUGUUGCACCUCAAUAGUCGGUGCGAACUCGGCUCUGAACCUGGUGGUAAAAUCAGCCUAAGUCAUAGUAUCAAGUGCUAUGUCAUCCCUGAUACCAUGCCCAACCUCCUCCCACCAGUCACAUGCCCUAUCCUUCAGGAGACAGGAUGCUAAUCUGACCUUGUCCCCUUCGGGACAUCUGCUAGUGCGGAACACGUUGGCAACAUCUGCCAACCACCUAGUGCUCGCAAUGAGGUCCCGCACCCCAUGAUAGCCUGGAGCUCCACAAGCCCGAAACUCCCUGAAGGUGAGUGUGCGCGACCCCAUCAUGGCCGCCAUCUCAGCACGAAAUGUGCUCAACUUCUCAUCCAUCAACUCCAAGAUACCCUCCUUGAUCGAACCGAAGAUCACAGGACUCUGCUCAAGUAUGAUACGGGUAACCUCUGAAGUGAAAAACUCCCUAGUUUGCUCAUCCAACUGCUCGGCCCCCCAGCCUGAUCCUGAUCCUUCCUCGGCACCUGAGCUGCCGACUGCUGGCCUAGGGCGUAAAACCACCAUUCUGAAAACACAUCAUGAUAAACGUCAAAAACACUGAUAUAUCUCUAGGGAUCGCUACUACUAUAGGUUUCCUGGUCUCGCCUCUGCCUUCCUUGAUUCAAGUACAAAUCCUCAACAAAAACCAGUCCUCAACUGCUGAAGGCCUCCUUGUAAUGCCAAUUAGUCAUCACCUGAAUAUCAUCACAUGUGACGAGACUCAGAUAAUCCUUCGAGUAAAAGACUCAUUCCUACAACGGAUGGACUCAAACAAGAGCUGCGCAGUAGAGCCAAAUCCAGCACUCUGAGAUUAUUCAACCCUGAUCUCAGGCGAUGUGUCGUAUUCACCUAAUGGUUAACUCUCAUUACCCGGAGUCUCAUAAAGCACAAAGCAAGCAGCAUUCGGACACAGGAAACUAAUCAAGCCACUCUAUUCUCAUAACAAGAAAUUGUACUAGCAUACAAUGUUAAGCUCGUACUGUCAGGCAUAACCUAAACAGGCUAUCCUACUGCUGUCUACUCAAUACUAGCAUGCAGUUCUCAUAAAGCUGAAGCACAUAUAGCAUGCACAUAAGGCAUCCUGCUAGAUCCUUAGUCCUAUUCUAGCAUGCUGUUCUACUGAAACUAAAACUGAUAAUCAUAACAUAAACUUGUAUGGGUAAUUUAGGGGUACUUACUUGAGCUCGACUGAUCGCAUGCACCACACCCUUUUCUCGUUUUCAAAACUCUUUUCUUUUUAAGUCUCUUUCUCAAAAGUUCUUUUGAACACAUUUUUCUUUCGAAAAUCUUUUUUCUAUUUCCUCAGUUUGAGUUCAGUUACACCCGUAAGUGUGUCUGAAUCCCUCAAACCAAGGCUCAGAUACCAACUUGAAAUAACCCAAAAUACAACCCAAUUUUUUUUUGUUAAAAAAAUACUAAAGAUAUCAACCAUCAUAAUAUAUCAUGAAAUCGUACGUCAUAAAUCCCCAAAAAGUUAUAAUAGAUGUGUCAUGACAAAAGAGUUGUAUCAACAUAACAUAGUAUCUAAAAUAAACUCCCAUGACAAAAGCUGAAACUGUGGUGUGUGCAAUGCCGUCAUCCCGAGCUCUUCCCUUUGCUUGCGGAAGUACCUGAAACCAAAACUGAAACUGUAAGCACAAAGCUUAGUGAGCUCCCCCAAACUACCACAUACCAUACAAUCAUAUAAAACACAUAUUGGGCCUUGCCCACUGCAUCGGACCGAAGUCUAGAAAAUGCAUCGGACCGAAGUCCGGAACUAACCAGGGCCUUGCCCUCUGCAUCGGACCAAAGUCCAGAACUGCAUCGGACCGAAGUCUGGAAACUAACCAGGGCCUCGCCCUCUGCAUCGGACCGAAGUUCGGAACUAACUGCAUCCAACCGAAGUCCGGAAUUGUCUGAACAUAACAUAUCAUAAACAUCUCAACUAGCAUGAACACAUAAACUGCAUACCGCAUCGGACCGAAGUCCGAAACACAUAACACAAAUACAUGCUUGAAUCACAAAGACAUCAAGCAUUCUAACUACUGCAACGGACAGAGGUCCGGAACUUCUGCUAACUAAACGGGCCGGCAUUGUGGCCGUAGACCCGUUCCUACUGGAAGGAAAACUCACCUCGUAAUGUUGGCUGCUGAGAUGCAAACUCUAAAAGUGGCUGACCGCUGCUCCGGAACUGUCCGACUACAAAUCCCAGAAACACUAGAUUAGUUACUUGCAUAUACCCUCAGGGUAAGAUGACUAUUUUGCCCCCGGUCAAAGUCAACUUCUAGUUGACCGGACUCACCGAGUCAGGGCGCAGACUCGCCGAGUCCCUCCUUUACUAACUCUGACUUUAAUUCACAGAGUCCCUUUCCCACUCACUGACUCUCUCUGAACUCGUAGGUCGAAGAAAAAAGGGGACUCACGACUCGACUCGUCGAGUCUGAAGAACAACUCGCCGAGUCCUGCCGUGCAUAUUCCAAACAAACGAAUUCAAAACUAUUCCAGAGCAUCUGACUUGAAGAUCUGAGCCCUUGGAACUAUCUAAACACGUGAAGUUUCUAACUUUACGUGCAACUAAGAAGGAAUGAAGCUAUUUCACUCAAACACUACUUUUCUUGGGAAAACUCAUCCGACUCGCCGAGUUGUAUGAACAACUCGUCGAGUCUAAGGCGAUCUUCAUCAGACUCGCCGAGUUGCUCAUCCAACUCGUCAAGUCUACGGCUAUCUUCAUAUGACUCUCUGAGUCACGCAUGCGACUCGCCGAGUCCAUUUAGUCCCUUUUUCCAUACAGACCUGAUUUGGGCCAUGCAUUGGCUCCAAAUCACAGAUCUAAGCUUCUAGGGCAUUCUUAUCACGUAAAUUUGCAAACUUUACGUGCAUGCAUGGCUUUAAAGGCUUCAAAUGCUAACCCUAAGCUCUUAAUGGGGCUCCAAGCUCAAGAGAGACCUCAAUCAUGACCAUAACAGAAACUUUACUCUUCUAGAAUGCAAUAAGAGUCCAGAUCUAAUGUUUCCAUAAAAAGGGGAAGUCCAUCUCUCAAGUUUGAACCAUAAGAGGCUCCAAAGAGGGCAUAACAAGCAUAAAGGAGGUUAUAAUGGGGGAAUGCACAAGUUCAUAACUUCAUUACCUGAAUGAAAAAUAGAUGUAAGCUAACUCCUGGAUCUUCCUUCCCUUUUAUGGACCUUCCUUCCUUCCCAAUGCUUCCAUGCUAUCACAAAUACCCUCAAACUCAACAAUGGGGCUAGGGUUUACAGGGGAAAUGUUCUGAGAGUGAUAGAGGCGAGGUUGGGGGCGCAUAAGUGUGUUUAAAUAGGGUGCAAACCCUUAAAAUUAGGGCUUCAUCCAGACAGGCGGACUUGCCGAGUCCAGCGUAUGGACUCGUCGAGUAGCCAGCUCAAAACGUGUGAUUGUCUCGUCUCUACUCGACGAUUCGGGCUACAGACUCAUCGAGUACCCCUUAAUAAAUGAAAAUACUUUAUUUGAAUUACAUACCAAAAAUGGGGCAUUACAUAAUGCUUAGCCCAGAAACACGGACGUUACACUUCUCUCCUCCUUAGGAUGAUGCCAUCCCCAGAAUCAUACAUCAACAAACUAAUGCGGAUAGCGACUCAUCAUGUCACUCUCCAUUUCCUAGGUGAGAUUUGACUCAUUCGUAUGUUUCCGUCGCACAAGUAGUAAGUCAACCAUCUUGUGACGCAACUUCUUCGUCUUAUGGUCAACAAUCGCCUCCGGUUCUUCAACUAGCCUCUUAUUUUCAUCCAUCCUUAGCUCAUAAAUUAGAAUUAUGUCAGGAACUUCUCCCAUGAAUUUCCUCAAAUAACUCACAUGGAAAGUGUUAUGAAUAAUGUCUAGUUCUUCUGGUAGUUCUAGCUUGUAGGCUUGGUUCCCAAUCCUCUGAAGAACUUUGAACGGUCCAAUGAAUCUUGGACUUAACUUCCCUUUUUCCCGAAUCUUAUAAGUUCCUUGUAGCACCUGGUUCCUGGUAUGUAAUUUAUUUAAAUAUUUUGCAUUUUUGGCCUUGGACUCGGCAAGUUGAAGGACCAACUUGCCGAGUAGAAGCGGGAUGGGACGUGGGAUUUAAGUGAUGGACACGUCGAGUCGGGUCCCGGACUCGACGAGUAGGCUCUGACUGAAAAACCCUAAUCCGAGGGUUUGCACCCUAUUUAAUCAUCUCAUUUUCCCCUAAUGCUCCCAGAAACCCUCCCUAGUAAACCCUAAGUGUUUUGGUGCAAGAUCUAAGGCUUUUGAGUGAUUUUUGUGGGUUUUGACCUCAAGGAAUAAGGAAGAGCAUAGAAGGAUCAAGAGGAGACUGAAGGAUUAGAGUUUGGUGCAUCAUUUUCAGUCCUUGAAAGGUAUAAAUUAUGUACCUUGCUUGUUCAUUUGUUAGAUCCUUUUUUGGGGAAGAUUUAGGGCUUCUUAAGUCAUAUGAGGUGGCCAAACAUGGUUGGGGGUCAAGACUUCGGAUCUAAGUCUUGGAAGGAGUCCCAAAGCAGAUUUGGGUUGCUUUUGCACCCAAGGAAGGUCCCAUGCAACAUAAGAGCCAUUUUAGAGCCUUUUUGGGUCAAAAGUCCCAUGCAUGCACGUAAAGUUCGAAACUUUACGUUCUAGAUCGAGCUUAGGGCUUGGAUCUAUCUUUUUGUCAAAGGUUGUACAUCAGAAAUCGAGGAUUUAGGGUGUGGAUGUUAUCGAAUCGGCGAGUCAGUUCUUGGGACACGACGAGUCCAAAGCAUAGGGUCUGUUAUCUGUUGAGGGUCAAAAGAACCCAGUUGGGUGUUAGAAGGGUUGUAGAAGGUCCGAGAGAGUGACCCAACGUGUUGGACUUAGCCUUAGACUUGGAAUUCAUGGGACUCGUCGAGUGCUAGAACAGACUCGGCGAGUCCAAGGCAAUCUCCUUAUCGAUGAAGAUGAACUCGACGAGUUGUUCAUACAACUCGGCGAGUCGGGGUCAGGACUUGUUCAUCAGAUGAAGGUGAACUCGACAAGUGUUCAUCCGACUCGGCGAGUCGGAUGAAGGUUCAUUGAUGUUCGUAAAGAAAGGGAACUCGUCGACUUGUUGCCAAACUCGACGAGACGAGUCGUGGAUAAGGACGAGUAAAGGAAAGGGACUCGACGAGUUNAACUCGGGGAGUCGGGUCAACUGGAAGUUGACUUUGACUUGGACUUGGUUGGGGGUAAAAUAGUCAUUUUACCCCAAGAGUAGAUAUUAGUUUUCUGACUGAGUAUUUUGUGGGGAUUAUAGCCGGAGGAUUUCCGAAGCAACAGCAGGCAGAGGUUUCCUGCACAUAUUAUCAGCAGCUACUUGUUCGAGGUGGGUUGCCUACCAGUAGCGGUGGGUCUACGACCACAAUGUCGGCCCACCAAUAGGAGUUGUAUAAUUAUAUGAUUGUCUUUGUGAUAUCAUCUAGGUUGCUUCUACCUGAUAUGUUAUAUGCUGGCAUGAUAUGUUAUAUGUGAUAGUAGUAGAGUUCGGUUGUUAGGACCGAAGGGUAGGUCAAACACCCCAGAUAUGUAUGACAGUAUGUGAUGAUAUGUUUAUAUGCCGACAUGACAUGUUAUAUGGGAUAGUGGUAGUAGGAGGGGAACAGUCCCCAAGUUCGGUUGUUAGAACCGAAGGGUAGUUCAGACACCCCAGAUAUGUCUGAUAGUAUGUUUAUGUUAUGAUAUAUGUGAUAGUAGUGGUACGUGUGGAAUAGUCCCCGAGGGUCGGUCUUUAGGACUGACGGGUAGGUCAGCACCCCAAAAAGACUUGACAGGGGUAGGACGACACCCCAGAAUGGCCGCACGGGUAGGUCGGCACCCCAGAAUGGCCGUACCGGGUAGGCCGGGCACCCUAGAAUUGCCUGGCAGUAUGUAUGCUAUGUGAUUGUAUGGUAUGUGGUACGAUGGGGGAACUUACUAAGCUUCCUGCUUACAGUUUACAGUUUUGGUUUCAGGUACCUCUUCAACAAAGGGGAAGGAGCUGGCGCGGUAGCGGCACAUCAUACACACAUGUUGGUUUCCGCACUAGUGUUUCUUGGGUCGUUACAAGUUGGUAUCAAAGCCCUGAUCUGAGGGAUUCGGACACACCUUGGGGGUGUCUGGACUCAAAUCGAGGGAUUAAAAGACUUUUACAAGAAAAAUGGUUUCUUAAAAGCUAAGAUAAAAGAGUUUUGGGAAAGAACAAAGUGUGUGAUGUGCGCGACCGGCCGAGCUCAAGUAAGUAUUCCCCAAAGUACCCAUACAAGUUUAUGUUAUGUUUAUCAGUUUCAGUAGAAUAGCAUGCUAGAAUAGGACUGAAGAUCUAGGAAUGAUGGCUUAUGUGUCUGCUUUAUGUGCUCCAGCUUAUGAGAAUUGCAUGCUAGUAUUAAGUAGAAAAUAAUAGGAUAGUCUGUUUAGGUUAUGCCUGGUAUUAUGAGCUCAGCAUUGUAUGAUGGUACAACUUCUCGUUAGGAGAAUAGAGUUGUUUGAGUAGUUUCCUGUGUCCGAAUGAUGCUUGCUCAGUGCUUGUAGGACUCUGAAUGAUGGCCGUUAGCCAUUAGGUGAGUACGUCGCGUCGCAUGUCAUUAGGAUUGAAUAAUCUCAGAGUGCUGGAUUUGGCCCUAUUGCGCGGCUCUCGUUUGAGUCUAACCGUUGUAGGGACGAGUCUUUUACUUGAAGGAUUAUCUGAGCCUUGUUACAUGUGAUGGUAUUUAGGUGAUGGCUAAUUGAUAUCACAAGGAGGCCUUCAACAGCCGAGGACCGGUUUGGGUAGAGUCAGAGAUUUUCCCUAGGGUAAGCCUACGAUGAGAGUAGCAGAGAUCAGCAGUGGAAAAAGGGACUUGGUGGAGUCGAGGCCGUCCUUGAGGAAAGUACGGAUAGAUAUGGAAGGUAGUAUGGGCCCGUACUACAGAAAGCAGAGGAUCCGUACUCGAAUUAAGGAAGGCUAAGGCAAGACCAAGGAACUUGUGAUGGGUGUGAUCCCUAUAGAUGUACUAGUAUCACUGACGGAUGUCAUGAUGUAUUGCGGAAUGGUGGUACUAAGGCCAAGGCCAGCAGUGGGUAGCUCAGGAGAGGGAUCGGGUUCGGGUUCAGGCUCCGAACCAGUGGACGAGAGGCUACGCGAGUUCAUCGCGUCUAAGAUCACUAUAGGCAUCCUUGAUGCGACCCCGAUCAUCUUUGGGUCGAUCAAGGAAGGGAUUGUUGAGCUGAUGGAGGAUCGCCUUAGGGCGCUCAGGAGUGACAUGGCGACCAGCCAGUCAGGAUCCCGCAUACUAUCCUUUAAGGACUUCAGGGGCAGUGGCGCGCCGGACUUCCACGGGGAAAAGGACCCCAUUUCUGCUAGACGAUGGAUUGCGGACAUGGAGUCUGCACAGCUGACAAGCUUCUGCCCCGAGGGGCCGAAGGUGAGAUAUGCAGCAGGGUGUUUGAGAGACAGAGCUAGAGAUUAGUGGGAGUCUGUUGUUGACUCCUUGGGAGCCUCGGCUGUUGAGGCUAUGACCUGGUUAGACUUUGUGACCAGAUUCAGGGCGGAGUUUGCGCCAGCUGUAGAGCUUCAGCAGCUGGCCAGAGAGUUUUUGGAUAUGAGACAGACUACGGAGACUGUGGCGGAGAUCACCGCCAACUUCUGGGAGAGGGCAUUGCUUGUGCCCCAGUAUGCGGGAGAUGAGGACAUGAGGAUGACCCGCUAUCAUGACAUGCAGCGAGCCGAAAUUCGGGAGCAUGUUAGUUUUUCAGCUUGCCCUACCCUAGAUUCCAUGAUUUCCAGAUCAAGGGAGAGGGAGAUCGAUCUAGAACAUGUCCAGAAGAGGAAGGUAGAGGAGGGGCAGACGAUUGGGGCUUCGGAGAAGAAGCCUAAGGGAUCAGAUGGUAGGCCGAAAGGCCAGUCAGGACCAGGCCACUGCAGGAAAUGCGGCAGGCCACAUGAGGGGGCGUGUAGAUUGGGAUUGUCGGGCUGCUACAAGUUCGACAAGACGGGGCAAUUCAGCAGAGAUUGUACCGCCCCUACACCAGUUAUUCAGACGUCUGAGUUGCUGUGUUUUCAAUGCAACCAGAGGGGCCACAAGAAAGACAACUGCCCCCAGUUAACAGCAGCAACAGUGCCAGUGAAGGCGCCAGGUCUAGCGACCCUGCGAAUUACUGAUGACUGGAAGGCCAAGGCUGAGGCUCCAGUGGUGAGGAGUCGGGCCUUCCAGUUGACUACCGAGGAGGCACGCGCUGCACCCGAUGUGGUAACAGGUAUGACUUCUUGUUUAUGCUUUUAUGAUAUGCUGCUGUGAUUUUGAUAUGUUAUGUAUGUGCUCUGUUUAGGAUCGUUCCAUGUGAACGGUAUCCCAGUUCAAGUAUUGUUUGAUUCGGGUGCUACCCGAUCAUUUGUCUCUCUUGCGCUUAGCAAGAAGUUUCCUGAGUCUUCGGGCAUGUUGGAUUGCCCUUUAGAGGUUGAGAUUGUAGACGACAGGUCGGUACGAGCAUUAGAGGUCUUCCGAGAUUGUGUUUUGAGGUUGUUCGAGGAGCGUUACAUGGUAGACUUGAUUCCCAUACCCUUGCGGGGGAACAAGGUUAUUAUCGACAUGGAUUGGUGGAGCCCCAAUAGGGCGGUGAUAGAUUGCGCACAAUAGUUGGUGCGAGUCAGGACCCCAGGAGGGGGAGAUUUAGUGAUUUAGGGUGAGAGCCACAGCGAGGGCCAACCUUAUGUUCGGCAACGAGGACAAGGCGUUACCUUCAGCAGGGUUGCGCCGGAUAUGUCGCUUAUGUCAUGGACACCCGGGAGGAGGGAAAGGCGACAGUGGGCAAUGUGCCUGUGGUACGAGAGUUUGCGGACGUAUUCCCCGAGGAGUUGCCUGGGAUACCUCUGGAACGAUAGGUGGAGUUUAGGAUCGACCUAGUCCUUGGUGCGGCUCCGAUAGCCAAGGCACCGUAUCGGUUGGCUCCUCUUGAGAUGCAGGAGUUGUCUACACAGCCGCAGAAAGUAUUAGACAAGUGAUUCAUUAGACCUAGUAGUUCUCCCUGGGGAGCCCCGAUUCUGUUUGUGAAGAAGAAGGACGGGUCGCAUCGGAUGUGUAUAGAUUAUCGGGAGCUGAAUAAGUUAACGGUGAAGAACCGUUACCCACUCCCGAGGAUUGAUGACCUCUUUGACCAGCUACAGGGAGCAUCUUGGUUCUCCAAGAUUGAUCUGCGUUCAGGGUAUCAUAAGAUGAGGGUCAGAGAGGGGGAUGUACAGAAGAUAGCGUUCCGGACGCGCUAUGGCCAAUAUGAGUUCGUGGUGAUGCCUUUCGGGCUCACCAAUGCUCUUGCCGCAUUCAUGGAUCUCAUGAACCACGUGUGCAGACCAAUGUUGGAUCGGUCCGUGAUAGUUUUCAUCGAUGAUAUCUUGGUUUACUCCAAGACACAGGAGGAGCACGAGGAGUAUCUGCAAGAGGUUCUAGAGACUUUGAGAAGGGAGAACUUGUAUGUUAAGUUCUCCAAGUGUGAGUUCUGGUUGCGCGAGGUGCAAUUUCUCAGACACCUUGUCAACCAGAACGGGAUAUCGGUGGACUCGGCCAAAGUGGAGGCCGUGAUGAGAUGGGAGGUUCCAAGGUCUCCAUCCGAGAUUCAGAGUUUCCUAGGAUUAGUCGGCUACUAUCGGAGAUUCAUCCAUGAUUUCUCCAAGAUAGUCAUACCCCUGACCAGGCUAACGAGGAAAGUCGUGGUUUUUCGUUGGGGGCCUGAGCAGCAGGCCGCAUUCGAGACAUUGAGACAGAGAUUGUGUGAGGCACCAAUCUUAGCCCUAUCGGAGGGCAUAGAGAAUUUUGUUGUGUACUAUGACACGCCCAUUUCAGGUUUGGGCGCGGUACUGAUGCAGAGAGGGCAUGUCAUUGCCUACGCUUCGAGGCAGCUGAAGCUUCACGAGGCGAACUACCCGACGCAUGAUUUGGAGCUGGGGGCUGUUGUGUUCGCCCUUAAGAUUUGGCGUCAUUACCUCAAUAGGGUUCGCUAUACUAUCUACAUAAACCACAAGAGUUUGAUGUACCUCAUGGAUCAGCCGAAUCUAAACAUGAGGCAGCGUCGGUGGUUAGACGUGGUGAAGGAUUACGAUUACGAAAUCCUUUACCACCCGGGGAAGGCCAAUGUGGUGGCCGACGCACUUAGCCGCAAGGCAGCGCCGAUCAGGGAUAUUUGUCUGAGGAUGAUAGUGGUGACCCCGCUGUUGGAGCGGAUUCGGGAGGCCCAACGGGAGGCCAUGAAGGAGGAACAUCGGAAGAGCGAGCGGAUUGUGGGGCAAGUUUCCUCCUUCGAUUAUGAUAGCCGAGAGCUGUUGACACUACACCGUAGGGUGUGGGUGCCGUACCACGGGGGUGUACGCCAGGUUCUGAUGAAGGAGGCGCACAAAUCUCGAUUCUCCAUUCAUCCCGGGGCGACGAAGAUGUACAAGGACCUUCUUUUGGACUAUUGGUGGCCCUGCAUGAAGCUGGAUGUAGCAUGGUAUGUGGAGUGGUGCUUGACCUGUAGGAAGGUCAAGGCCAAGCACCAGAGGCCACAUGGAAAGAUGCAGCCGUUGGAUAUCCUGCUGUGGAAAUGGGAAGACAUUACGAUGGAUUUUAUCAUAAAGCUUCCUAGGAUCGCUCGGGGAGUGGAUUCGAUAUGGGUCAUCGUCGAUCGAUUAACCAAAGAGCGCCCAUUUUAUUCCGAUCCAGGAGGGAAUUUUGGCCGAAAAGUUGGCCAACAUCUAUAUCAGGGAGGUGGUGGUGCGGCACAGGGUGCCGGUAUCGGUGAUUUCAGACAGGGACGUGCGGUUCACUUCCAGGUUUUGGAGGAAGUUUCAUGACGAGCUGGGUACUCGUCUGUAUUUUAGCACCGCCUUUCACCCACAGACGGAUGGUCAGAGCGAUCGGACCAUCUAGACAUUAGAGGAUAUGCUGCGAGCAUGUGUUUUAGACUUCGGAGGUAGCUGGGAUACCUACCUUCUGUUGGCGGAAUUCUCGUAUAAUAAUAGCUAUCAUACGAGUAUUAACCGUCCUCCCUUCAAGAUGUUAUACGGGAGGAAGUGCAGAACCCCAAUAUGUUCGGGUGAGGUUGGCCAGAGGGUCAUGAGGAGCAUCGAGGUGGUGCUCAAGAUGACAGAGAGGAUUCAGCAGGUCCGGAGCAGACUUCAGACUGCUCAGAGUCGGCAUAAAAGUAAUCUUGAUAAGCGCCGAUCAGACCUGGAGUUCCAGCUCAAGGAUAUGGUUCUCCUAAAGCUGUCGCCAUGGAAGGGCGUCAUCCGAUUUAGGAAACAGGACAAGUUGGGCGCCACGUACAUUGGACCGUUCAGAUUCUUAGCCCGGGUGGGCAAGGUAGCAUACAGGUUGGAUCUGCCAGCCGAACUCAGCCAGAUCCACAACACUUUCCACGUCUCCCAGCUGCAGAAGUUUCUGGUGGACGACUCAGCAGCGGUACCCUUAAAAGAUAUUCAGGUCGAUGACAGCUUGAAUUACAUUGAGCGGCCAGUAGCGAUCCUCAACCGGAAGUCGAAGGAACUGAGGAACAAGAGGGUUGAACUAGUGAAGGUGCAAUGGCAACAUCGGAAGGGCUCAGAAUGGACUUGGGAGCCAGGGGAGGAGAUGAUCGAGCAUUACCCAGAGUUGUUCCAGGAACGAACAGCAGACUUCGAGGACGAAGUCUAAAAUAAGUGGGGGAGAUUUGUAGCACCUGGUUCCUGGUAUGUAAUUUAUUUAAAUAUUUUGCAUUUUUGGCCUUGGACUCGGCGAGUUCAAGGACCAACUCACCAAGUAGAAGCGGGAUGGGACGCGAGAUUUAAGUUAUGGACUCAUCGAGUCAGGUCCUGGACUCGACGAGUAGGCUCUGACUGGACAAAAACCCUAAUCUGAGGGUUUGCACCCUAUUUAAUCAUCUCAUUCAGCCACCACUCUACCCUAAUGCUCCCAGAAACCCUCCCUAGUAAACCCUAAGUGUUUUGGUGCAAGAUCUAAGGCUUUUUGAGUGAUUUUUGUGGGUUUUGACCUCAAGGAAGAAGGAAGAGCAUAGAAGGAUCAAGAGGAGACUGAACAAUUCGAGUUUGGUGCAUCAUUUUCUGUCCUUGAAAGGUAUAAAGUCUGUACCUUGCUUGUUCAUUUGUUAGAUCCCUUUUUGGGGAAGAUUUAGGGUUUUUUAAGUCAUAUGAGGUGGCCAACCAUGAUUGCAAACAUGGUUGGGGGUCAAGACUUCGGAUCUAAGUCUUGGAAGGAGUCCCAAAGCAUAUUUGGGUUGCUUUUGCACCCAAGGAAGGUCCCAUGCAACAUAAGAGCCAUUUAGAGCCUUUUUGGGUCAAAAGUCCCAUGCAUGCACAUAAAGUUCGAAACUUUAUGUGCUAGAUCGAGCUUAGGGCUUGGAUCUAUCUUUUUGUCAAUGGUUGUACAUCAGAAAUCAAGGAUUUAGGGUGUGGACGUUAUCGACUCGGCGAUUCCGUUCUUGGGACUCGACAAUUCCAAGGCAUAGAGUCCGUUAUCUGUUGAGGGUCAAAAGAACCCAGUUGGGUGUUAGAAGGGUUGUAGAAGGUCCGAGGGAGUAACCCAACGUGUUGGACUUAGCCUUAGACUCGGAAUUCAUGGGACUCGUCGAGUGCUAGAAUAGACUCGGCGAGUCCAAUGCAAUCUCCUUAUGGAUGAAGAUGAACUCGACGAGUUGUUUAUACAACUCGACGAGUCGGGGUCAGGACUUGUUCAUCAGAUGAAGGUGAACUCGACAAGUGUUCAUCCAACUUGGCAAGUCGGAUGAAAGUUCAUUGAUGUUCGUAAAGAAGGGGAACUCGUCGACUCGUUGCCAAACUCGACGAGUCGAGUCGUGGAUAAGGACGAGUAAAGGAAAGGGACUCGACAAGUAGAUGACCCAACUCGGUGAGUUGGGUCAACUGGAAGUUGACUUUGACUUGGACUUGGUUGGGGGUAAAAUAGUCAUUUUACCUCAAGAGUAGAUAUCAGUUUCUGACUGAGUGUUUUGUGGGGAUUAUAGCCGGAGGAUUUCCGGUGCAGCAGCAGGCAGAGGUUUUCCAAACAGAUUAUUAGCAACUACUUGUUCGAGGUGAGUUACCUACCAAUAGCGGUGGGUCUACGGCCACAAUGUCGGCCCACCAAUAGGCACUACUAGAAAAAAGGCGUUUUACGAUGCUCAUUGCGCGUCGUAAAACGCUCAGACAACGCGAAAAUGCGUGUCAAGGAAGGCCCUGUCAUAACGAGAGACGACACGCAUUUACGACACGCAUUUACGACGCUCAUUUACGACACGCAAUGCGUAUCAAGGAAGGCCAUGUCAUAAAGGAUGACGACACGCAUUUGAGUGUCGUAACCUUACGACACGCGUUUAGGACAUGCAUUGUGUAUCAUUAAAGCCCCUGUCAUAAAUGAAGAUGACACGCAUUUGCGUGUCAUAAUCUUCAGCAACCAUUUACGAUAUGCAUUUACGACACGUCUUUACGAUACACAUUUACGCAAAAUACAAAAAUAUGGAAAUAAAUAUAUAACAAAACAAUCAAUUUCAUUCAUUAACAUCAUGUCAAAAAAUUGUAAUACAUAGCGGAAGUAUUUGUUGAGAGCCCAAAAAGUUACAUAAAUCAAUGAAAGUAAAAUUCAUAACUUUUCUAGUUUUCAUAAUCCUAACAAUAGCUGCAUCAACCUGCGAUAUAUUUAUAAAAAAAAUGUGAUUAUAAAUUUAUAAUUACAAAAAAAAAUAAAGCAAAAAAAAAUUGGACCUGAUAUUGACGAUCUUGGGAAACUCUCUCUGUGGUGCUUGCGUUUUCUUCCACAGUUUCCUUCAGCUGGAUAUCAUUCACAUGUACAUGGAAUGGAAUGGAAUAAUGAAAUAAGCAAAGGAAUGGAAUGAGUCAUUCCAUUCCAAUUUCAUAUGAACUUCACAUUAUAAAAAAUUAAUUGAUCUCACCUUUAUACGAUAAAGAGGAGCAGUAAAUACAUCAUUAAACAUGAAGGAAUCAUUGUCAUCCACAUCAGUUUGAACCUAUUCUUUUGUCUCCUUUUCUUCUUUCUCUUUCCCUUGUUCUUUUUUGUCUUGUAUCUUUUCAAGUGGUUGGUACAACAAUAGAGGUAACGGGACAUGUGCCAGUAUUGGGUCCUGAAGAUCUUGUUGCUUUUGUGCUAAGUGUUUUGUGAUUGAGAAGCAAAUGGUCACAAAUUGCAUAUGGGUUCUGGACAUGCAAAUAAACUUAACUAUCGAUCACAUAACAAAAGCAAAUGAAAGUAUGAUGUUAUAAUAAACAAUUCAAAUGCUAAUACCUUUGACAUGUUUGUAUCUACAACAUUUUGGGAGCUUUCGAUGCUUCGAAGAAUUAAAAGUAUUGAAAUAACCUCUUCCUUCUUUAGACUAUUAUGAGGCUUCCCAUCUUCACAAUCACCACCAAUUGCCAACAUAGAAAGAAAUAAAUACAAUUUUCCGGAAAAUAAUAAAAAUUCAUAUAUAUUUUUUUCAUUCAAAGAAUCAAAAUCAACAGGUAUAGUAUGCAUUCAAUUUAUAUUUCAGGAAAAAAAAACUAAUAGUAUACCUACCUGUAUGUGGGUUCAUAGCAAGUUUUCUCUCUUGGAUAAAACAUUAUUUUUUUAUUUUAUUUAUACUAAAUGUUUUUUUUUAUAUUUUGAUAUAAUACAAAUUAAUUUAUGUUUUAGAUAAGCUCUCUUUUACUUNCCUGUCUUUUACUUAUUUACAUUGAAAAUUGACAAAUAGUUCUUUUUCCACAAAAACAGACAAACUAUCUACAAUGAGUUUUUUGCCCUUUGCCACUAUUUAAUCACCUUACCUUAGUUUUACACACAAAAUCCAAUAAUGGAAUAAUGCAUUGAACAUUACACAUUUGCAAAUAAGAUACACAUUAGCAAAAAAUGGUCUUAGCACUAACUUUCACCACCCACCCACCCGAUAACAAAAGAAAAUAUAAUCCGCCCACUCAGUUUCACUUUAUUUGCAAGUAAGUAUAAACAAUAAUAUUGCAGGGUUUUUUUUUCAGUAUGAAUGAGUAUUCAGUCACUAUUCAUCCAUACCUCUUUAAGUAGUUGAUACCAAAUGCUACCAUUAUUCAAUCUCCAUCUAGGGGUAGGGCUAGGUGUUGGUGUUGUUGGAGCAGAAGAAGCAUCAAUGAUAUUGAUAACAAUGAAAGGGGAACUCAAAUCAUCAAGUUCAUCAUCACUUGUGUUUGACUUUCUCAACACUGAUGAUCCAGUGCGACCCAAGUGUUUUAUACAUACAGCCACUCCCUCUCCUCCAACCAAAAUGGUUUUUAUUAUUGAUGAUGCUGAUGGCGGAUCAUAAACAACCGAACCAGCUACACAUGGGACACUGCUCACACAGUCUUCGCCACCCUCUGUAGAAUAUAAAGCCAAAAGAAACCUGUGUUUGUUUACUACUCAAAAUGAAGACAUAAAAGAAGAAAGGAAUAUGCAUUGUAUUGGAAAAAUGAAGACUAAAAACCUCUUAUAUUAUCCAUAUCAAUAAAGCUAUAUUUAUAGCUUCUUAGACACCCACGAUGAAGUAUGAAAACAAUCCAUGCUCUUGACUCCACCUAAUUAGCUUAAGAAUUAACUAUUAUAUAAAACAUAAAACACAAAACAAUAAUAAUUAUCAAAUCUAAAGUUUCAGCCAUGCACGUGAGCUAUGACUAACAAACCGAUUAACCCAACACCUUCCACCCCCAAAUCCUUAGCAUAUAUAAACAAACACCCUCUAAAUGCAUGUUAUUAGACAUACCAAAAUAUCUUUAAUUGGUUGGCUUGUGUGUCCUUCACAUCAACAUAAUUACUUAAUUAAUUAAUUAUACUGAACUCACCUCUGAGUCUAAGGCUUCAAGCACAACUUCAGGAAUAGCAUCUGGACAAAACUCAUCUGGAACAAAACUAUCUAGUAUCCCUUUUAUUAAUGCUACACCAAAACUCAAACAUACCUUCAAAAAAUUUUAAAUAACUUUAGCUUUGUGGAUAACUACACUACUAUAAAAGAAAAAGAGCCCAAUUUUAGAGACCUCUUUUCUGAUUGUGCUAUCUAACAACAUAUCCUUAGGAAGCAUCAUCAGGUCACUUAAUGCAUUCAGGAGAUGAAAAGAUUUGAAUGAUGAAUCAUCAGCAUCUAUAUCAAAUAAAUCAGUCAGCCACCUCGACCAAUUUUCAAUUUGCACAUUGCCAAAUGAACNNNNNNNNNNUAUAUAUAUAUAUAUAUAUAUAUAUAAAGGAUCACUUGCCAUGGGAAUUGGUCGCCUAUGAUUCAGAUCAGAGGCCUGGAAUCGUCAAGGUAGAAAACACAAGUCAAGAAAAAAAAUAAAAUAAGAGACUUUUAGGCAUAAAUGGUAUAUACCCUGUAAUAGGGAUAACAAACUCCUUGAGUGCUUUUUCACUUGUUACUCCAAUUAAUUCGCCAAGACCUUGAGCAUCCUGUUCUCUCAAUUCUGCAGACCUGCUUAUUAGGCCCUGAAGAUAUAUGGGAAGCAAUGGUUGAAGAGCCUUUGGGAGACAUAACCUGGGUAUAACAAUUGGUCCACCCUAUAUGUCCAUCAACAAAUAUUUAAAUAAGAUAAACCUUAAUCACUACUAAAUGCUGAUUAAAAUACACAUAGUUGCCCCUCGAGUUCCAAAACAUUAAAACAACUCUAUUUUGUGCUUAGAUUCCAAAAUAGGACCAAAACAAAAUUCAUACGCAAGUGCUCAAUGGAUGAAAAAACUCAUAUGUACAAAUUCUAAGCCAAAAUACAAGAAUACAUUAGUUCUACAUAAACCCUAUCAACUCGAAAAUAAAAUUUUCUCGUAUAAUAAUUACAUAACCAAAUUAUGUAGUGAAAUCACACAUUAAAGCAAAUGUCUUUGUUAUUGUGAAUUUUGAUACAUCAUAUAUUAUUAUAUUUUUACCUUUAUUAUAGAUUGGUUACCCAACUUUACAUGCAUUUGUUGAGUUUAUUUCUGGAUUUGACAUGCCUUCUGACAUUCACUCAAAGAAGAAAGACAACAUUCUUCUAGAAACUGGGAAACCUUUUCGAUGGCUCUCUUCCAUGAUGAGUUAUCGUUGCCACUAGCUCAUAUCUUCGACCGUAUUUAUUAUAAUUUUUUUUAUAAAUUAAUAAAAAGAUGAAAAUGAUAUAUANNNNNNNNNNNNNNNNNNNNNNNNNUAUAUAUAUAUUAUAUAAAUACAUACCUCUGGUGAUGAUAAAAAAAGGAAAUCACGAUUCAGAGUAAGGUGAAGAGGAAUGUGGAUUGGUUUGAGUAAUUUUGUGCUUCCUUGACUUACAUAGCUAAACCUCAUUAAGUGUAGUAUUAUUAUCUCUGGAAGCUCUAAUAUUUCACUGAUUUACUUGCACAUACUAAUUCACAUAAUAAUAAAAAGAAGUAUACAUUUCCUGCUGAUGAAGCACGAUACCCUUCAAGUGUCUCUGGAGCUGAAAAAAGAUGAAGUGCAUCUUCUAUUGUAUGCAUAGGAUCUGGACAUAUAUUCAAAUGGAGCAAAAGAAAUGGCUGAAUAGUUGCAGAUGCUUUGUUACCUAUUUUUGUUUUACAUUAAAAAUAUAUAAAUGAUGAAUUAAUGAUAUCAUGUUAUUGAGAUGAGUGAAAAAUGUUAAAAGAUUAAAAAAAAAUACCUCUUGCUUUCAUUACACUUUUUAUUUGGCCUUCGAAGAUCUGACUUAAUUUUGAAGGAAUAAAACUUUGUGUUCUUGUGAUUGUAGUUUUGUUCUUUGGUCCAACUGUUUCCCAAAUAUCAUCAUCAUCUUCAUCACUUAAAGAUGAAACCAGUGAAACUUUUCCACCAUUAAAAUUACAAACUUCUCCUUCAAGUUUAAGAAGUUCAUCAUGCAUUUGGUGCAUUACAAAGCUUAAAAACACCUGAGCAUCUUCUUGCCUUUUUAAAAAACAAACUUCAACUCAGCAUCCGAAAUUCCAAACAUAACAUAUAUAAAAUUUGUUGAUUAAUUUUAUAACAUUAACACAAACCUUGGUCUUCCAGAGAAGCUAUUUGGCAUAUCUGGAGAGAAAUUGUUGAGAACAGAUUCAAACAUGAUAGGUCGAAAAGGUUUCCCAGUUUCUAGAAGAAUGUUGUAUUUCUUCUUUGAGUGAAUGUCAGAAGGCAUGUCAAAUCCAGAAAUAAACUCAACAAAUGCAUGUAAAGUUGGGUAACCAAUUUGUAAUAUAGGUAAAAAUAUAAUAAUGUAUGAUGUAUCACAAUUCACGAUAACAAAGACAAUUGAGUCCAACUCCAUCGGCGUUUGCUUUUGAAUGAAUUCCUUGGGAUAAACCUUCCAUAUACGCUCUGCUCCCUUUCCUUUUGGAACAAAACACCAUAGCAAGACUCCAAAUAUGUAAUAAUAAUCGAUCGAUAAAGUUUCUACAUAAGUUGCAGGUGAUCAAAAAUGGCGGAAAUCAGGAAAUGUAAAUUGUACCUUUAGCGAGAUUAGGGUAAAGCCAUCACAAGUUAGAGCCAUCAUCACCUGUGGGAGACCUAGGGGAAGUUGAUCGCCUCUAUCCACCUGCCAAAAAAGUGAAUCGUCUUCCCAUAAGUUUUCGUCACUUUCUCUCGAUCUUGCCGCUCAACCGGACCAAGGACGCCGGGAAGGAAAAGGACGUCCCUCUUCACCUCAUACUCGUGGAUGUGCCACAUUGGCUUUUCUGAAUCCGGCAAGGUGAAGAACAAUUUUUAUGUUACGAUGUUUUCAACUCCGAUUAAAAAAGCCCUAGAAAUUAUCCCAGUGAUUUUGUGAUAUAUGAGUUGUUGAGGUAUACAGCAGAGGUGGUAUCGUGAUUAGGGUUUGCAGAGAAAAGGGGGAAGAAGAGAAUGAAGGGGAUCAAGCGGGGUAUUAAAAAAUUUAAGAUUUUUGAGAGGAUUUCAUUUCCCCCUUUCAAGAAGGCGCGUUUUAGUAAAAAUUAUAAAGCGACAAUCACAGAGGACGCAUAUUUUAGAUAAAGUGCCCUCCGUGUUUUUAUUUUUUUUACAUUCGACACUAAUUUAAGGGCAUGCAAUAAUGCGUGACCUAAAUCCUCAAAUUUUUUGAAGAGACGACACUUUUUUAUUGUCACUCUCGUUUGCGUAACAUAAAUCAAUAAGUGUCGUGAUUUGCACAUCGUAAAAGGGUCUUUUUCUUGUAGUGAGGAGUUGUAUGAUUAGAUGAUUGUCUUUGUGAUAUCAUCUAGGUUGCUGCUACCUGAUAUGUUAUAUGCUGGUAUGAUAUGUUAUUUGUGAUAGUAGUAGAGUUCGGUUGUUUGGACCGAAGGGUAGGUCAGACACCCCAGAUAUGUCUGACAGUAUGUGAUGAUAUGUUUAUAUGCUGGCAUGAUACGUUAUAUGGGAUAGUGGUAGUAGGAGGGGAACAAUCUCCAAGUUCGGUUGUUAGAGCCGAAGGGUAGUUCGGACACCCUAGAUAUGUCUGAUAGUAUGUUUAUGUUAUGAUAUAUGUGAUAGUAGUGGUAGGGGUGGAAUAGUCCAAGAGGGUCGGUUUUUAGGACUGACGGGUAGGUCAGCACCCCAGAAAGGCUUGACACGGGUAGGACGAUACCCCAGAAUGGCCGCAUGGGUAGGUCGGCACCCUAGAAUGGCCGCACGGGUACCUAGAAUGGCCGCACGGGUAGGUCGGCACCCCAGAAUGGCCGUACCGGGUAGGUCAGGCACCCCAGAAUUGCCUGGCAGUAUGUAUGCUAUGUGAUUGUAUGUUAUGUGGCACGAUGGGGGAACUCACUAAGCUUCGUGCUUGCAGUUUACAGUUUUUGUUUCAGGUACCUCUUCAGCAAAGGGGAUGGAGCUGGCGCGGUAGUGGCACAUCAUGAAUGGUUUUCCGCACUAGUGUUUCUUGGUAUUGUACUAUGACAUUAUUCUUAUUUUUGUGAAUGGUUUUCAGACAUGAGAUGUGGUUUUAUGAAAAGUUAUGAUUAGAUGGUGUUUUCUUAUAAAUGUUUUUACAAGUCAAUUUUAAAAAUGAAAUUUUUGGACUUGUAAAUUGGGUCGUUACAUUCCUUCCAUGGUAAGACUUUAAGCAAAACCAAAUCUCCAACUUCGAAUGCCAUCAGUCGUCUUUUCUUGUCAGCAUAGCUCUUUUUACAAUCCUGAGCUGCUAACAUCCUUUCCCUAAUCACUCUUAACUUUUCAACAGUCUGAUGGACUAUCUCGGGGCCCAUAAACUGCCUUUGUUCAACUUCAAGCCAACAUGACGGCGUACGACACUUUUUUCCGUACAAAGCUUAAUAAGGUGCCAUCUUGAUGCUUAAGUGGAAACUAUUAUUGUAGGAAAACUCUACCAGAGGUAAGUGUUCAUCCCAGUUACCUUGGAAUUCUAGGGUACACACUCUUAGCAUUACUAUAGUGUUUGAAUCGUCCUUUUUCUCUAACCAUCGGUCUGUAGAUGGUAGGCUAUACUUAAACACAGCUUCGUACCCAAUUCUUCUUGUAGACUCCUCCAAAACCUUGACGUGAAACGGCUAUCAUGGUGUAACGCCCAUGUUUCUAGGCUAGGCAUUAAUGAUAAUGUAAUAGUCUAGGUUAACCUUUGUAACCCGUCUUGAAAUAAUAAAAAUGUAUUAUUUGAGUAUUAUGUGUUUUGUGCUUAAUUGUGUGACUUAAAUGAAUUAAGGAUAAAAAUAAGCAUCAAAAUGAAAUGUUAGAUAAACUCGAUAUCUAUGAAGGAUGUGGUAGUGGUCGUGGCAAGGUUUCCAAAUAUAUAAAGAAUGCCAAAAUCUGAGUUAUAACGAAAAAGUUAUGAUCUGUCGAAGUUUCGUUACAGAACCGGCACGGCACUGCGUGACGUAAAUAGUGAAUUUACGAUAGAGCGAUAUUUAGUCUUAGUGAUCUAAACAGAAGUUGUAGAAUAAGUUUAACCGAGAGCGUGCAUAAGAAGAACGUCUAAAUUUGACUUCGUAUGAGGAAGUUAUGAUUUUUCGAAGUUUCGAUUUAGCAGUAUGCAACCCAAAUCUCGAAUUACAGAUCGAGUGAUACUUGGCCGAAACAAUCUAAACGGGAAUCGAAGAUCUCGUCGAUAGUAGUCCAAAAGUGAAAAGACAUACGAAAACGGACGUCGGAUGAAGAAGUUAUGAAUUUCUAACGGAGUUUUCCUGUCCGACCUGCUAAAAAUAAUAUAAUAAAAAUAAGUUCAAAAUUAGCCGACGCAGUCUAAACGAAAGUUGUAGAGCAUAGUCUCACCUAUGUGUGGAUAUAAAGAACAUAAAAAAUGGAGCUCGUAUGAGGAAGAUAUGAUAUUAUGAAGUUUUUAAAUAAUUAAAAUAUAUAAAUUUUAUUAUAUAUUCGGAUAAUAUCCGAAUCCAUGACUCAGCCGAUCUGAUCCGAAGAUUACGCCCAACGUACUGCUUGUAGAGGCAUUACGCCCAGCAUAAUCAGGAUUUACGCCCAACGUAAAUCGAGGUUUCAUCCCCUAUAAAUAGAAGUCGUGGGCAGCCGAGUUUUGUUGCUCAUUUCUUCCUCUCUCUCCCGUUUUACCUCGUUUUACGUGCAAGCUUUACCCCCGAAGCCGCGGUAUCAUUCCCGAGACCCGAAGCCCCGGGGAUCCCGAGAAGUAAAGUUUCUGAGCCGAAACUCUGCCCGUGUAAAGCCCGGUUUUGGAGAAAACGUCCUGGUUUUAUCGGAAAAUAUUAUUUUAAUAUAUGAGGUGAUGUCCGAUCAUCUUCUUAUCAAGUGAGUGUAUAUUCCCUUUCUUCUAACACAUAGAUAUGAAGUAUCUACUUUAGAAUAUGUGUUACAUGUGUAUAAAUAUACGUGUAUAUAUAUGUUAUCUGUUUAUUUGGAAUGAGUAUCUUAUUAGUUUUUAAGUUACAUAUGAAUGCAUAUGUAUGUUGUUAUCUACAAAAUGUUGGGUAGAACUUGUGUAGAUAGUUGAUGUGUGAUAAACUGAUGAGAUGCCUCGAUGUGAUUGUGAUCUAGUCAUUCAACAGAAUAUGGGUGACGACCACGGACUCUUUCUAGACUGUCCCGUGGAAUGCUGGCAGGCUCAUAACCUGUAGGUGUUGGUGAACUUGGGUGUUCAUUUGUUGUAUUCUAUCCCCCUCAUGGUUGCCUUAGGACAUUCAUUGUUGAGAAAACCCCUCUGCAGUAGUGUCCGUCCUGAUGAAAAUCCUAGAUUAGGUCCCUUGUAAUAGUUAUUGUCAUAGUGACGUAAAGUGAGGAUAACAGGAAUGGGUAAUCAGGUUAUUGUUGGUUGGUGAAAUUAAAUAUAAUUAGUUAUUGUGGGUUGAAAACCCUAUAUGCUCACCAGGCUCCCAAGCUUGACCCACUCAGUUUUUUUGUAUUACAGGUAGUGGUGCGAGGGCAUAAGUUGGAGAACUUAUGAAGAUGUUUUUGUUUAUAGACCAGUAGUUGUAUAUAACAGUGUAAGGUCUAUGUUUUACUGUUUAUGCUUUUGUGUCUGUAUCGGAACAUGACAUCCUGAGUUUUGAUAUAUAAUGAAAAUACAUUUCUUUAAGAAAUGUUUUGAUAAACUUUAUUUUAUCAUGUUUUGUUUUAGGGACAAAUUCUGCAACUCUUUUAAAUCAAUGGAUUUACUCUGAAAUUAUUUUAAAAACAUAAAUGAAACCGGCCUUUUCUGGCCGUGAUUUUGGGGAUUUCACACAUGGUCUGAUACUAUCUUUAAAGGAACACCAUGAAGUCUUACUACCUCCUUCACGUAAGCAUUUGCAAGCUUAUCUGUAGACCAUCUUGUUGGAUUAGUGUCUAAGUCCAUAACUAUUUUGGUAUGUACUUGACCCGAUGGUGCAUGGUCCUUUUGGGUUGCCUUCACCAAAGCAACUUGAUUGGAGAAAUAAAUAAAGAGAGAGAGGUUAUUAUGAUUUAUUAAUAUGUUAUAAGAAUAAUAUAUUAAAGGAGAAAUCAUAUUUGUUUAAUUAAUAUUGGUCAAUAAUUAAUUAAGAAUUAAUUUUGUGAUCAAGUGUAAUUAAUUAAACUAGAGGGGCUGAAUUGUAAUUAUGUGAUAGUUACAAAAUAAGGUAAGGAUUAUCUUAAAUAUAGGGUGAACGAAUUUAAGGAGAUAAUGCCUUAGAAUUCGACUAGGAUAAGGGUUUCUAAGACUUAUCUUAUGGUUGCUUGGUGGGCAAGCAACUAGAUAAGGAUAAGGACUAAAACCCUAAUCUUUACACCUAUAUAAACCCCCUAAGGCUCAUGAAUUCGUCUAAGCCUUCCCAAGAAGUCCUAAGGACGAAUUCCUACCUCUAUCCUCUCUCUUUAUACCUUCUCCAUUUGCUCUUGGUGUUUGUGAGCCAUUAGAGGAGUGACACUUGUGACUCUAAGCCUUCCAAAGUCAAUUCAUGGAGAAUUGGGAUUGUUAUUACUACAUAACAAUCAAGGUAACAUCUUAAACCUAAUUAUAUGUUAAUAUUGAUUUCCAUAUGCUAGAAUUAGGGUUUAUAGUCUUGGAUUCAUUGCAUGUACAAUAGAGAAACCUAGAUCCAAGCAUUAGGGUUUGUAUGAGCACAUAGGAUGUCUUAUGACCAAAACCCAUCAGUGGUAUCAGAGCCUAGCUUGGUUUCAAUUGUAUUGAUGCAUUGUAUAACUGGAAAAUUCGUUUUUUGGGUUUCUGGAGGCUGGACUCGCCGAGUCCAUAGAUGAACUCGCCGAGUCCAUGCUGACUCGACGAGUCCAUGCCUGACUCGGCGAGUCGGCUCGUCAGAAGGAGGGAAAACCGGGAUUUCUUGCUGUUUUUGCUUAAGGAUAGUUGCCUUAUCAUAUUAGAUCAAUAUAAAUCCGAUUUUAUGAUAUAUUUGACUAUAUUCUUGAUCUAAUUGAAGAUAUUUAUCAAUUAAUAAAAUAUUUGUUUCCUUAUGUGAUAAUUGAUUAAUUAUUUUGAUUAAAUUGAUAAAUUGUUUUGCAAGAAAUCAUUAAAUAAAUCAAAUAUGGAUAAUUAUGUGAUUAAAUGUUAAUUUAGAUUAUUUGUUAUUUGAUCCUUGUUGUUAUGAAAAGUUUCAUAUUUUCCCCUUUAGGUUUUAUAGUUUAAAUUUGAACCCAAAAGUUUUGUUGUUUUGAAAUUUAAAUAGUUGAAACCCUAAUGUUUUGAAAAAGGUUUCAAAACUUGCCCUCAAGUUUUGGAAUUUAAAUUUUGAUUAAAUAGUUUAAUUUUGAUGUAUAUUUAAAUUCUAAACCCUAAUGUGUUGAAAUGUUUCAAAACUUGCCCUCAAGUUUUGGAAUUUAAAAGUUGAUUAAAAGUUUAAUUAGGAAUGUUAAAUUCUAAAACUCUAGUAUUGUUUUGAAAAAGUUCAAAUCACACCCUUAUGGUUUUAUUAAUUAAUUAAGGUGUAUAAUUAAAAGAGGUUUAAUAAAUCCAUAAAAGUUUUGGUUUACAAUUUAAUUGAAUUAAAAGUAUAAUUGUUAAAUUUGACCACCUAGUAUUUUAAAAGUGUAAAAUACACCCUAUACUAUAUAUAACAUUAAAAGUCUAACAUUAUAUAUAUGUAUGAGUAAAAGUCAGUCUUACCGUUAGUAGGCCUCAUUCACGAAGCUGGUCUAUAAGGGGUGUUUAAGGAAAUUGCCUAUAAAAUGGCGAUUGAAUGGGUAUCCACUCUUACCCACCGCACUCUUGACUAGUGGAGGGUCGUUAGCCGAACGGGUAGGAUAGGACGAAACCUUCCAUUAUAAGUAUAAUGAAGUAUAAAAGUAACUAAAUGUUUUCAUAAAAUUCCCAAUCUUAGUUACUUAGGCAAAAGUGAAUUGAUGCAAUUCCAUGAAAUUACACUUUGUGCCCUUGCGAAGACGUUAGUGGAGCGUGUGUGGUUUACCGGCACACUAAAUGGUUCUAAGCAAAGGUAGCAAAGGGUGACUCAAUGUUUGUCAUAGUUCGGUGGAGCGUGUGUGGUUUACCGGCACAUCGAAUAGGUGACUGUAACAUGUGAGGGCACCAUGUAAGUUUGCAUGGUUAUUCACACCCGCUUUGUGAUCCUCGGCAUCCCAGUCACAAACAAGAGGGGCAUAUCGAGAUUUAAACAUGCCAUUGAAAUGUUCAAUGAAUCUCAAAGGAUCUAGGAGUUUUCAUAGAUUUAAAACUUAAAUUUCUUUUUCGUUUUUCAUGGUGGAAAUUAGUGAAUCGUCAUUCACUUACCUUCAAAUGUUCUGCAAUUUGGGUUACGGCAUCCCUCUCCCGAGUUGUAGAAUAUUGUGUUGGGUCCUAGCCUUAGUAUCUCAUUUGGGUGAUUUACUAAGGACUCAAUCAAUCAACUAACUUGAAUUCUUUUUCUCCCGUUUUGUAGAUGUCAAAGUUCGACAACUAUGGUCUUCCCAAAUCCCGUGGAACAAGCAUUCCACAUGAAGAUGAUAUUCCACGAUUCGAUCGAGGAACAAGAAAUCAUGCUUCACUUCCUCCACCUCCUCCAAUUAUUCUCCCUAACCCACAAGUUCAAAGGCUUGAAAAGUUCAAGAUCACUCAAGCCCUUUUGGCAAGUAAACAUAAAGAAGGAAAGUCGGUGUGUGCACACGUCCUAGGGAUGAAGUCACACAUUGAUAGGUUAAGAAUGUUGGGAUCCGUUGUCUGUGAGGAAAUGGCUGUUGAUUGGGUUCUUCAGUCACUUCCUAACUCAUAUAGUGAGUUCGUAAGAGAGUACUAUAUGAUGAACCGCGACGUGACCCUUAUAGAUCUCACCUAUAUGCUUAUUGCUGCUGAAUCAGCAAUGGUUUGGCGCAAUAGAAAAGCAAAGUUGAUUGGUGAAUCUGCCUUCAAGACCUCUAUGGAUAUAGACAAUGGCAACGAAAGACAUGCUAUGAUCGAAAAGUUUGAUCAUAAGAGAAAGGCAAUGUCUGAAGUAGUUCCAUGUCAUGUUCCAAAAGAGUCAAUUUGCUUUUAUUGCCAAGAGAAAGGGCAUUGGAGACGAAGCUGCCCCAUUUACCUAAGAGAUCUAAGAGAUGGGAGAGUCGAAACGUAUGGCUCUAAUAUAGGUAAAAUCCAUUAACUAACUCUUUUAAGCUUCUAUUCUAGAUUCUUAAUACAUAAUGUGAUAAGAUUACAAUUGAUGUUUUGUAGGAUCGAAGAAAAGAAAGGAAGCUUAAGGGAAGAAGUGAGCAGAAUCUAACCGUGAAGGAAUGGAUUUCGAUCGCAUUUCUCGAAGAUUAGAUUCUUGAGCUACUACUUAGAGUUAGAAUUAGAUUGCUAAGAAAGAUGUAUUAGCAUAGUUUUUCAAUGAAUUGCAUUGUAAGGACAAAUUUUUCCGCAAUAAAAUAAAUUUUGAUUUUAAAUUUUAUUUAUUUAUCCUUACAAUGGCGUGUAUGAAAAAUUGAUGUUAAAAUGUUUCUAUUAUUAGCAAUAAUGGAUUUGGUUCUUAUUAUGUUAUUUAUGGAAAGUCGAGAAUUUACCAAAUAGGGAGAGUUUCUCAUCGCCCAAGUUUCAAUUGGACAGAAACUUGGAAUCAUGCAACUUGGUUGCACGAUGAAUGAGAAAUUUCAUAUUUGGAAAUUAGACUAAUUCAUUGACAAAGUGUCAAGUGAAGGACUAGGAGAUCGAGUACACAAAGUUGCGUGUUGAUCAAGUCCACCAUAAGAGUAACAAAGAUAUUCGUCAUGAUUUACUAAAGGUUUAGUAAAUAUGAUUAUACUUAUAAGAUUAAGUGUAAUUCUGAAUUGAUUGAAAAGGUUUAAAUCAAUAGCAGAACGAAUAAGAAGAAUCAAGUAGGCAGAAAGAUAAAAGUUUCUCCAUUCUAAGAAGAAGGGAGAGUACCUUUUAUGCUUUAUGAUAGGUCUUAAUGAUUAAGAACCAUAUCUCAAUUGAUCCUCUAAGUGAGUCUUAGUACAAUUGUAUGUCUAAGAAGAGGAAUCAAGAAUUGAAGAAAUGGUUAAAUCAAGAAGUCAAUCAUACUUCGUUCCAAAACAAGUCUUAGAGUUAAGAUUGUGACAUUGAGUGAUAAGUAUAAAGAAGGUUUAUAACAUUCAUUAAAUGUGGAAAGUUGUGAUGUCUUGGAUAAGACAAAGACCAACUAGGACCAAUUUAUGAAGUGUUUUGAUAAAAGCUACACUAACUCUUGAAUAUUUGUUUGUCAAGAAAUGGUUAUUGACAAGAGAAUCUUAUAUGUCAAGGAGUCAGUGGGAGUCUUAAUGGUCUUGAAAGGUUUCAAGAACAAAUCAAAUAAACCUUAUCGAUCAUCACUAGCACACGAGUUGAGGUUUACAACCUAUCGUGUUGACAUUAUUUUGAUUCUGUGCCAAUCCAAUCGAGUUAAUUAUGCAUGUGAGUUCUAUGAGUUCUCAUUUUGAACGCAUAAAAGGCAAAGCACCUUAAUCAAUGAAAGGUACAUUGAUAGGAAAGGGUGAGCUGCUUAACUACUUGGAAGACAUGGUGGGCAGCUGUGCUACCAUAAAGGCAAGAAAUCGAGAUCAAGAAAGUUCGAUCCAUAAGAGUUUGAAUUUGUCGUAAACUUUGGUUUUGACAAAUUCACAUGGAUAGGAACAAAUACACCGUUUAAAUCUAAGUGUCAUAAGAUUUCCUCCUUCAUGAAAAUGAUUGUGAGGAAAUGCUUUCACUAAGACAGAUUUUAAGAAGAUAGUGAUUGUAAAAUUGCAUUCUCGAAUUCAAUUAUGGUUACGGCAUCCCUUUCCAUAAUUUGAAUUGUGAGGUUUGGCAAUUAGUCUUAAUUGUUUAGACACACAUAUGAACUAUCGAAGGCAAAGGUGUAUAAGUUCAAGAAGCCUUGAUAAAAGAUUAUCAAAGCACUAAGUAUUAGAAACAUGAACUUAAGAAAUUCAAUAAGCAUUUUUUUUCUGAAAGUUAAGAUGUUUAUGAAUACAUGUCGAAGCUAGUGGGAGCAUAAGUGUUAUGUUUUAUAAUAAUCAUCAAGAUAGUGGGAGCAUAAAAGUUAUGAUUGUAUGAUUAUUAAGGAAAGUAUUGCAAGGUUAGCAAUAUUAAUUAUAGAAAACAAGAGUCAUACUUUGCAAAGUCGCAAUAGUUGAAGAGUUGUUUUGCUAUAAUUAAGGGAGAGAAUAUUAUGCUUCAUUUCAAAUCUAAAGGUUUAGGUUGAGAAAUGUUAAUAAAAUUUAGUCAAAGGUACAAAGUGUGUUCUUAAAAUUUCGAUUAUGAUUACGGCAUCCCUCUUCACAAUUCGAAUUUUGAGAACAUAGCAAAUAAAACAUUAUGCGUCGUGUCCCAUACGCUUCGGGUAUAGGAUCGAUUGCAAAUGCUUUAAUGUUUGACCAUUCUAAAAUUUUCCAAAUGUCGAGCGCAUUUAGAGGGAAAAGGGACUAGAAUUGGUUUUGACUAAAAUAAUUAAACAACUAUCAAAGGACAAUCCAAAGUUCGACGAGGAUUGGUCGCUUGUGAGUAGUUGGAAGUAUAGUAUUGGAAAAUAUGGAAAUGUUUCCAUAUUGGAUGGACCAUAUCGACAUCAUUACGAAUAGAUAAGAUUCUAUUAAGAAUGAGUUGUCAUAUGGAACAUAUGGAAGUGUGUCCAUAUUGGGAAUUGAAUAUUGAGAAAUCUAUGACUAGAUUAGAAACUUCUAUGCAAAAGGAUGUUCAAAGAAUGUACUUUGAGUGAGAGACAUCACAUCUAUGGAAUUGUCUUGUAACAAUCUCCGAUAGAGGACUUUGUAAUAUCAUUGGCAAUAGUCUUUGUGACUUUGGUGCAGUGACAUUACGAAAGGAUCGUUGCAUAAAAUGUUAGAAUCUAGCAUAUUCUAUAAGUAGCAAGAAUUUGAUAUUCUUUCACUUAUGAAAAGGAUUUGGAGUUGUGAAAUGAGAAUGAUUGGAAAUGUGUUCAAUUUGAUCUAUUUCACAAAGUAAGAACCAUAGGUAAACAUUGUGUGCAUGCUAGGAGCAUGGGACAAGUGUAAUAAUUCAAGUAAGAAGUUGAUUACCCGAAACGACAAAUAAUGAGUAAUCGAUAUGGUGAUAAAUAAAAGGUGUUUUAUUUAUACUCAAAGGUUUGAGGCCAUAUGGGAUUAGUAUUAUUCUUGUGUUUCACAUUUGCAUGUUUUGACUUCCAGAAUAAUUGAGUUUAUUAAGAAUAAUCGAAUUAUUCGAACGGGCCACAGUCGUUCAUAUGUUGGAAGUAGAUAUGAAUGAAGACUGUCGUGAAUUGGUGUGUGGAUUGUCUAAAAGAGUAUUAGACAUAAGCAAAUGUUUGCUGCAACGUUCAUGAGUGCUUAUGAAUAUGAUUUGAGCAUUGGAUUAAACCCACGCUCACUUGGAUCACUCCAUGAAUUGUAUCACGAGUGAUUGGUGAGACGAUAACAUCUUAUAUUCUUGAAACCGAGAUGUGUGAGUUGUAUCUUGCGAAUCGGUUGCACAUUGAUAAUAUGUAAACGCACUAGUAACUUGGUGUUAUAAAACAUAUUGUUGUGUGUGAUUUGGUUAGUAAGUGCAAGCAAGCAUUGUAUCAAAGUUUAUCCGUUCCUUUUAUCCAAAGUAGGAUAAAAGCGAUAUCUUUGGGCCCCUCGAUGAUUUAGUGAUGACAAACGUAAAUGCUCGGCCGGGCUAGGGCUAAUUUGAUUUGUUCAAUUAGUCAGUCGUCAUAAAUCGGGAAUCGAGAUAUAGUACAAAGAGAAUGAUUUGAAAUCAUAUCUCAUAUGAUAUCUAGAAUGGAGGAAUAUAUGAUCCCUUAUCUAAGGACACGCGUAUCUGAUAUGAUCAGAGUUGACAGCGGCUUUGGAAAGCUACGAUUGCAGAUCAGGAUCUGAAGUCAUACGCAGAAUAGUUGUUAGACUUAUCCAAGUGGGAGACUGUUGGAUUAGUGUCUAAGUCCAUAACUAUUUUGGUAUGUACUUGACCCGAUGGUGCAUGGUCCUUUUGGGUUGCCUUCACCAAAGCAACUUGAUUGGAGAAAUAAAGAGAGAGAGAGGUUAUUAUGAUUUAUUAAUAUGUUAUAAGAAUAAUAUAUUAAAGGAGAAAUCAUAUUUGUUUAAUUAAUAUUGGUCAAUAAUUAAUUAAGAAUUAAUUUGUGAUCAAGUGUAAUUAAUUAAACUAGAGGGGUUGAAUUGUAAUUAUGUGAUAGUUACAAAAUAAGGUAAGGAUUAUCUUAAAUAUAGGGUGAACGAAUUUAAGGAGAUAAUGCCUUAGAAUUCGACUAGGAUAAGGGUUUCUAAGACUUAUCUUAUGGUUGCUUGGUGGGCAAGCAACUAGAUAAGGAUAAGGACUAAAACCCUAAUCUUUACACCUAUAUAAACCCCCUAAGGCUCAUGAAUUCGUCUAAGCCUUACCAAGAAGUCCUAAGGACGAAUUCCUACCUCUAUCCUCUCUCUUUAUACCUUCUCCAUUUGCUCUUGGUGUUUGUGAGCCAUUAGAGGAGUGACACUUGUGACUCUAAGCCUUCCAAAGUCAAUUCAUGGAGAAUUGGGAUUGUUAUUACUACAUAACAAUCAAGGUAACAUCUUAAACCUAAUUAUAUGUUAAUAUCGAUUUCCAUAUGCUAGAAUUAGGGUUUAUAGUCUUGGAUUCAAAGCAUGUACAAUAGAGAAACCUAGAUCCAAGCAUUAGGGUUUGUAUGAGCACAUAGGAUGUCUUAUGACCAAAACCCAUCACAUCUUUCAUUGGCUACUAUGAAGUGUGCACUCUUAGUAAACCGAUCAACGACCACCCAAAUCAUGUCGUGACCGUCCUUCGUUCUGGGCAGUUUAGUGACAAAAUCCAUGGUAAUGUCUUACCACUUAUCCAUGGUUACACAUAAAGGUUCUAAAAUCCUAUAUGGUUUCUGAUGUUGUGCCUUAACUCUCACAUAGGUCACACACUUGGCCACAUACUUUGCAAUGUUGAGCUUCAUCUUCGGCCACUAGUAGUAGGGUUUCAGAUCCCUAUACAUUUUUGUGCUGCCGAGAUGAAUCGAGUACAUGGUCUUGUGAGCUUCUUCCAUCAGAAGAUCUCUUACUUCGCCCAUCUUGGAAUACCUUUAAUCCUUGAUUAUUUGUACCGAAAACCAAGUUUUUGCUUAAACAUUCUUCCUUUUGGUCAUUCUCCUCUAAAACUUCCUCCCAAGCUUUGUUGAUGCUUUCCACAAUCAUUGUGACAACCUCUAUUGAUUGUUUUGAUUAUAUUUCUCUUCAAUCUUCUGUCCUAACUCAGAUGCUACAUGAAACUUGGUUCUCUGAACCAUGUAACAUACUCAUCUUAGUUGGACUCGAUAUGAUACGACCACUAGGGUCAGAAUCAGAAUCAUCUUCUUAGUCAUUACCAAAACGAUGGUAAUGAAGAACUUGAACAAAACAGAAUCAAUUACUAGCUUCUUAGUAACCUUGCGACUUUCACUGAUCCAAGUGCAAGUCCUGUGCUUCCGGUAGUAUAGGCCUCUACUACCAUUCACACCUACUCAUACUCGUUCAAGGUGCUAUCUCACAGUUUUCCAAGUCAUCAUUCAAGAGUUUCACAUAAUCAUUUAACACAUCAGAUAACAAAAUCAAGGUUUUAUAUUAUUUCUUGAAAUGAUUACAUAAAUGUUCAACUUCGUCCUAUACUAUGCCUCUAAUAAGUUGCGCUACAUGAUGCUAUCCACAUGGCCACUUCAUAACUUGAUCUUCGGAUAUCAGUCCUCACUCCUGCUUCCUUGCAUUGUCAGCUGCUUCGUUAAGGAUCAUUUGGAAUGCCCUUGGCUGGGGCGGUGCGUUUGGCCUUGCCGCUUUAUUCUUCCUUGGGCGGUUCUUCAAAAUAUGCCAUCCUUCAUUGCAUUCAUAGCACACCCUCUUGCGGGAUGUACACUCAUUGGCGUAGUGCCCAGGAUUUUCACACUUAAAACAAGUGACCUCCCGUCACAUUUCCCAUGGUGCUUCUUUUUGUACUUUUCACACCAUUUCGCUUCAACUCCUCCUCCUCUCGAACCAGACUUCGAGAAAUUACUUUUCUUGUUGGAUUUCGAAGAUCCAUCAAACUUCCUUUUCUUACCAACCUCUGCCCUCUCCAGACCCUUCUCCCUUAUCCGUGUCUCAACAAUCUUCAUAGCUCUAACGACUGCCUUCAACGUGCUUGCCAUUUUGACUAUUGGGCCAAAGUCUGAUGGCAAUCCGUUAGCAAAUUUCUCUAUCUUGGCGAGUUCAGUCGACACCAAGUAUGGAAAUAACUUCAUCUUCUCAGUGAAUGCAGUAGCAUAAUAAUCAAUGCUUAUUCUCCGUUCUUCAAUUUCUGGAACUCAUUGUUUAGAUCUAUCAUAUCUAUUUCGGAGCAGUACUGCAUUUUCAACUGCAUUAUGAACUCUUCCUUAGACAUUUUCAGAGCUUUUCCUCGUGGCAUCGUAUCCGUUAAUAACUUCGACCAGCUUAAAACUUUGGUCUUUACUUGUUUGACCGCAAAGACAAUUUUUUGUUUGUCGCUAUAGUUGCAGCUUUCAAAUACCAUCUCUAUUUCGACAUGAUCUUCAUUGUGAUUUGACGAAACAUAUUUGGACGGUUAUGCUUUUCAUGGCCAAUUUUCGAAGAAGUACUUCUUUUAAAUUGACGAGUGUGACAUCCACCAUUUUCACGGUCAGAAAAGACUGAUUUUGUUUAUGCUUUAUAAUAAAAUCAGAGUAACCUUUUUAAAGAAAAGUGUUGUGGAAUUUGUUCCUAAAAUAAAAUAUGAUAAAGAUUUAUCAAAACAUUUCCAAAGAAAUGUAUUUCAUUGUAUUAAAACCUUGGGAUGUCAUUAUUAAUACAAAUCAGAAACAUAAGCAGUACAACAUAGGCGUUACAACAUUUAUUUAAAUCUACUAGCCUAUAAACCAUAAUCCUCUCGUCAAGUCAUCCAACUAUGCUCUUGCCACUACCUAUAAUACAAGAAACUGAGCCGGUCAGGCUUGGGAGCCUGGUGAGCACAUAGGGUUUUCAACCCACAAUAAAUAAUUUUGUUAAUUUCAACAAAUGAAAUAAACCAGAUUACCCGUUUCUAUUUAUCCUCACAUUACGUCCCUAAAACAUCUAAUAUAAGGGACAUAGCCUAAGGAUUAUUGUAGCACCUGGUUCCUAGUACGUAAUCCUUGUAAUUAAUAUUUCUUAAUUUUGCAUUUUUGCCUUGGACUUGGCGAGUUGAAGAACCGACUCGUCGAGUAGAAGCGGGAUGAGAAGCGGGGUCUGAGCUUUGGACUCGGCGAGUAGACCCUGUUUGGGCAAAAACCCUAACCAAAGUGUUUGCACCCUAUUUAAACGCUCUAACUUGGCCUCCUUUGUCCCGAACACUCCCAGAGAGCUGAAGAGCGAAACCCUAGCCCCCAUUUUGUUCUUGAGAGUGAUUUUUGGCUUUGUGAAGAAGGUUUGGAGCUUAGAAGAAGAAGAAAUAGGUUGUAGUGUGCAAAGAGGGGAAGUAGAUCCGGAAUCUACACUACAAGAGGCUUCCAUUCAGCCGGAGGAUUACCGAUUCAGCAGUCAGGCGCUUAGCAAGCAGAUUUUCAGCAGCUACUUUUCGAGGUGAGUUACCUUCCAGUAGCGGUGGGUCUAAGGCCACAAUGUCGGCCCACCAGUAGGAGACGUAUGAUAGAUGAGUGUCUUUGUGAUAUCAUCUAGGUUUGUUACUACCUGAUAUGUUAUAUGCUAGCUUGAUGUGUUAUAGUAGUAGAGUUCGGUUGUUAGGACCGAAGGGUAGUCAGAUACCCCAGAUACGUCUGACAGUAUGUGAUGAUAUGUUUGCAUGUUGGCUUGUUAUGUUAUAUGCGAUAGAGGUAGUAGGGGGUGAAAUAGUCCCCGAGGUUCGGUUGUUAGGACCGACGGGUAGUCAGCACCCCAGAAUGGCUUGACAUAGGGAGGGCGGCACCCCAGAAUGGCCGUACAGGUAGGUCGGCACCCCAGAAAUGCCUAGCAGUAUGUAUGUGAUAUGAUUGUAUGGUAUGUGGUACGAUGGGGGGGACUCACUAAGCUUUGUGCUUACAGUUUUCAGUUCUGGUGUCAGGUACCUCUUCAGCGAAGGGGAAGGAGCUGGCGCGGUAGCGGUACAUCAUACACACACAUUGGAUUUCCGCAUUAUGAGAUGUCCUGGGAUUGUACUCUGACAUUAUUAUUAUUUUCAUGUUUUGGGUUUUCAGACACGAGAUUUGUUUUAUGACAUGAUAUGAUCGGAUGAUGUUUUACUGCAAAUGUUUUACAAACCACUUAUUUUAAGUGAAAUUUUUGGGCGUGAAAAUUGGGUCGUUGCAAUUAUCAUCGGGGUAACAACAUUGCUUAGGGGAUACUGUGACAUCCCCAAAAUCUUGGCCAGAAAAGACCGAUUUUCAUUUAUGCUUUUAAAAUAUUUUCAGAGUAAAUCCUUUUGAUUUGAAAGAGUUGCGGAAUUUGUUCCCAAAAACAAAACAUGAUAAAACAAUGUUUACCAAAGCAUUUCAUAAAAGAAAUGUAUUUUCAUUAUAAUCAAAACUCGGGGUGUCAUGUUCCGAUACAGACCAAUAAGCAUAAACGAAUACAUUACAAGUCAUAUAACAAAUAUAAACAUAUGCAGACUUGUAAACAAAACAACUUGAUGGUUCAUCCAUCUCAUGCCCUUCCGCCACUACCUGUAAUACAAUUUAAAACUGAGUGGGUCAGGCUUGGGAGCCUGGUGAGCAUAUAGGGUUUUCAACCCACAAUAAAUAUCAUAUUUAAUUUUCACCAACCAACAAUAACCCAAUUACCCAUUCCCGUUAUUCUCACUUUAAUGUCCCUAAAACAACUAACAUAAGGGACCUAGUCUAAGAAUAUUUCAUCGGGGCGACAACACAUGCUUCGGGGGUACCUCAGCAAUAUAAGUCAAAUAAGGCAACCAUGAGGGGGAUGGAGUACAGCGAAUGAACACCCAAGUUCAUUAACACCUACAGGUGGCGAACCUGCUAAUGUUUCCACAAGACUAUCUAGAAAAGUCCGUGGUCGUCAUCUAAACUCCGCUAGAUGACUAAAUCAAACAACAACGAGGCCUCUCAUCUGUUUAUUACACACCAACUAUCUACCCAUGUUCUACCCAACAUAUUAGUAGAUAAAAAUAUACAUUUUUAUACAUAGUUUAAAAACCUGUAUAGCAUGCUUUAAUCAACACAUAUUUCACAUAACAGAUGAGGCACACACACACAUAACACGUAUCUCAUAGAGAAUAAAUCAUAUCUAUGAGAUAGAAGAAAGUGAAUACACAUUCACACACAUAACCACAAAAUUAUACACAUAAUACGUAUUCCGUAUAAAAUACUUCAUAAUUAUGCGUUAGAAGAAAGUAACUACACACUCACUUGAUCAGAAGAUGAUCGGACAGCACUACGACUUGCAGAAGUAGUAAUCCUCAGCAGAUCUGGAAGAUCUUCACAAAAAUCGAACUUCUCGCGGGCAGAGCUUCGGCUCGGGAACCGCACUUCUCGGGAUCUUCGGGAUCUCGGGACUUGCCUCGGGGCUCGAGUAUGAUACCGGGGCUUCGGGGUAUUUCUGGCACGCAAAACGAUGCAAAACGGGAGAGAGAAGAGAGAAAAUGAACAAAAGAAUCGGCUGCCUUCGGAUCCUAUUUAUAGGAGGCUGAAGCCUCGGAGUACGCGAGGUGUACUGGUCCGAAAAACGUCACUGCUUACGUAUCCGAAGACUCGAGUGCGAAUGUCGACAUCCCUCGGUGUACGCGGGGCGUACUUCGGAUCGGAUUGCUGACUCCCCUUCGGAUAAUACCGGAUUUUCUAAUAAAAAUUAAAUACAAAUUAUUUAAUAAACUUCGGAAAUUCAUCUCUUCUUCAUACGAACUCCGUUUUCGACGUUCUUUAUAUCCACGCGAAGGUGAGACUACGCUCUACAACUUUCGUUUAGACUCCGUCGGCUAAUUUUAACUUUAUUUUUAUUAUUUAUUUUUAAUAGGCCGGGACAGAAAAACUUCGUUAUAAAUUCAUAACUUCUUCGUUUGACGUCCGUUCUCGCCUAACUUUUUAUCGCUUCGAGACCAACAACGAGACCUUCGAUCCUCGUUUAGGUUGCUUCGGCUCAAAACCGCUCGAUCUCAAAUCGAGUAUUUCGGGCUGCACACCGCUAAACCGAAACUUCGAUAAAUCAUAACUUCCUCAUACGAAGUCAGAUUUGGGCGUUCUAUAUAUACAUUCGUAAACCUCGUUUCAACUACUACAUCAUCAACCAAAGAUAUCAAGUUUAUUUUACACUUUAAUUUUGACGCUUAUUUUUAUUCUUAAUUAAUCAAACCACAUAAUUAAGCAAUUAAGCACAAAACACAUAAUACUCAAAUAAUACAAUCAUAUUAUUUCAAAACGGGUUACAAAGGUUAACUUAGACUAUUACAUUGCUAAAAAUGGCAAGCCCGGAAACACAGGCGUUACAGAUACCUCAACAUUUUAUGUCAAAUAAGGCAACCAUGAGGGGGAUGGAGUACACCUGGUGAACACUGAGUCCAAAUAAACACCUACAGGUUGCGAGCCUGCUAGCGUCCCAUUGGACUGUCUAGAAAAGUCUAUGGUCGUCAUCUAUACUCCGCUAGAUGACUAGAUCAUCGUCAAUAUCGAGGCCUCUCAUCAUUUUAUUUCAUCACACGCCAACUAUUUCAUCUACCCACGUUUUACCCAACAUAUUUGUAGACAUAAAUUACAUAUACAAUUCAGAUCUAAAAAACAAAAUNUAUAUAUAUAGUUUAGAUCUGAAAAGAAAAGUCUAGAUCUGAAAUGAGAAAGUUUGGAUUUGAAGGAAACAGUUCAGAUCUGAAAGAAAGAGUUUAGAUUUGAAAGAAAAGUUCAUAUCUAAAAAGAAAAAGGUUUAGAUCUUUCUUCCAACAUAGAUCUCAGGUAAACAGAUAAUAUAUAUACACAUAACACGUAAUUUAUAUAAAAUAGUUUAGAUCUGAAAAGAAAAGUCUAGAUCUGAAAUGAGAAAGUUUGGAUUUGAAGGAAACAGUUCAGAUCUGAAAGAAAGAGUUUAGAUUUGAAAGAAAAGUUCAUAUCUAAAAAGAAAAAGGUUUAGAUCUUUCUUCCAACAUAGAUCUCAGGUAAACAGAUAAUAUAUAUACACAUAACACGUAAUUUAUAUAAAAUAUUUCAUAUUUAUGUGUAAGAAGAAAGUAAAUACACACUCACAUGAUAAGGUGGCGAUUCGGACAACGUUUUGCUUCUUAAAAUAAUCUCCAUUGAUGAAACCGGGAAGUUUGGUUGAAAACCGGGCUCUGCGGGGGGGCAAAGUUUCUAAACCGAAAAACUCUUUUUCUCGGAGACUUCGGGCGCUCCGGGGCUUUCUUCUAGUGCUAAGGAGGUCCCCUAGGCUUCGGGGGUGUUUAGGGUGGAUAGAGAGAGAAAGAGAGAGAGAGAGAGAGAGAGAGAGAGAGUAGAGUAGAGAGUGAAAGAAGUGUGAAAUAUGUGAGAAAACAUGGCUAGCCUCGCAUCCUAUUUAUAGUCAGGAGGUCUCGCAUUACGUUGGGCGUUCCUCGGUCUACAUGGGGUGUUCCUCGGUACGCAGGGCGUACCCUCGUACGCGGUACGGUUUGCGAGGUUCGGAUUUGUCACCCUUCAGAUGGAGCUAUGUGGCCAAUUCCGGACCUAGCCUUUGCGAACGCGGGGUGUUCUCUUCGGAUAGCCUCGAAAUAUGUACCUCUUACUUCAAAAAUUCAUAUAUUUUGCAUACGAGCUCCGUUUUCGACGUUAUUUAUAUCCACGCGUAGGCAGGACCGUACUCUACAACUUUUGUUUAGACUCAGUUGGCUAAAUUUGACUUUAUUUUUAAAGUUAUAUUUUUAACAGGCCGGGACAGGAAAAGUCUAUUAAAAAUUCAUAACUUCUUCAUCCGACGUCCGUUUUCGUUUUUCUUUUAACCGUUGAACUACUAUUGACGAGAUCUUCGAUUCUUGUUUAGGUUGUGUCGGAUAAAAAUCCCUCGAUUAUAAUUCGAGCUACGGGCUGCACACUGCUAUGCUAAAUCUUAGAAAAUUCAUAACUUCCUCGUACCAAGUCAGAUUUGGACCUUCUUUUUAUGCACGCUCUUGAUUUAACGUAUACUAGGAUUUUCAUUUAGAUCGCUAAGGCUAAAAUGCACUUUAUCGUAAACUCACUUUUUACGUCACGCAAUAUCGUGCUAGUUUUGUCGUGAAACUUUAACAGGUCAUAACUUUUUUGUGAUAACUUGGAUUUCGGCAUUCUUUAUAUGUCCGAAAUCCUUGUCACGACCACUACAACUUUCUUCAUAGAUAUCAGAUUUAUAUAACAUUUUAUUUUUGAUGCUUAUUUUCAUUCUUAAUUUAUUAUAUCAUUAUAAAUAAGUAUAUAAUCACAUAAAAUCACGUAAUUCACAUAAUAUUCAAGUAAUUCAUCUUUAUUACUUUAAAAUAGGUUACAAUAGUUGACCUUGACUAUUACAUCAUCAUACUAAUGUUUAGCCCAGAAACAAGGGCAUUAGAACGAGUAUGUUACUAGGGAGAAGAGAAAGAAAAAGAGAAACGGAAAACAUGAAGGUUUCACGAGAACUUCUCACUGAUAUCACUAUUCCCGUCGGUAACGUCAUGGACAUUGCCGGUGAUAAGGUUACCUCGUUACCAGAGGCAUUUUCGGUGAAAAACGACAUGAGUGAAGCUUUUCAUCGGAGUUGAUAGAGAGAAAAAGAGUAACACGGAAGAGGGAAGAAUGAAGUCGCUAAGGGUAUUAUUCGUGUCACACUUUAGCAACGAUACCAUUUAGUGGUGUCGAAAGACAUUUGUGGCAACUCGAAACGUAAUAGUCGCGACACACUUUUGAGGGAAUAAUUGGCAGAGGGUUCGAGUAUUAGCGGUGACACCGUUGCUGGUAUUAGUUAGUGGUGUGUAUGGGGCGGUUUGGUUCGGUUAUUGGUUAAAACCGAACCAUAACGAUUAUGAUUGGUUAAUGCAUUUUGGUAGCCAUUGGGUAUGGUUAAUAUUGGUUAUGGUUAGUAGUUUUUAUCGGUUAACGGUUUUGGUUAAUGGUUAAUAUUGGUUAACCAUAAUGUUCAAAAUAAUAUAAACGACGAAAGUAUUUUGGCAUGAAAAAUGAAAAUAAAAUACCAAAAAGUCCUCGACGCCGAUGUUUGUAACCUAACUUAUAGUAAUAUAAUAAAAUGUGUAUCUGUAAUACUUAGAGUGAGAUAACACAUAGUCACAUUUAAAAUCAAAAAUAUUUAAUAAAAAUAUAAAACAUUAAAAAAAUUGACAUUAAUAAUUUCAUAUAUUGAUAAUUGAUAUUAAUAUUAAAAUAAAGUCAAACAUUCAUACACGUUCAAUACGAUUAAAUUAAAACUAUUAAAUAAAAAAGCCAAACAUUCAUAUUCUGUGUUAUUAGAUAUAAAAAAAAAAAAAAGUCAAUCACUCAUCUACAUUCAAUGUGAUUAAGUCAAAAACACUAAAAAAAUUCAAAAAAUUAAAAAAAAAUACAUUCUUAAUAUAUCACAUAGUUAAAAAGAACCAAAAACUUAACUUACCUAGAAGUCUUGAGUAUAAAGUCAAAAAAAUCCUUCGAAUAGGACUAUAAAGUCCAAACAAUCUUUGAUUAUGAUUAACGGUGUGAGAAGCCUUCGAUUAGGAUUAUGAGUGUGAAGAUUAAACUAAUUGUGAAUAAUGUUUACAAAUUGUAGAAUUAGCCGAUUAUGAAUUACAACAUUAAUUAAUAAUCUAACUCAAUGUAUGAUUGGAAGAUUAUGUGUGUCUGAGUGAUCAGUCUUUGAUGAUUUGAUUGCUCGUUCGUCUCCUGGUAAGUGAAGAUUAAUAGAUUAUAUUUUCAAAAUUUUAAUGGAUCUUAAAUAAGUUUGACUAUAUNUCUCUUUCUCUCUCUCUCUCUCUAUAUAUAUAUAUAUAUAUAUAUAUAUAUAUUAAAAUAUAAAGUUAGCGGUUCGGUUAAUAAUGGUUCGGUUAACCUAUAAAACCAUAACCGAACCGUUAGUUAUUGGUUAACAAAAAUUAGAAACCGAACCAACGGUUUUUAAAAUGGUUCGGUUAUAACGGUUAAUUUGGUUUUGGUUCGGCUUUUCGGUUAUUAUGCUCACCCCUAGUAUUAGUUUCGCCGUUAUUGUUAUGUACGAAAUCAUUUUUCAAGUGUUGGAUUAUGACAAAAUCGACGAAUAGGGUUUAACCUCAGAUUUUGACGCGGAUCGGGGUUGAUGAGUUUCGCCUUUAGCGGUGACAACCACCAUUACAACGAGACCUAAUCUAAAUGUUGGGUAUCGCUUGUAAUGGUGGUUGUCGCAACUAAAGGAUUCGCCACUGAAGUCCUAUAUUGUUGUAGUGAUAAAUGUUAAACCUAAACACCAAUUUAAACACACCAACCACUAGAAAUUGGUGGCGACAAGUUCAUGGCAUUAAGAGCGAUAACAAAUGGUGUAUAAAUCCAUUAUGAUCUUCGUUGCGAUUUAACAGAACAUAUUUGGACGGUUAAUGAUUUUGAAGCUCAAUUUUGGAACAAUUUUUUUUUUGAUCCAUCAUGUUAUUAAGUUUUAAGUUUUUAAUUUUUUGAGUUGUUAUGGUUUAGUUUCUUGUUGUGUAAUUUUUAUUUUGAUUUAAUAUAAAAUUUAGUUUUUAAAAAAUUAAUUGCUAAAAAAAGUACUGAUGUUAAAAAAAUGAUGUUAAUCCGCCUAACCUAAAUGUAAAUGGUAUGUUGAAGACGGUGUGUAGCAAAAUCAAAUAUAAGCUGCUGGUUGAUGCAUCGGGUAUUGUAUUACGUGAGGUUGAUAGUUUGAUUUGUUGAAAUUAUCUUUUGUGUGUUUGAGAAUUCUUUUAUGGAAGUCCCUAUAAAAAGGAGUUCAAACUCAAAUGUUGGUUGAAAUAUUGCGAGUACACUUCACUUAAUUUGAUUGCGGUUAGGAAGCAAUUUAAUUUCUCAAAAGAUUAAAUGCCACUAAUAAAUUAAAAAAAUAAACUAAAAAUCAACACCAAAUUAAUGCCAAAGCUUUAAACCAUAUAUUACUAAAUUAAUUCACAUACGCCAUCAAAAAAAAAUUCAUGUCACAAACCCAUACUCAUAAAACUCACUUUCCAGGUACAAAGUUUGUAGCAUAUGACCAUGCAUUGUUUGCAACAGGGUCAGCAAGGUGGUCAGCGAGGUUCUCCAAUGGUCCCUUUCCGGUAACAAUGGCUUGAACAAAGAAUCCAAACAUAGAGAACAUGGCUAGUCUACCGUUCUUGAGCUCCUUCACUUUCAGCUCAGCAAAUGCCUCUGGGUCAUCAGCCAGACCCAAUGGGUCGAAGCUACCACCAGGGUAAAGUGGGUCAACUACCUCACCAAGAGGUCCACCAGCAAUUCUGUAACCUUCAACUGCACCCAUCAAGAUCACUUGGGUAGCCCAGAUGGCUAAAAUGCUUUGUGCAUGGAUCAAACUUGGGUUCCCCAAGUAGUCAAGACCACCCUCACUAAAGAUCUGGGAUCCAGCCUUGAACCAUACAGCCUCACCAAACUUGACACCAUUACGCGCCAAGAGUUCGGGGAAGACGCACCCAAGAGCUCCGAGCAUGGCCCAUCUGCUGUGGAUGACCUCAAGCUCACGGUUCUUGGCGAAUGUUUCAGGAUCAGCAGAGAGCCCAGCAGUGUCCCAACCGUAGUCACCGGGGAACUCACCGGUCAGGUAAGAUGGGGCUUCGCCGGAGAAUGGGCCAAGGUACUUAACACGGUCGGGGCCGUACCAUGGACUUCCUGAUGGUGCGACUUUCUUGACUGCUGUCUUCCUCAUGGAAACCCUUCCAUUUCCGGUGAUUUCUGAACCAGAUGGUGUUAUUUUCACUGCUUGUCCGAUGAAUGAAGAAGAUACAGACAUAGUGGAAGCUGCCAUUCUGUUAAAUUUGGUUGAAAGAUGUUGUGGAGAUAGGAGAGUUUGAGUUAUGAAGAUGGGGAGAUCUGCAAGUUUAUUUAUAAGGUGGUUUUUUGGUCAGAUAGAUAUGAUCGAUGCUUAUCUAGAUACAAUCUUCACCUUCAUUUUGAUUGGCAAACAACAUUCUAGUUUUAUCUAAGGGUCAGUAAUCUGCGUGCUGUGAGUUCUCUGGUCCACCAGAGAUUUUUGAAGGGGCUGCGGUAUAUUCAUGGCUCUGGUUUAUUGAGGGAAUGUAAUGGCUCCCAUUCUCAGCCACAAGCUGUUCUUGGUGGGGUUUUUCAUCUUUAACCAUUUUACAUUUUCACAAAGUUACAUAAAUAGUCAUCAUGCUUUACAAAGUCACCGGUUCAGCAACAAACUUUUUUUCCAUGAUUAAAAAUUCAAAACGGUCCGUAUGGUUUUAAUAUUAUUAGUAAUCAUCUUAACAUUUCUAAUUUUUAAAGACAAAUAUUCAUAUAAAUGGUUAUGUGAUUUUCCAGAAUAUCAAGUGGAGCACAUCAUUUUUUCGGUCUUAUGGAAUGACUAUUUGGUUUCAAUUCCUAUCAUAAUUGAUCUUAGAGCAUCCACAAUAGGGGAGUUUAAUGGAAGAGUUGAAUGAGGUGUCAUGCCUACUUGUCAUUCAAUGGAUACAACUCCACCAUUGUGAAAUGCCACCUUGGCAUUCAAUGAAUUUGGAGUUCAAUGGUCAUUGAACUCUUCAAUGGGAAAAAGGAAAAUCUUUAAAUCUUUAAAUAAAUAUUUUUUAAUAUAUUCCAUUGAACUUGUAGAGUUUAAUGCAUUGUGGGAUAAAAAUGAAAAGAGUUGUAUGGAAUAAUGAAUGAUGACGUGACACUCCAUUGAACUCUAUAGAGUUCAAUGCAUUGUAGAUGCCCUUAGUCCCACAUAAAUAAACUUUUAUACCCUUCUAUAUUAUAAUUAGUUUAUUUAAUAUAUAAAUAGCUAUGUUUUAUAGUUAACAAUAAAUUUUGUUCAUNNNNNNNNNNNNNNNNNNNNNNNNNNNNNNNNNNNNNNNNNNNNNNNNNNNNNNNNNNNNNNNNNNNNNNCUCUCUCUCUCUCUCUCUCUCUCUCCCAUCACACCCUCCUAAUCUUUAUUUCUUUCACUCGAUCGGUCAACCUCUUUUCUUUCUACAUAAAAAUUAAUCCAAAAUGCAGCCUUUUCCCAUACUCUGUGCUUGCACCGCCACUUUACCUUCUUGAAACCAAAUUACUAACCAUACACAAGUCUACAAAUCUACUAAUGUGUCUUCCAUUUCUCAAAAUCGAAAAAUAGAGAAGGUGUAGAACAUUGAGCUCACUUCUGUGCAUCUCCCACCUCUUUUACACAAAUAUGAAAUUAAAAUUGAAGAACAACUUUGUGAAGAACCUAGAUUGUGGAGAUGAUGAUGAAUAAAGUCGAUAGUUGGUGGUGCUCGGUGAUGUUUGAUGUUAGCGGCAGUACACUAGUGUUGUGGUGAUCGCCUGUUCAGUUGGUUAUAUUCUGGUAGGGUGGACGAUGGUGACCGUAGAACAGUUCAUAUAUAUAUNNNNNNNNNNNNNNNNNNNNNNNNNNNNNNNNNNNNNNNNNNNNNNNNNNNNNNNNNNNNNNNNNNNNNNNNNNNNNNNNNNNNNNNNNNNNNNNNNUAUAUAUAUAUAUAUAUAUAUAUGUGUGUGUGUGUGUGUGUGUGUGUGUGUGUGUGUGUGCGCGCGCACACUACAAGAAAUUUAGGUGUUUAUCCACACACGUUAUAUGUGGCUAAAAGACCUUUAUGUGUAGUUAUCUUUAGCUACACACAGAUUAAGUGUCAUAAUGUAUUGACUCAUGCCUAUAGAUAUAUAUCAUUAACUAUACAUUCAUUAUGUGGAAGUAUAGUGCAAUUAGUACACACAUACAUGUGUGGUUAAAACUAGUAAGUAUGUGCAUAUAGAAAGGGAGCUGAUCCGUUCACAACAAUUUUUCUCCAUACACAAUAAUUGAUGCUUUAAAAUGUUGUAUUAUACAACUAUAUAAUGCAUGAAUUGUUGUGUAUGGCAAAAAACUGUUGUGUACGAAUCACUUCCCAUAUAGAAGUACUAAAAAUUGUUUGAGUUGUCAACGAUGUGGCUGAUGACAUGUCAAAUUAUGUGGCAAGCCCACACAAAGUGUUGGUGAUAUGUGUUAUUCGAUAUGUGUGGGUAAUAAUUGUUAUAUGUGUAGGUUAAGAUAAGAUAUAUGAAAUAUAUAAAACACAAUAAAUGAAAUAUAAAAUUUAACAACACAAAUUGUUAUUACUUUUAAUAAGGAGUUAACGAUAUAUAAAACUUCUUUUGGAAUGGAAGUAUGUAGCACCCAAAGUCAGAAAGGCCAAGAAAGGAAAGGAAACCCUAAGUUUAAGGGACGACUCAGCAAGUCCAAGGAGGUACUCGGCGAGUCCGAGCGGGAUCCGGGUCGAGGAGUAAAUGACCGACUCGGCGAGUCGGCCAAGGAGACUCGGUGAGUCUGGUCUGUACGAGGAAAUCCCUAAAUUCGGGACUUGGAGCCUAUUUAAGCGCCUCAUUCUCUUCUCUAGGGUUCCUCUACUGCCUCUCUAACCNCUCAACCCCACCCCCGCCCCGCCAUAUCCAUUGUUGAGCCAAUUAUUGCUUUGAAGAGUGCAUUAAAGCUUGGAGAAGGAAGAAGGACCUUGGAGGUGCAAGAAGGAGCUAUAGAUCUGGGCUUGGGAAGAUAUUUCUGAACAUUUGGAGGUAAUAAACUAGUUCUUGGACUCCUUUGCACCUAGAUCUAUGUGUGAGUUUUGGGGCUUUUGGCCAUGAUUGGUACCCAUUUAAGUUAGAAGCCAGAUCUAAAGUUGCUACUUCGGAUAUAAGCAUAUUAUGGGCUUGUGAAGCAUAAAGUAUCAGCCCUUGAGUUGAUUAUGGAGCCUCUUUGCAUUAAACCCUAUUUUAUGGUGUGUCUAGCCUAGAUCUCCUUCUCUACACGUAAAGUUUGCAACUUUACGUGAGGAAUAGGCUUGGGAAGGGUAGAUCUACAGUUUGGGGUCCAUGCAUGACUCAAAAGUCCUCUACAUGUAUGUAGAUCUGAAUGGACUCGGCGAGUCCUUUGAGUGGACUCGGGGAGUAGCAUGAAGAUUAGGAGGAACUCAACGAGUGGGAUGAACAGCUCAUCGAGUCGGAUGAAGUUGGGCAGGAACUCGGCGAGUUGGAAGAACAACUCGGAGAGUCGGUUGAAGAUUGCCUUGGACUAGGUGAGUCUGUUCUUGGACUCGGCGAGUCAGGUCGCGAAACCCUAAACCCUUCGACUUGAGACUCGAAUCAGUGAGUCGAGUGGAGACUCGGUAAGUUGGACAGGUCAGGACUCGGAAAUCGGUAGACUCGGCGAGUCAUGGACUGACUCGGUGAGUCGAGUCGCGAUUGGAAGGACUUAGAGCAUAUGAACUCGGCGAGUCAAUAGGUAGACUCGGCGAGUAGGGUUGACCUGGAAGAUUGACUUUGAACAGGACUUUGACUUUGACCAGAGUUGACUUAGUUGACUGUUGGGGGUCAGUUAGUCUAAGUGUUUCAUUGAUAUUGGUAGCUCGGGGAGCUAGUGGAGCAGGAGUUCAGAGAGUUUCCGGGCAGCAUCCAGAAGGUUAUCAGCAUGUUCAGCAAGUGCAUGUGAGUUUCCCUUUGUGCCAAUGGGUCUACGGUCACAAUGUCGGCCCAUGUAGUUAUGAGUAGAAGACCCGGGGGUUAGCCCUAGGCACAGUAUGCUAGUAUGAUAUUCAGGACGAGGUCCAAUGAUAGCGGGCGGGUGCCCAAGGAAUGGUUUAUGUGAUAGUUUAUACUUGUUGUAUGUGUGAUACUUGUAUGUGUCUGGUAGGGAGGUGAGUGUGGGCGAGGUCCCGUAUCUCACCAAUAGCAGAGUGUGGAUGGUGUUCCACAUCUCAGUAGCAGCAGAGCAGGGGCGAGGCCCAAGUUAGGGAAGGAGUGAGGGUGGGCUGGGCCCGUACCUCACUAUCAGCAGGAGUAUGGACGGGGUUCCAUGACUCAUCAGUAGCAGGACAAGGGCGGGGCCCAGAGAUAGGCGAGGCCUUAGGACAAGAUCCGUUAGUAUGUGUUUAGCUUAUGUGAUGUGAUGUGAUAUGUUUAUGUGCUAUUAUAUGUUAGUGGGCGAGGCCCUGUGACAGGCGAGGCCUAAGUGAAACAGAUCUGUAUCCGAGCGGGGCUCGAAGCCAGGCGGGGCCUGGAGCGGCGGGGCCGUUGUAGCGGGCGAGGCCCGAGGUAGGGGGGGAGGCCCAGGAUAGCGGGCGUGGCCCAGCGUGUGCAGUAUGUGGUUAUGCAUGGUAUGUGGUAGGGUGGGGAACUCACUAAGCUUCGUGCUUACGGUUUUCAGUUUUGGUUUCAGGUACUUCCGGUAGCGGAGGGAAGAGCUCGGGGGUGAUCGCAUGGCACACACCAUAGAUUAGACAGUCUGGGAAUGUUUUACUCUGACAAUGAACAUGUGUUUUGGAAAAUUAAUACUCUGAUUAUGUUUUGAAUUGGUGACCUUGCUUAAAGAAAUCUUUUAUUAAAAGAAAUUUUUAGUCAUGAAUUUUGGGACGUUACAAGUUGGUAUCAGAGCCUUGGUUUGAGGGAUUCGGGCAUACUCUCGGGUGUGCCUGAACUCAAACUAAGGGGUCGGAUAAAAAGUUUUCAAAAUGAAAAGACAGUUUUCUAAAAAGAGAGUUUUGGGAAAGAAAACAGUUUUAGAAAAGCAAAAAGAAUUCAGAAAGAAAAGAACUUUGAAAAGAAAAAAAUGGUGUGGUGCAUGCAAUCAGCUGGUCUUAAGUAAGUACCCCAAAUUACCCAUACAAGUUUAUGUUAUGAUUAUCAGUUAGUAGAACAGCAUGCUAGAUUAGGACUAAGGAUCUAGGGAGGAUGCCUUAUGUGCCUAUUAUAUGUGCUUUGAGUUGCAUGAUAGUGUUGAUUAGACAGUGGUAGGAUAGCCUGUUUAGGUUAUGCCUGAGUAUAUGAGUUUGUGUUGCAUGCUAGUUCAGAUUCUUGCUAUGUGGAUAUGAUUGCUUAUGUAUGUUAUGGUUAGAUUUUCCCCUUGUCUGAAUGCUGCCUGCUUUGUGCAAUAUGGGAUUCCGAGUGAUGGGAGUAACCAUUAGGUGGAUACGUCACGUCACAUGUGAUCAGGGUUGAAUAAUCUCAGAGUGCUAAAUUUGGCCCUAUUUCGCAGCUCUCGUUUGAGUCCAACCAUUGUAGGGAUGAGUCUUUUACUCGAAGAAUUAUCUGAGCCUUGUCACAUGUGAUGGUGUCCAGUUGAUGGCCAAUUGGCAUCACAAGGAGUCCUUCAGCAGCUGAGGCCUGGUUUGGUGUGAGUCAGAGGUUUCCUUAGGGUAAGCCUAGGAUGAGAUAGUGUUGGGAGCAGUAGUAGUGGAUAAGGGACCUGGUGGAGUCGAAGCAAUUCCNGAGGAAAGUACAGAUAGAUAUGGAUGGUAGUAUGGGCCCGUACUACUGAAAGCAGAGGAUCCGUACUCGAUUCGGGAAAGGCUGAGACAAGACCGAGAACCUAGUAGGGUGAGUGUGUGUCUGGUCUCACAGCAGUGAUAAGUAUUCUGAUAGAGGAUGUAUUAUAUAUUCAGCAUGGUGACAUUGCGAGAGAGACCAGUGGGUGGACCAGGCGCCGGAGAGGGAUCGCUCGGGGUCNAGCAGCUCGAGGAGCGGAUGAGGGAGUUGAUAUCAGCUGAGGUUACGCGCAGUAUUCUAGAUCAGACUCCUGUGAUCUUUGGCACGGUCAAGGAGGGUAUAUUGGAGAUUUUGGAUGAGAGGCUGGGAGCCUUCCGUACCGAGAUGAUGGCAUUGAUGGGAGCACGUACCUUGACAUUUCGAGAGUUCAGGGCUUGCGGGGCACCAGAUUAUCAUGGGGCUAGGGACCCCAUCGCUAGCAGCAGAUGGUUGGUUGAUGUUGCCAAUGCAUUCCGUACGAGCCGGUGUCCUGAGGGGGACAAGGUUAGGCUCGCUUCUUGUCUUCUGAAGAACAGAGCAAGGGAUUGGUGGGAGGAGAUUAGUCAUGCCUUGGGGGAUGAUGUCGCGUUGGAUGCGAUGACUUUGAGCGAUUUCUCGUCCAGGUUCAGGGCGGAGUUUUCGCCGAUUAUUGAGGUGCAGCAGUUGCCACAGGAGUUUCAGGAUUUGACGCAGACCACUGAGACUGUGGCGGAGAUCACCGCCAAGGUCAGGGAGAGGGCUCUUCUUGUACCGCAGUGUGUCGCGGAUGAGGAGAUGAAGAAGGCCCGAUACCAUGAGAUGUUGAGGGAUGAUAUCAGGGUGUUCGUGAUCAGGUCCAGCUGUAAGACGCUAGAAGAUAUGAUUUCUCGAGCUAGAGAGAGGGAAAUUGAUUUGGAGCAGAUCCGGAAGAGGAAGCCGGAUGAGGUUUAGGUAGCCACAGGUUCGGGCAAAAGGCCUAAGGGAUCAGAUUCGAGAUCGAGGGAUUAUCAGGACCGCAGUCGGUGCGGGAAGUGUGGCAGGGCGCACAGGGGUGCGUGUAGGAGUGGUAGCGGUGGUGAUUCUGGCUGCUUCAAGUGCGGUCGGACUGGUCAUUUCAGUAGAGAUUAUACUGUUACCACCACACAGGGAUCAGACUUGAUAUGUUUUCACUGCAAUCAGCGGGGCCACAAGAAGGCCCAGUGCCCCAGUUUGUUUUCAAUAGGACGGGUGAUGACACUUGCCCCUGCAACUUUGAGGAUCACAGACGGCCGUCAGGGCCGUGCAGAGGCGCCUGCGGUAGGAGGCAGGUCUUUUCAGAUGACUACCUUGGAGGCGCGAGCAGCACCGGACGUUGUAGGUAUGCGAUUUUGUUUUCAGUUCUUUUAUUUGUGCAUGAUUAUAUUGUUAUGGUUCUGGAUCAUCAUUGGUUUGAGUAUUUUAUUUUUUGAGCGGUUGAUUGUGAUCGAGUUAUAUGCCAUCUUAAUACCUUGGAUAUUUGAAUGGUAGUUAGGAGAUGUGCUCUAUUAGAGAAGGUUUCAUAGGAUGCAGUAAUUGUAGCAUGCCUGGGAGGGACUUGGUAUGUCUCGCUAGAUCGGAGUUGUAUAAUGUUAGAGAUGGAUUGGUUAGAUCCCUAGCUAUGGUGAGCUUGGGUUCCUCAGCAGCUUGAUUAUGGAAUGGUAGCAAGGAUUGGGAUUCUUUUGAGUAUUGAGCAGCAAGGGGUAAGCAGGAUCGAAGUGGGGGAGAAUCCUCCGAGUGUGCAAAGGUAGGAUCACGCAGACCCAAAAUGAGUGCGCGACCUCCGAGAAGGAAAAGAAGUAGUUCAGCGUUUGAUGGAUUGAGGAUUUCAGGGUUGGGAUUUUGAGAAACUCCCCAUCAGCUAGUGCGUGUGAUGGUGAUGGUUAGUAUGUGGUUGGGAAUUCAGGUUGUGGAUCGCCCGUAGGACUCGAGGGAGUCGGAAUGAGGAUCUUGAGAGCUAAUGGCACAUGGGUGCCUUCGUAUUAGCAGUCAGUGGUAGAAAGUGAUGUAAGACUACGGGGCAGCCGUAGCAUUCACUAACAGUUAGUGGUAGAAAGUGAUGUAAGACUACGGGGCAACUAUAACACUCACUAGUAGUCAGUGGUGGAAGUGUUGUAAGACUACGGGGCAACCAUAGCAUUCACUAGCAGUCAGUGAUGGAUGGUGAUGUAAGACUACUAGUAAGCCGUAGCAUUCCUUAGUAGCUUCGUUAGCGGAGUUGGGGCGAGGCCCUUAUCUCCUAGCGAUCAGAUAGGGAUCAGGAAUGGGUAGUGGAUGAAAGUGAUAGGAAGUUUGCUUGUAUAGCCCUAGAGAGGUGAGACCUUGGGAGAGGCCGCUCCAGGAUAUAGUUGGGUGAGGCCUGUGGGCGAGGCCCGUAUGAGAGUAGCGGUAUAGGUGAGACCUGAGAGUAGGGUUGCUCAGUAGUAUGGCCGGGUGAGACCCGUAGGCGAGGCCCGAGAGAGAGUGGUUAGACAAGUAGGACUAGAAGGAUAGAGGCGGGGGGGACCCGUGGGCGAGGCCCGUGUGUUUUAGCGGCAUAGGGGGGACCUGGUAAGGACCUUAGUGUCAAGAUAAGGGAUCGGGGAUCCAUGGAUUGUAGUGACUGAAUGGCAGAAUAGAUUGCGCAGUUAUAGGUGGUCAAAGUUCCUUCGAAAGUCGCUGGGAGCGACUAGGAGUAGUGUUGGGACUAGCGACCGGUGGGAUCCGGUAAUCCAGAUAUUGGUAGGACGGUAGGGAUUAGGGUGGUCUCAGUUCAUCCGGAAGGCAGAUAAGGAAUAGCAGAAUUUUCAGUCAGUAGUAGUGCGGGUAAGCAGUGUAUGGUGGAAUUCAGUUAGUUGUAUCGAGGGGUGCUCGACACCAAGUUUUGACAGAGAGGAGUGUCAGUGGUUACUGGCGGUGAUGACCUGUACUGGAAGUAGCGGGGGUGAUGGAGUUGGCGAAGGAUAUGACCUUCACAGUGACAGAGGAAAUAGUUGGUUAUGGAGCAUUGCCUUGGGAAGGCAAGGAAUUCGCACAAGGAAAGAAGGGGUGAACCCCUAUAGGUUCAGUACAGUACUCGGUGAGUACCGGAAGGAUUGUCGGUUGAGUAAGUUGUGUUUCCAGGAUGUUCAGGGUCAGGGUGACCUGAGUCUAUUAUCCGCAAGGAAUGAUGUUAGUCAGAAUGACCGGGCGGAAGACCAGCGAAGGUAGGCAGCUGGUGUUGGAAUGAUUAGUUGGGUAUUGAAAGCAUAUCGCAGGCAGUGGCCCAUAGCAAACUUCGAGGAUGAAGUUUAGUUUAAGUGGGGGAGAGUUGUAACACCCAAAGUCAGAAAGGCCAAGAAAGGAAAGGAAACCCUAAGUCUAAGGGAUGACUCAGUAAGUCCAAGGAGGAACUCGGCGAGUCCGAGCGGGAUCCGGGUCGAGGAAUAAGUGAACGACUCGGCGAGUCGGCCAAGGAGACUCGGUGAGUCUGGUCUGUACGAGGAAAUCCCUAAAUUUGGGACUUGGAGCCUAUUUAAGCGCCUCAUUCUCUUCCCUAGGGUUCCUCUACUGCCUCUCUAACCCAGAACACCAAACCCUAGCCGCCAUAUCCGUUGUUGAGCCAAUUAUUGCUUUGAAGAGUGCAUUAAAGCUUGGAGAAGGAAGAAGGGCCUUGGAGGUGCAAGAAGGAGCUAUAGAUCUGGGCUUGGGAAGAUAUUUCUGAACAUUUAAAGGUAAUAAACUAGUUCUUGGAAUCCUUUGCACCAAGAUCUAUGUUGAGUUUUGGGGCUUUUGGCCAUGAUUGGUAUCCAUUUGAGUUAGAAGCCAGAUCUAAAGUUGGAACUUCGGAUCUAAGCAUAUUUUGGCCUUGUGAAGCAUAAAGUAUCAGCCCUUGAGUUGAUUAUGGAGCCUCUUUGCAUUAAACCCUAUUUUAUGGUGUGUUUAGCCUAGAUCUCCUUCUCUACACGUAAAGUUUGCAACUUUACGUGAGGAAUAGGCUUGGGAAGGGUAGAUCUACAGUUUGGGGUCCAUGCAUGACUCAAAAGUCCUCUACAUGUAUGUAGAUCUGAAUGGACUCGACGAUUCCUUUGAGUGGACUCGGCGAGUAGCAUGAAGAUUAGGAGGAAUUUGACGAGUGGGAUAAACAGCUCGUCGAGUCAGAUGAAGUUGGGCAGGAACUCGGCGAGUUGGAAGAACAACUCGGCGAGUCAGUUGAAGAUUGCCUUGGACUUGGCGAGUCUGUUCUUGGACUCGGCGAUUCAGGUCACGAAACCCCAAACCCUUCGAGUUGAGACUCGAAUCAGUGAGUCGAGUGGAGACUCGGUGAGUUGGACAGGUCAGGACUCGGAAAUCGGUAGACUCGGCGAGUCGAGUCGCGAUUGGAAGGACUUUGAGCAUAUGAACUCGGCGAGUCAAUAGGUAGACUCGGCGAGUAGGGUUGACCUAGAAGAUUGACUUUGACCAGGACUUUGACUUUGACCAGAGUUGACUUAGUUGACUGUUGGGGGUCAGUUAGUCUAAGUGUUUCAUUGAUAUUGGUAGCUCGGGGAGCUAGUGGAGCAGGAGUUCAGAGAGUUUCUGGGCAGCAUCCAGAAGGUUAUCAGCAUGUUCAGCAAGUGCAUGUGAGUUUCCCUUUGUGCCAAUGGGUCUACGGUCACAAUGUCGGCCCAUGUAGUUAUGAGUAGNGGAAGGUUGACUUUGACCAGGACUUUGACUUUGACCAGAGUUGACUUAGUUGACUGUUGGGGGUCAGUUAGUCUAAGUGUUUCAUUGAUAUUGGUAGCUCGGGGAGCUAGUGGAGCAGGAGUUCAGAGAGUUUCUGGGCAGCAUCCAGAAGGUUAUCAGCAUGUUCAGCAAGUGCAUGUGAGUUUCCCUUUGUGCCAAUGGGUCUACGGUCACAAUGUCGGCCCAUGUAGUUAUGAGUAGAAGACCCGGGGGUUAGCCCUAGGCACAGUAUGCUAGUAUGAUAUUCGGGACGAGGUCCAAUGAUAGAGGGCGGGUGCCCAAGGAAUGGUUUAUGUGAUAGUUUAUACUUGUUGUCUGUGUGAUACUUGUAUGUGCCUGGUAGGGAGGUGAGUGUGGGCGAGGUCCCGUAUCUCACCAAUAGCAGAGUGUGGAUGGUGUUCCACAUCUCAGUAGCAGCAGAUCAGGGGCGAGGCCCAAGUUAGGGAAGGAGUGAGGGUGGGCUGGGCCCGUACCUCACUAUCAGCAGGAGUAUGGACGGGGUUCCAUGACUCAUCAGUAGCAGGACAAGGGCGGGGCCCAGAGAUAGGCGAGGCCUUAGGACAAGAUCCGUUAGUAUGUGUUUAGCUUAGGUUAUGUGAUGUGAUAUGUUUAUGUGCUAUUAUAUGUUAGUGGGCGAGGCCCUGUGACAGGCGAGGCCUAAGUGAAACAGAUCUGUAUCCGAGCGGGGCUCGAAGCCAGGCGGGGCCUGGAACGGUGAGGCCGUUAUAGCGGGCGAGGCCCGAGGUAGGGGCGAGGCCCAGGUUAGCGGGCGUGGCCCAGUAUGUGCAGUAUAUGGUUAUGCAUGGUAUGUGGUAGGGUGGGGAACUCACUAAGCUUCGUGCUUACGGUUUUCAGUUUUGGUUUCAGGUACUUCCGGUAGCGGAGGGAAGAGCUCGGGGGUGAUCGCAUGACACACACCAUAGAUUAGACAACCUGGGAAUGUUUUACUCUGAUAAUGAACAUGUGUUUUGGAAAAUUAAUACUCUGAUUAUGUUUUGAAUUGGUGACCUUGCUUAAAGAAAUGUUUUAUUAAAAGAAAUUUUUAGUCAUGAAUUUUGGGACGUUACAAAGUACAUUAAUCCUUGGUACAAAUAUUACAUCAACAAAAGUUAUCUCUAAGCUUUCAUGAAAUUGAAGACCUUAUGCCUAACACAACCAUUGUAUCUAGAUAAGAUUUUCCUACUUAUUUACUUUGUUGUGUGCAAAUAUUAAUACACUUGACUUAAGCAUCACCAACAUUUGGACAUAAUUGUUGACGUUGAGGUGGUUGGUUAGAGCAUUAGUCAACUUUAAUAUUCAAGUGAAGACGUAUCAAAUACAAGUGAUUGUAGUUCACUCCUAUAGCAACAAGAGGAGCAGAGGCUUUAAGUAGUUUAUCCAUUUCAACAUGAAACUCUUUUCACACAUGAACGAUCUUAUGACACCUGUCAAAUGCCUCUUAAAAUAUACAAUCAACACUUGGUCAGUAGCUUUCUUCUCUGUGGCCAGAACCAUGACCUCUUCAUUUCCCUAUAUUAAUGAUGACAGGUUCAUAAACUAAAAGGACUGUAAAGUCAAAAUAGUUGACAUUAUGUUGACAUACCUAGUGGUGUGAAGAGAAGAAUAAAUAGAAUGUUUGUAAUAAACCCGCUUUCUUGGGUGAGGAAACCAUGACACUUGUUCAGAAAUGAAACAUCCCAACUAGCACCUAACGACUUUUGCUACAUUGAGAUAUACUAGCAAACAACAUAAGCAAAUCACAUGGAAAAUUAUUACAAUUAAUAAAACUCAUAAAUAAAGUGGUAAAAACAGCCUUGCACACACUCUUGAUUAAAAAAAUAGUUUAUAUUAGUGUAACAUCCCGAUUUCUCGAUAUCAGUUUAAAGUUCUAGAGUCAUGUUUCAAAGACAACUCGACGAGUUGAUAGGCCAACUCGUUGAGUAGUGACCAAAUCAGCCAUGUGGAUUUUAGACCCUACUCGUCGAGUUGGAGGACCCGACUCGACGAGUAGGUGCUGGAAAGUGAAAACCAUAAUUUUUAGGGUUUGCACCCUAUUUAAAGGUCCUUAACUUUCCUCCUCAGCCUCCCUUGUCACCUUCACGUCCAAAAAAACCAACUAGUCUCUAUUCUUGAGUGUGUGAGACCAAAAGAGAGUGUAUUGGAGCAUUCUUAAGGAGUUAAGAGCUUUGAACAAGGGAUAGCUUGUAGAUCCAACUUUUCCAGUGUUGUGACAACAAUAUUGAGUUAUAAAGCUACCACCUUUAUAUUUCAUUGCUUAGAUCUUCCUUUUUGGUAAAGUAAUUGUCAUGUCUAGGGCAUGAUGGGGUCACACUCGGAUUUAAGCUUGCCACAAGGGCAUAGUUUUAGAACUUGACUUCUUAAGGCCUUAUGAACAUAAAUCCUUAAGCUUUAUGAAGCCCUAGCCCUCCUUCAUGUCCAAAACCUUCUCCUAAUGCUAAUUAUGAGUGUUUUAGCUUCAUAGAACCAUGCAUGCAUGUAAAGUUAGCAACUUUAUGUGAUAACAACACCCUAGGAGCAUAGAUCUACUGUUUGGAGCUUUGGAGCAGCUUAAAAUAGUCUGAAUGAGUGAUGGACUGAAGGAGACUCGACGAGUUUCAUGGUUGAAUCGAAGAGUCGGUUGAAGAUUGCCCAUAAUGGUUUUGCAUGGACUCGGCAAGUCAGUAAGAAGACUCGACGAGUCAGUUAGGGUUCUUCCUGACAUUUAGACACGCGUAGACUCGCCGAGUUGGUGGGGAAACUCUGCGAGUUGGCCCAGGGAUUUCACGGUUUUCUGAGUUUUGGAGGAACUCGAUAGGUCAGUAGUUGGACUCGACGAGUUGGGUCAACAUGGACUGUUGACCUUGACUGUUGACUUGGAGUUUGACCAGGGUUAACCAUGUUUGACUUUGGAGGGUAUUUGGUAAAUGGGUAUUUAAGGAAAUGGAUCAUGGGUGGAUAUAGGUAAUGGAGUUUGGGGCAGUAUUUUGAGAGCGUGAUUUCGUGGUUUAGUUCGGCAUUGCAAGGUGAGUUAUCCUCACUAUAUCAACAGGGUCUAAGGCACCAAGGUCAGCCCUUUAUCUGAUUUGUAUUCGGGUAUUUGCUUGAUAUGUUUUUUGAUCUGCUAGAUCUGCAUCCUGGUAGUUAGGAUGGUAUUAUGUUUAGUGACCUGGUUUAGGUCAGUAUCCUGGUAUAUGGGAUGAUGUUAUGUUAGUGACCGGUUAGGUCGGUAUCCUGGUUAUAGGACGGUUGUUGUGUUAGUAAUCAGUUAGUUUGGUAUGAUUAUCUGUUGUAUACAUGCUCGCGUAUAAUAUUUAUGUGCACAUGAUUGUUUGAUUGUUAUGGGGGUUGGGUUGAGGCGGGUCCUGCUUCGUGUUGUAGGCCAACAUACCCAUGGCGGACCGGAAAGACUACAGGCCCAGGAAGGCACAUUGUCCAACCAAUGGCCCAACGAGCGGUCCGGAUAGGCUGAAGGCCCCGAGAGGGUGGUCCAAACGUGCCGAGGCUCGGAGAGUGGGCCAGGUGGACUGAAGGCCCGGUGCGGGCGGUCCAGUCAUACUGUAGACUCAAAGAGUGGACCAGGUGGACUGAAGACCCAGUGCGGGUGGACCAGUCACACAGUAGACUCGGGAUGCAUGGCUGUUCAGUGUUUGUUAUAUGAUAUGAUUAUGGAUUGUAUGAGGUUGGUAUUUUGGGGGUAACUCACUAAGCCUUCGAGCUUACGUUUAUCAAUUUAUGUUUCAGGUACAACGAAUUAACCCAGGAAGACGAAUGUGUGAUCGUACACUUCCCCAUAAUAUGUUUUGGAUUUUCUGGGAUACUCUGAUGUGAAACUAUUUUGGAAACCUUUUUGUAAUAACUAUUGGCAUUUGAAAUGUUUUUAAAAGUUUAAAUUUGGCUUGGAUUUUAUGGGUGUUACAAUUAUUUCAAUUAUCCAAGACGAUUUUAUGUCGAGAUUUUAAGUUAACAUUAAAUCUCAAUUAUUUGUUUGAAUGAUUUUUUUCUUUUAUCUUAGAGAUUUGUUUGAAAUUUAUUAAUUUUUUUUAUAAAUUUGAAUUAAUCAAAGACACAUAUAAAAAUAUCUCAUCAAAUCAAAUAAAUUUAAUAUAUAAAAAAGAUAGUAUCCGAUUAAGUCAAUCUAAAAAUACCAACAUAUAAAUAUAACUCACAAAUCUUGAUGGGAAUAAGAAUCAAACUCAAAAUCAAUCAAAUAAAAAAACCUUUGAUUUGUGUUAUAAGUAUAAAAUAAAUCAGGAUUCCAAAUAAAUAUUACAAUGAAAAAAAACCUAAAAUGUUUGAAACAAAAUAUGAAAUUCGCCAUCACUGUCAAUUUAAAAAAAAAACCUUUAUUAAUACUAAUGGGCUAUUUGGUAGCAUCCUGAUGAAUCAUAUCUGAAUGAUCUAGAUGCCUGGAUGAUCUAGAUGCUCUUUAGGAAUUUCUAUCGGAAUGAUAAAAUAAUGUUUGGUUAGGCAUCUAAAUAUCUGCCUCUUAAUGAGGAAAAUAACCAUUUUAGCCCUCUAAAUUAUUUUUUGAAUACAAAAUAAACAUUAUACAAUAUCCAACAAAUCGGUUAAAACAAAUUGGCUUUUGAUAUUCAGAUUCAUGUGUUUCUUCAUCAACAAUCUCUUUGAAGAGGACUCGUUUUGUUUCUGUUUUUAGAUCAUUAGGCUUUCUUGCUUCUGGAACAUUGAUGGGCCUAUUUUCUUGCUGAAUAUCUUCCAUCACUAGCAACUUCAUCUUGCUCCUAGAUCACAUAUCAACUAAACAAGUUGAAAAAUAACCAAACACAUAUUUUCAUAUAGAACAUUUCAAGCAAACACAAACACAUUUUCAAAAAAAAAAAAACAAAUCAAUUGUUAUUUUCAGAUUUCCAAAGGACAAAAACAACAUCAACUGAACACAUAUAUAGAGCAAGAAGAACAAAGCACAAAAAUCGAUUUCAUACAAAAUCGAGCAGCAAGAACACGAUUGACACCAAUUUCAUGCAAAAUUGCUCAACAAUAACACGAUUGAAGCAACAGAUUCGAGAAAAAAAACCAUACCUGAAAACUUACCGACGACGAGUAGGCGGAGAAGUAGGAGCGUUGUCGAAGGCAUGCAAGGGGAGGCGGCGACGGAGCCAAUAAUUGGAAGUUGUCAACGCUUAAUGAAGAUAAAGAAUGAGGGAUGAAAGGUCGAUCUCUAGAAAGAAGGAGAAGAAAAAAGAGUCGGCCGCAAUUUGUUGUUAGGGCAAUGGUAGAAGAUGAAAAUUUUUUUAUUCAGACUUCUCCUCAUAUCUUAACGAAUCAGAUUAGUUUUAGCUACAUCUGACCGAUUAAGAGCGUAAAAAUGUUUCAACCAAACACUCUGAAUCUUAAUGAUCCAAAUGCAACCUCUUAAUGAGACCAUUAAGAGGCAAAACAAACAGCCCCUAAAUAAAAAAAACAAUAUAGUUUCCAUAAAAAUCGAUUUAAAUAUUAAAGAAGAGAAGAAAUCAGCAUUUAUACGACGUAAUAGUUUUUUAAAAUUAAAAAAAAAAAAUUAUUCAUAUUAUAAGUAUAAAAUACAUUUUAUUCUUAACUCUCAUUUGUAAUUUGCCAUAUGUUUUCAUAAGAGUUUAUGGUAAUAACUUAAAUUUUUAUUUUUCCAUAUACCAUUUUUCAUUUACAAAAUUGUUUGUGCUUAUUUUUUUUUGUUAUAUUAAAAUUUAUUAUAUUUUAUUAUAUAAUAUAUAUCAUAAUUUUUUUCAUUAAUUUACAUAUAUCUUAUUUUUACGUGUUUAUUUGAAACAAUCGUUAUAAUGCAAAAUAAAUACCACUUCUCCAUAUUAAUUAUUAAUUUUUAUUAAAAUACUUUAUUAAUUAUUAUAAUUUUUAUCUAUUGAUAUUCGUUUAAUUUUGUAAGUUUUAUUUUCACAAAGUAUAACCUAAUUAAUUUCUCAUCAUCUAUAGUAAAUGAAAGUUUUUUUUUUCACAUGCAAUCACUAAUUAAUUUUGACACUUGUCAUUUUAUAAUAUUUUUUAAAUAAAUAAUAUCCACAUAUCAAUUUAUGAUUUUUNNNNNNNNNNNNNNNNNNNNNNNNNNNNNNNNNNNNNNNNNNNNNNNNNNNNNNNNNNNNNNNNNNNNNNNNNNNNNNNNNNNNNNNNNNNNNNNNNNNNNNNNNNNNNNNNNNNNNNNNNNNNNNNNNNNNNNNNNNNNNNNNNNNNNNNNNNNNNNNNNNNNNNNNNNNNNNNNNNAUCAAAUGUAAUAAAUAUUAUUUUAAAAUUUCAUUUUAAAAAAUAUUUAUUAUUACAUUUUAAUAUUUUAUAUUCUUUAAUCAACCGUGUAAUACAUUUUAAUACAUAGAUUUUCCAUCUAAUAAAUAAAUAAAAUGUAACCAUUUUAAUCACUAAAUAAUUAAUCAACCAAAGAUUAAAACCCACUGAUAAAAAGGAAACUAAAUCAACACCAAAUUGAAAAUUAAACCAUAUAUUACUAAAUUAAUUCACAGAGAGUUCGACAUCAAUCAAAUAUUAUCUCGCACUCAAAUUCACAAAACUCACUUUCCAGGUACAAAGUUUGUAGCAUAUGACCAUGCAUUGUUUGCAACAGGGUCAGCAAGGUGGUCAGCGAGGUUCUCCAAUGGUCCCUUUCCGGUAACAAUGGCUUGAACAAAGAAUCCAAACAUAGAGAACAUGGCUAGUCUACCGUUCUUGAGCUCCUUCACUUUCAGCUCAGCAAAUGCCUCUGGGUCAUCAGCCAGACCCAAUGGGUCGAAGCUACCACCAGGGUAAAGUGGGUCAACUACCUCACCAAGAGGUCCACCAGCAAUUCUGUAACCUUCAACUGCACCCAUCAAGAUCACUUGGGUAGCCCAGAUGGCUAAAAUGCUUUGUGCAUGGAUCAAACUUGGGUUCCCCAAGUAGUCAAGACCACCCUCACUAAAGAUCUGGGAUCCAGCCUUGAACCAUACAGCCUCACCAAACUUGACACCAUUACGCGCCAAGAGUUCGGGGAAGACGCACCCAAGAGCUCCGAGCAUGGCCCAUCUGCUGUGGAUGACCUCAAGCUCACGGUUCUUGGCGAAUGUUUCAGGAUCAGCAGAGAGCCCAGCAGUGUCCCAACCGUAGUCACCGGGGAACUCACCGGUCAGGUAAGAUGGGGCUUCGCCGGAGAAUGGGCCAAGGUACUUAACACGGUCGGGGCCGUACCAUGGACUUCCUGAUGGUGCGACUUUCUUGACUGCUGUCUUCCUCAUGGAAACCCUUCCAUUUCCGAUUAUUUCUGAACCAGAUGGUGCUGCUUUCACUGCCUGUCCGACGAAAGAAGAAGAUAGAGCCAUGGUGGAAGCUGCCAUUUUUGUGAGAUUUAUUUUGAAGAUGUUGUGAUGGUUAUACUUAUGAAGAUGGGUAGAACUGGAAGUAGAUUUAUAGGGUAGUUUUUGGAUCAGAUAGGUGAUCAAUGCUUAUCUUGAUACAAUCUUUAGCUUCAAUUUGAUUGGCUACAGAGAUUCUUGUGGGUCCGUAAUCUGUGGUGUGAGUUCUCUGGCCCCCCUGAGAUAUUUUGAAGGGGCAGGAUAUUCGUGGCUCUGGUUUAUUGAGCCAAUGACUGGCUUUCACUCACUACUCUUAGUGGUGGUUUUUUAUAAUAUGCUGUAAGCUUGUAACCAUCCAAUCGUCUAAGUUUAUAACUGACCUAUUAUUACAAAUAUAUACUAACCAGGCAAAACUUUUGGUUAUAAAAGUUAAUGUGACCGAGAGACUAACACAAAAAAUUAUAACAGGAGUAGUUAAUAAUCCGCGAUUUACCGCUAUGCCGAGAGCCGUAGGGAGGAUCCACCAUUUACCCCUAAGUGUGCAGAAUGCCUUUUUUUUUUUAGUAUUAAAAUAUCAAGAUCGGACACGCGUUGUAAAAUUCUUGUUCGAAUUGUUUGCAAACUCUUCGUCACAAUAAGGGGAGUUUAAAUAUGCGUUUUAAUAUAAUAACAUUGGCAUUGAUUAAAUGUUAAUAUUCAAUUAUCAUCCCACAUGAGAAUGAAAUAUAUUAAUGAUUUAUUAAUCUAAAAACAUUAUCAUCCCACAUGAGAAUGAAAUAUAUUAAUGAUUUAUUAAUCUAAAAACAAUUUUUUUAUGUCAUUAUUUUUUGGGGUUACAGUCGAGCUUGGAGGAUCUCGACUUUAGGUAUGCCCAUUUUAUUGAGAGGAAUUACUAAUAAAUUUCGGAAAGAGGAAAAAAAUAUGAUCGUGGACAUAUGGUUUAGGAAUAUUUUCAUGUUCGUUUGACACAAGUAAAGUUCUUGAAAUGGGUGCUUCAGUUUGUACGAGCGGCUAACUUGAUAAAGUUCAAAGACAUAAAGGCAAUUUUCAAAAACUCACAUGAUCAGUUAUCGAACAAGCAUGUCGUACUAGUGUGCCCACUACACAUGUUAGUUAGCGGUUUCAAUAGGAAAAGAGCAUCAUUAGCUGUCAAUGAUAAUAUUCUUUCUCUAGUACUCGAUCCUUACGACUUUUAUAUUUAUAUCAUGUAAUUUAGAAUUUAAUUUAAUUUCUAUUAAUCUUCGAUUACAGUUUAUGUGAUCUAAUUCAUGGAUGUUUUGGCACUACAUAUCUCAAUGGAGUAUGCCAGGGAAAUUUUGGUCAUAACAACAGCCUCCAUGGGUUUAUAUAUAUUUUUAAGGUACAUAUAACAUCCUAUUUUUAGGCUUAGAAAUUUUGGUCAUUUAUAGUGAAAAUAAUUUUUUUUAAUAAAAAAAUAAAAAAGGAAAAAUAAAAAUAAAAAGAAUGACUGAAUGAAUACAUGAGCUAAUAAAAGGUUUAGAUCAAAUGUUUAAAGAAAAUAGCGAAUUUAUACUUAAAAUAGGAAAUAAAUAAGGAAGGGUCAGUGGUGGCAACUUUGGAAAACUUGUUUAAUUUAGAUCUAACUAGACAAUUUAUUUGUAAAGAGUUAAAAAUGUAACGAAAUGAUACUUAUAAGCUUAAGAGGGAGUUUUUCAGUUGGAAAUGUUGUUAGAAACCCUUAUUGGAAAAAAUUAGGACAAAAGGACUAAAAUUGUCAAGUUGAUGAAACUUGUGUUAACCUUAAUGUAACGACCCUAAAAUCUUAAAUUAUGUGUUUAAUUACUUUGUAUCAUUUUGUUGAAAAAUGAACAUUAAUGAUGCAAUAAUCAAUUUGUUAGUAAAUUUCAUUGUAUAUCCUUACAUUUAUCAUGUUAUAAUCGAAAAUAUAGGACAUUUCAGCAAAAAAUAACCCUGUAGGAAAGUCGCAUUACACCUCGAUAUAUUCGUGUGGAUAUAAAUUCUAUGAAAAUCCAAAUUUGUAUGACGAAGUUAUAGUCAAUAUAAGUUGGAAGUACAAAUUUUAAUGUUUAAAUGUGUAUGUUNNNNNNNNNNNNNNNNNNNNNNNNNNNNNNNNNNNNNNNNNNNNNNNNNNNNNNNNNNNNNNNUAUAUAUAUAUAUAUAUAACAUCUCAAAACCAUAAUAACCAUAACAUAAAAUCAGAGUUUCAAAACAUAUUAUCUCUCUAAACCAUAACAAUCACUGGAUGAUGUGUAGAGUCACGUGUAACAUCUCGUUUAAAAUUAGAUAAAUAAAAUAAAAUAAGUAAAUAAAUUAGAUAAAAUAAGUAAAUAAAUAAUAAACCCUAAAACCUCAAGAUGAAUUUUAUAUUUUUAUGUUAGCCUUAAAUCCAUAAUAAUUAUCAGAGUAUUAGCGCAAUAAGUUAAAUGUUAUUAAUUCUGGAAAUAGGGGUUUAAAAUGUAAAUUUCGAACUAGUUAAGAAUAGAUUUGUGGAAGCUGGGGAUUGUUUGGUAAUUUGGACUUGAAUUGAAAGGAUUAUUGGAAACAGGUAUAGAGUAAAUUACAGAUUUAAUUUGUAAAGGAAUUGAGAUGGAGGGACUGAAAAUAUAAGAAAGGGACUAAUGUUUGAAGAGAUAGGCAUGACUUAAACCCAUUCCCCCUCCACCCUCUUGCUACUCGGUUGCACCCAUAUAAACCCUAACCCUAAUAUCUUCUCAGCCGCCACCUUAUCCCUCCAUAUCUCCAGUCGCUUCCAUCACCUGUGUCGCCGUCAUGAACCACUGAGCACCACUGCCGCUGCUCCCACUGCCGAUGAAAACGAAGAUCAACGUUUGGACACCGUGACAGUGGGGAAGUAGGAAGAAAGGAAGCUCGUGGUUGUUAUUGCUGUUAUUCUCGGUUAGGGGUCGCAAAACCUUUCUCUUCUCCGUUUCCUUUUGUUGCUACGUUGUCAUCGUCAUCGCUCCAUGUGAGGGUGGUUGUGUUUGUGUUUUGUGAGUGUAGGUGUGUGUUGCUGCUGUGGCAAGUUGGAGAGGUGUGUGUGUCUUUUGUUGGCCAGAAAAACGAAGAGAAUCACCAUGGCAACCAACCAUGGUGGUUUUCACCGUUCUGGAGCCACUAGCCACCACCCUAGGUGGCUGUGUGUGUUGGAUUGACAUUUCUUCUGUACCAGGAUGCUUUUGAUAGUGUUUGGCCUAAAAUUAUAACUACCACCAUUAAAAAGUGGUGGCUGUCGCCUCCUACCGCCAUGGACCGCCGCCGACCACCAAUGCCCGAGGUGGCAGUGGGUGGUGUCUGACUUACUAAACAUUAAAUAACCUAAACAUCUAACCUUAGACCGAGUGGUACGUGUUUGGGUUGGAAACUCUUACUAGGCUUUAGAAAAUCCUAAGGUCAAGAAAACCCUAGUUUUGGAGUUUUGUCGGGACCCGCGUUGAAGUGUUAAUUGAACUUUAAUUAUACUCGAUAAGGCCCUACGAUUAACUUAAUGCAGUAUUGAACUUAAUGAAUUAAGUCCUUAAGGGGUUAUGUGUGGAGCACUAACCCUAGUUAUCAUUUUAUGUGGAAACCCUAAAAAUCAAGAAGCCUUAUUUUCGGCAAUGAUCAGGGCACAUAUUUGGGAUAUUCCUUGGAUUAUUAUUAUACCCGAGAAUGAAUAUGUCAAACCUUAAUCACUCCUACUUUUAUUUGAUUAAGUCCUUAAUGGGUUAAGUGUCCUUACUUAACCCUAAUCGUCAUUUUAUGUGGAACCCUAAUCACUAUUUCAUGUGAGGUAGUCACUGCUGCAAUUGACGAUGACUUGUGAUCGAGUAUUGAAUCAAGUAUCUUCCUGUAGGUGAUUGGAAGUGAGUUGAAGCUGGUAGAGUUCUUCGUUACUACGGUGGUUACCUACUAGCAUAUCGAGCUGAGUUUCACCUCACUGUGUUAGAUCUAUAUGCACAAGAAUCAUUAUUCAGUGACAUUGCUAAUAACAUAUGAUCCUAUAAGGUCACACUUUAAUCAAGUUGGUACUUAUUGAAUAUUUAUUAAGUAUUUUAUAAUUAAUAAUAAAAGUUCAACUCAUGUAUUUAAUUAAAGAAAAUUUAUUGUUUUGUGAAAAUAAUAAUAAAUGAAAGACUAACUANAUAUAUAUAUAUAUAUAUAUAUAUAUAUAUAUAUAUAUAUAUAAGUCAUGUACAAAGUUUUGGACACUUUCACCAAAGAUUGACAAACUAGCUAGUUAAUUAAGUGACUAAACAAUAAACUAGAAAAUCCAAUGGACCAUUUUAGUCCUUAAAACCAUGGGUUAUCAAGGCGAGGAGGUUGAAAGUCAACCUCCAACAUUCUUGUCCCCCAUGUUUGUUCAUUACCUUGCAUGUAAUACACACCAUGAUCAUAUUAUAUAAGGCUAGUUGUUUUAUCACUAUAUGACUAGAAGAAAAAAAUCAUUUACACUUUCAUCCAUAGAAUUGUAGGUUCUCUUGGCUUCUCCCUAUCUCUCACUUGAAGUUAGUUCUUGGUUUUUUAGAGUUCGUCUUUUGUGUCUUCCUUUUACACUUAUUAUCUAUGUGCUUAAGGCUUAAAGAGAAAAAUAUUAUACAAGAAGAAAUCUAGCAAUUUUGGUACCUUAUUCUUGUUGGUGGAUUACUUGUAGAGAAGAUCAGACUUGUUGUUCUUGCCAUCUACUUCAACACCCCAAAUCUAAGAGGGUCCAAAGUCUACGAAGGUUGUAUUUUCUAAACUCCCUAUGGUUGUUAUAAUAUCAUUCUAAGCACUUUAAAAGGAUCCUUGAUGGUUUGUUUUGUUUUCAAAUUUAUAAGAAAUUUUUAAAGCUUCCGUUGCCAGUUUUUGUGAAAAACUAUUUAUUUUAUGCAACAAACCCCUUCAGUUGUAACACUAUAAAUUUUCAAACAAAAUUUCCAUUUUUAAAACACACAAAUCUUAAAAUCACAUUUCUCAAAAAUCACAAAUGUAUCAAUUGUAAGAAUAUCCCAGAACCCUCAAACAUAAUCUCGAACAGGUGUGUACAAUCAAGUCGGCGCCUUACCGUGAUUCUGAGAAGUACCUGAAACACAUAACACACAACAUAGUAAAAACGAAGCUUAGUGAGUUCCCCAAAAUACCACAUACACAAAUAAUAAGCCACUCAUAGCUAUAGCUCGGCAUGGACCUUCCAGUCAUGCGUCUCGGUGAGGACCCUCCGGUCUCACGGCUCGGUGUGGACCCUCCGGUCAUGUGUCUCAGUGAAGACCCUCAGGUUUCACAGCUCGAGUUGGACCCUCCAGUCCUGUAUCUUAGUGAAGACCCUCCAGUCUCACAACUCGGUUUGGACCCUCCGGUCCUAACUCAGUAAGGCACAAAAUAAUAUAGCAUAUAUGACAAAGACAAAAUGCAUAAUAUCACAUAACUCAGUAUAAGCACAUAGGACCAUCCGGUCGAUAACUCAAAUAAGACCCUCUGUUCACAUAGUAUUACCACUCAGGUAAGUAUAGUGAUAAGACUCGUCUCGGAAGUAAGCAAAUAGAUCUAGUACCCCACGAACAGUUUAGACUCCGCCUACAUAAUAUAAUUAUCUCUAAUAAGCAAUUUGUAAUAACCAUUCCGAGAUGUUAAGCUAGCUCCCCCACUAAAUCUCAAAAAUGGUGAAAAUACCAUUUUACCCCUCCAUGGUCUCUAAGGUCCACAGUUGACCAAACCCUAAAACUCAACGUAAGUCAACGCUCAAGUCAACAGUCCAUGUUGACUAAACUCGUCGAAUGCAUCCAUGCGACUCGUUGAGUACCGUCGUUUUCUCUGAAGUAUCGGGAAAAUCCAACUCAACUCGUCGAGUUGUCUCAUCAACUCGCUGAGUUGUAACGCAUUUAGACUAUCAGGGAAAACCCUAGCUGACUAGUCGAGUUGUCUCAUGCACUCGUCGAGUCCCUCUAUACAAAUUCUCAUUUAGACUAUUCUAAGCAGGAAUAAGGUCCCAAACUCUAGAUCUAGCCUCCCAAGGCUGAAAUACCAUGUAAAGCUGCAAGCUUUACGUCUAUGCAUGGAAUCUAGCGCUCAAAAUGCUAAAACAAGCUCUAUAUAGGGUUUAAUGCAUAAAAUCUUGCCACUAGCUUGAUAAAGCUUGGACCUUUGGGCUCAAGGGACCUCAUAUUGUCCAUAUCUGAAGUCUCAAAUUCAUGGCAGGCUCAAACAACUCAAGUACUCAAAGAAGGAUGGAAAAAGGCCCUAAAACUCCUUAGAAAAGAGAUCUAACCAAAUAAUGAUCAAGGUGGUAACUUUUUACCUUCAAACAGAAGCUAGAAAUGAAUAAGCACCAGAUCCAAGAGCUCCCUCUCGUCCCAAGCCUUUUGUUCCUCAAUCUUUCUCCAAAAAUGCACCAAAAUACACAAUAUUAUCCUCUCCUUCUCUCACACAUAGAUAUAGCUCGAUUAGGGUUUCUCUCAGAGUUUUAGGAUGAUAAGGGAGGAUGAAAUGAAGGCUUAAGGUCCUUUAAAUAGGACACAAACCCUGAAAAUUGGGGUUUUCUCACUCUGCUCCUACUCGUCGAGUUGGGGUCCUCCAACUCGUCGAGUAGACUCUAAAAAUCACGCAACCUUUAACUCCUCUACUCGGCGAGUUGGGGCAUCCAACUCGUCGAGUUGCUCUGACAUCAUAAAUGCAAAUUUAUUAAAUGUUAUAUAUGGGAGCAGGAUGGUACAUGUAACGACCCAAUUUUCAUGACCAAAAAUUUUGUUUUAAAAACAUUACUUUAGAAAAUAUUAAAAGCUAAAAACAUUGUCGGAUCAAAUCAUAACACAAGUGAACCAUGUCUAAAAGCCAAUUCAUACAUUCAAUCAAAAUAUCAGAGUACAAAUCCCAGUGAAGCUCGUAAAUGCGGAAACCGGAGAGUGUGUGUGUGACAUGCUGCUACCGCGCCGGCUCCUUUCCCCUAGCUGAGGAGGUACCUGAAACCAAAACUGAAGACUGUAAGCACAAAGCUUAGUGAGUCCCCCCGUCGUACCACAUACCAUACAAACACGUAACAUACAUACUGUCAGGCUAUUCUGGGGUGCCUGACUACCCGGUACGGCCGUUCUGGGGUGCCGUCCUACCCGUGUCAAGCCAUUCUGGGGUGCUGACUACCCGUGUCAAGCCAUUCUGGGGUGCUGACUACCCAUGUCAAGCCAUUCUGGGGUGCUGACUACCCAUCGGUCCUAACAACCGAUCCUCGGGGACUAGUCCCCUCUUACUACCUUUAUCUCAUAUAACAUAACAAGCCAGCAUGCAAUCAUAUCAUCACGUACUGUCAGACAUAUCUGGGGUGUCCGACCUACCCUUCGGUCCUAACAACCGAACUCUACAACUAUCACAUAUACAUAUCAUGCCAGCAUAUAACAUAUCAGGUAGUAGCAAACCUAGAUGAUAUCACAAAGACAAUCAUCUAACAUACAACUCCUACUGGUGGGCCGGCAUUGUGGCCGUAGACCCACCGCUACUGGAAGGUAACUCACCUCGAAGUAGCUGCUGAUCUGAUCGGGAACUGACUGCCUACUGCUGCUGCUGCUGCUCCGGAAAUCCUCCGGCUGCAAUUCCCACAACAUACUCAAUCAAACACUGCUCACUGACCUUUGGGUAAAAUGACCAUUUUACCCCUGAUCAUGCCCUAAGUCAAAGUCAGAGUCAACUUUCAGUUGACCCGACUCGCCGAGUUGGCUUUCCAACUCGCCGAGUCCCUACCCAAACGACUGCCCUGAAACCCGAUCCUACCCGUCGAGUUAGGCGACGACUCGACGGGUUCACCUUCUUAACCAAUAUUCAAGUCCUUCAUUCUACUCGCCGAGUUGUAUGAACAACUCGCCGAGUUCAUCUUCAUCCGAAGAACACUUAUGCUAAGACUCGCCGAGUUGUAUGAACAACUCGCCGAGUCUGUUCUUGAUCUAAGGAGAUUGCCUUGAACUCGCCGAGUCAGGGCAUUGACUCGCCGAGUACCUCCAUAGAUGAGUUAAGCUUCCGACUCACUGAGUCACACCCCGUGACUCACUGCUCACUCGACACUACGAAAAGGGGACAAACUCGGAGACUCGCGAACAGACUCGCCGAGUCAUAUGAACGACUCGCCGAGUCGUUGCCAUGCAUCCACUAAAUACACAGAUUUGCUCGAUUCCAGUCCAUGCCAUUCAUAGAUCUGGGCUUCUAGGACACGAAUCACACGUAAAGUUUCCAACUUUACGUGUGGAUAUUCACCAAUAUGGAUUUUAGGGCUCAAAAUGUCUCAAAAGGGUAGAUCUAGGGCUAACAAGCAACAUGGGGCCAUAAAGCUAACAGAUCUGAGCUCCUGGAGCUCAAUCUUGCCUAGAUCCAGAGGCCAAACAUCUUAUUACGACAUACAAUGCACAUACAAGCUUGGGGAUUUGACCAAGAAGGACCCAAAUGAAGUUUUAAGCAUAGAAUCAAGGGGAAAACGGGUUAUACCUCAAAGGAACUGCUGGAAGAACACAAAUAAUGCCUGGAUGGCUUCCCUUCUUCUGGAUCUACUUCCUUCCUCCUUCCAAACCUUCAAAAACACACACACUAACCUCAAACUCUCAAGGAAUAGCUUAGAACGAGAGAUACAGGGCUUUAAGGGUCAAUGGGGGCCGGCUUGGGGCUGAUAAGUCCUUUAAAUAGGGUGCAAACCCCUGAAACUUAGGGUUUCAUCCAACAGCUAUGACUCGCCGAGUCCAGGAUAUGGACUCGCCGAGUCGCCAACUUAAACGUGUCCCGGGUCCCGCAUCCACUCGGCGAGUCGGACCUAUGACUCGCCGAGUCCAAGGCUAAAAGAAAGGAAAUACUCAAAUAACAUUUACGUACCAGGAACCGGGUGCUACAGUACAUCAGUUGUAUCAAAACCAUCUUUUAAAUGUUAGAAUGAUUUUUAUGUUAUGAUAAUCUUUGGUUUUUGGGAAACAAGCAUGGAUUUCUUUUUAGCUUGCAUCAUGUUAAUGAUUCGACCGAAGUGGCUUGCAUCAUGCUUGCAACUAUGACUCCUGAACUUCAAAAAACUUUUGAGUUUCAUGAAGCAUUUGAAAUGAUUGAACAACUGAGUCAUGUUUCAAGUUCAGGCUAAGCAAGAUAGGUUUGAGACCUUGAAUGCUUUCAUUGGUUGCAAGAUGGACAAAGGAUCUUUUGUGAGGUCACAUGUACUAAAAAUAAAAGCUUAUGUUGACCAACUUUCCUGCCUCAGAUUCUAAUUUGGGGAUGAGCUAAAGACCAAUGUGAUCCUGGCCUCACUGCCUAAGUCAUUCAACCAAUUUUUGAUGAACUUCACAAUGAAUUAUUAGGAGAUGAGCAUUAAUGAGCUUCAUAACUUGCUCAAAAUUGUUGUGAAAAACGUCAAGAAGUCUGGGAACAAUCAAGUGCUGAUGAUUCAUGAGGGUCUAAUCUCUAAGAAGAAAACUAGUACUAAUAUCGGUUAGGGGAAAGGAAAAGCUGCCAAGAAAGGCAAGGGCAAGGGAAAGGGUAAAGGGAAGCCUCCUUCCACUAACCCAACUCCUAAACCCAAGCCUACUGCUAAUGUUGAUUGCUUUAAAUGUAAUGAAAAUGAACAUUGGAAGCGCAACUGUCCCAAAUACCUAUAGGAACUUAAGAAGAUCAAAGCCAACUAGUUUGGCACCUCAGGUAAUAUGUGAUUGAAUUACAUGCAUUCCGUACUAAUUCUUGGGUAUUCUAUACUGGAAGUGGUACUAACAUCUGGAAUGAUUUGCAGGGACUAAGGAAUGUUAGAGAACUAAGAGAUGGCGAUUUGGAACUUCAUGUUGGCAAUGGCAAUCGAGUAGCUAUCAAAGCCAUAGGACAAUAUCAUCUUUUUCUUCCAAAUGUCCUUAAUCUUAUUUUUAACAAUUGUUGUUAUGUACCUAGUAUAACUAGGAAUAUUAUAUCUACUUCUCGCUUGUAUGAACAAGGUUGUCGUUAUAAGUUUGACUUUGAUUUUGAAAACAUUUUCGUGUUUAAGGAUAAUGUGUUCUAUUUUGAGACUAGUCCCACAAAUGGAAUAUACGAAAUCGAUUUAAAUGGUUCAUACACAAAGGAUAAUUCAAUAUUCAACUUAAAUAAGAAAACAAAGUUAGACUCAAAUAAAACUUUUUUUUGGCAUUGUCGACUUGGGCACAUAAGUAAAACUAGCAUUACUAAGCUCCAAAAGGAUGUGAUAUUAGAGUCAACAGGCUCAAAGUCUUUUGAUGUAUGUGAAUCAUGUAUAUGUGGCAAGAUGACCAAAGCUUUGUUUACCGGUGUUGGUGAAAGAGCUUCGGAUCUAUUAGGACUCAUACAUACUGAUUUAUGUGGACCUUUUAGAACAAUGACCAUAAGCGGUGAAAGAUACUUCAUUACACUUAUUGAUGAUUACAGUAGAUUUGGAUAUGUGUAUCUCAUGAAACACAAAUAUGAACAUUCAAUGUCUUCAAGGUUUUCCAAACUGAAGUACAUAAUCAACUUGGUAAAAAUAUUAAACCCAUACGAUCAGAUCGUGGUGGUGAAUAUCUGAGAUAUGAGUUUGAUGAACAUCUGAAGAAUUGCGACAUAGUGUCACAACUCACUCCACCGGGAACACCUCAGCAUAAUGGUGUCUCAGAAAUAAGAAAUCAUACUCUACUUGAUAUGGUGCGAUCAAUGAUGAGUGAUACUUCCCUUCCUCAUUUAUUUUGGGGUUAUGCCCUUGAAACCGCAGUUCGAACUGUAAACAUGGUCCCAACUAAAAAGGUUAGUAAGACUCCCUACAUGUUAUGGCAUGGAAAGGAUCCAUCAGUGUCUUUCUAAAAUAUAUGGGGUUGUGAAGCAUAUGUUAAAAGAGAAACUUCUGACAAGCUUGACCCUAGAUUUCAUAAGUGUAUCUUUGUUGGAUACCCAAAAGAAACCGGGUGUUCAUAGCUCGUAAAACAAUGUUUCAUGUAACUGAAUUUAUCUUGCAUAAAGUAAGUGGGAGCCCCCUUGACCUCGAAGAAAUUCGAGAGAAACAACCUUUAGUUGAAAACGAUAAUCAACAAAGCAUUUUUGAACAUGAACUUAUUAUUCAGAUGCCGGAAACCACACCAAUUGUACGAUGUUCCAGUAGAACUCCUCAUGAACCUGACAAAUUUGGAUUUGUCAUUCCUGAAUAGGAAGUCUUCUUGAUGGAUCAAUAUGAGCCCAUCAACUAAAAGGAUGCUACUGCAGACCCAAAGUCUAACAAAUGGCUUGAAGCCAUGAGAACUAAAAUCCAAUCCAUGAAUGACAAUCAAGUAUGGGACUUGGUUGAUUUACCUCCUAACAGUAGAGCUGUUGGAAGCAAGUGGAUCUUCAAGAAGAAGAUCUACAUGGACGGAAAUGUACUCAAAUUCAAGGUGUUGACUAUGAAGAUACCUUCUCGCCAUUUGCUAAGAUUGAAUCUAUUAGAAUUAUCAUGGCAAUAGCUGCAUAUUAUGACUAUGAGAUUUGGCAAAUGGAUGUCAAAACCACGUUCCUUAACGGAUAUCUUGAGGAAGAUGUUUUUAUGGAACAAUCUGAAGGUAUUGUCAAGCCGGAUAACCUAAAGAAGGUACGUAAACUAAAGAAGUCCAUUUAUGGAUUAAAACAAGCAUCUGGGGUGUGGUAUCAUCGUUUUGAUGAAAAGUGUUGGGUUUUGAGCAUUCUAACACUCCUAUGGUGUACAUGCAACCCUAAAUACCUUGGAUCUAUGUUUUCUCUAUUAUACAUGAAAUAUCAAUUUCCAAGGUAUUUAUCCUAACUAGCAUAUUAUGAAGUACAAGUAAUAUAGAAACUAGUAGAAAUACAUACCUCUUUGUUGGUGCUUGAUUCCAUGGAGCUCAAGAGCCUAGUGCCCCAAAUGUGACACCUCAAAUGGUUCACACAACAUCAUAUGCACGUGGAAUAACUUAGACAGAAAUCAUCACUUCAUGAAAUCGACUUGCCCUCCAUAUACACACAUAGUGGCCGAUUUUUCACAAGAAUAUGAUGCUUAUAUAGUUGUUACAAUUAGGGUAAACCCUAAUUGUCAUGGCUUUCCAUUUCCUUAGAUCCAUGGGUUCAAAUACACCAUGGAGCAUCCAUGGAGUAUCCUAUGGGUUUUAGCCUAACUUAACAAUCCAUGGAGUCUUAGCCCACUAUACAGGUAUGUAUGAUAUACACAACCAACCCAUAUAUUUAAUUAGUCUUCUUUUGAUCACUUAAUUAAUUCUAGAUUAAUUCUUGAUCAAUAUUAAUUAAAUAAUCUUAUUAAUAUAUUAUAACUUAUAAUAUAUUAAUAAACCUUAAGUGUUAUUUCUCUCAUUUUAUUCUAUCCAAAUGCAUGAUGCCAUGCAACCCAAAUGGACUAUGUCGGGUCGGGUCAAGUAUAUACCAAUUAUAGUUAUGGACUUAGACACUAAUCCAACAAUCUCCCACUUGGAUAAGUCUAAUAACUAUCAUUGCAAGUACGGCUUCAC
rnacentral:lncRNA from 1 species